AUUAUUUCAUUGUCAAGACUCAAGCUGAAAAUUGUCAUGAAUCAAUCAGUAUCUUUUUAGAUGUGUUGGGUGCUAUCUUACAUUAUUAUUCUUUACAGAGGUGCAAGCAUUUCGAGAUUGGUGGAGACAAGAAGGGCAAGGGAACAUCUCUUUUCUAAACUACCUACUGGAUACUGAAGUUGUGGGUCUAUUGUGCUUCAUACUUCAAUGUUAUUAGGAACUUAAUUUAAGCAGACCAUAUCAUGUAUUCAAGUAUCAUCGUCUGACAUUUACUCUAGCAAGGAUUGGCUUUCUGCUGAAUCAAGUUUUCUUGCUUAAUGCUCGUCGAAUCCAAUGUGAUGCAUGUCUUUAGAUGGCACUGCAAUUGUGACUUUUGUCUUAUGGCAGUUUUAUCUCCCUAAGUCCUCAGUGUCUGUUUUUCGUUAUCUUACCCGAGUUUGCAAUCCUAGAGCGACCCACGUAAACGAAUUCCUGUGACAUGAAUCCCUGAGAGGCUAGUCUGAUGAACUUCCGUUUUUCAGAUCGAAUUUCGUAUAUGGUUAACUAUACUAUGUUUUGUUCAAUAUCUUCGUAACGAGAUGGAAGGUAUGGAAUACUAUGGAUGGAGGUGAAUUGAAAGAUAGGCCUUGGUCUUGUGAUUGUUAUCUUAGAAGGUCGAUACUAAUGUUUGGUCUUGUGGCGUUAGUGAAACUGUUUUCGUAGCAAUGUUUGGUCUUGUGAUGUUAUUGAACUGUUUUCGUAGCAUUGUAUUACUUGUUCCAUUCUUCAUGCAUGAUUUGGAUAGGUUAUUGACAAUUGUUUAUAGUAAUGAAUUAAAUAUUACACUCCUAAAUUAUUAUAAACCGAAUAAAUAGCUUAAAGCGAGCCAGGCAAUGCUGAUGUAGAAAAUUUCUAGUUUGAGAACCGUGGUAUGCAUAUCCCGAAGUUCAUAAGCUGAAAAGAUUGCACCCUAAAUCUAAUGUAUUGUAGUUUUCCUGUACUGAAAAUGCUGUUGGAUCGGACAGCCGUGGUGAUUGGUUGCGUUCAUUUUCAAGUUGUAGCCAAGUUAAAUAAAGUAUAGAAGGAUAUGCAAGUAGCAACAUCGGAGGAGUGCCAUCGCAGUGAUCCUCCCAAAAAGCACGAAAGAAACAUCUUCAUUGGAACCUAAGCAGCUCUGGCCUUUUGAGCCCAGAAAAGCUAUCCUUGAUUCAAGCACAAACCGUCAUUUGGUUAUAUGCUUUCUCCAAAUACUAGCAUGAGUAAAUUGCAUUGGCGGUACACGAACUUGCUAGGUGGAAGCAAUCUAGUACAUAAACUUAUAAAACGCUCAUUUUGAUACACGAACUUGUUAGGUGCAUGUGAAUCAAGGCCAAAAGAAAAAACAAAGCUAAUCUUAUUUUAGUGUUAAUUAGGAUACUACAUAAACACAUGUGUGAGAAAAAUGCUAAGUACAUAUACAUUUGUUCAAUAAAAAGGGGUUAAUAAGGCCUAAAGAUUGUAUGGAGAAAGACACAAAAAUACUGAGAAAUAGUGCAAGGGGUAGAACAAAGAAUAAUAAAGCACAAAUGCAUGUCUCAUGUCCACCUCCAUAUGCACAUCUCGUCCUAAUCAGUGUAUAACUUAGUAAAAUUGAUUAUGAUGUGUCAUUUUGACCUUGUUUCACAUGCAUCGAACAAAUUCAUGUACCGAAACAAGUCUUUUACAAGUUCGUGUAGUAAAGUGCAUCCAUCUGGCAAUUUACUCUACUAGCAUUUGAAGCUAAAAGGCUUUGGCCUUUUGGAGCCCAGAAAAGCUGUUCUUGAUUCCAGAACAGAUCGUCAUUUUUGGGGUAUAUGCCUCCUCCAGAAUCCUAAAAUUCUCAUUUCAUGUAAGGAAAAUCGCAAGUGUCCAACGCUGAAUCCAUCCCAGAGAUCUCAGUGAGCAAAUUGCACAGCGCCAGUUGGGACUAUUCAAGGAUUUUCAGGGCCAUGCCCUGUACCCAUCAUCCAUCACCCAGCAACAAAACAAGCCGGACCGUAGUGUGUCAAGCAUGCACUGCUUCUGCUCUCCGAUCUAACCGGUAGCCCCCAACUCAUUCUGAACCACACCUUGUGUUUUGGACCACAUCACAAAAUUCAGAAGCAGCAGCAGCAGCAGCAAAGGGUCAAGCAAAAAAUCUAACAGCUUUAUUUAGGCAGAUCCACCUCUCUACAUCAUCAUAGUCAUAGUACAAGAACUCGACGAAUUCAGAAGAAACAUUGGCAGCUACACCUAGAGAAAGAAAAAUGAAAAGAAAAGAAGAUCUAAUAUAUUACAAGGGAUCCUUGGAUAUAUGCUCAUAGCAUUGUUACAUCCCGAGCACCGAGUCGCGACUUGUGGCGAAAACGGGUGCCAUUUCCAUGCUUAUGCCAUUACUGCUUCGCCUGAAAAAAUGAGAUGUUUUUUUUUUGGUUAGAGAUUCAGACUUAUGUUCAUGAAUUGGCUCUUUUGUGAAAAAUGUGAUUUGGUAAAACAUGUGCGGAAAAUCUACCUGAGAGUAGAUGAAAGUUCCGAGAAUCGCAAUGGCGGCUCCGAGGGCGUUGAUGGGCUGGACCGGCGUGUGGAAGAUGAUGAUGGAGGCGACAAUGACGGAGAUCCGCUUCAUGGUGUUGCCGAUGCUGAAUGUCAGUGGUGAGAUCUCGUCCAAUGACAUGUAGGACACUUGGUUGUACAAGUGGUAGAACACACUCUGCGCCGCCACCCACCUACAAAACCACAGAGAAAUCCAUGGCCACAUGAAUCAGCUGGAUUAUCACACAAAAAUAUCAUCAAAUCUUUUGAUACUUCUUAUUUCUCUUUCAGAAUGAACUGAAGAAGAUAUUGCCGCUUAGGAGGAAAUGAUAGUGAUAGGACGAUCCUAUAUCUAUAUUAAUUGAUAAUGGUUCUUUUUGUAUAGAAUACUUGAGUGAUGUUACUGAAAGUACAAAGUGUUGCAUGCUGAAACUGUUUGAAAGCUUAGGUCAAGCACUUAUCACUAGAAAUUUUUUGCCCAAUUGAUACCCAAAAAUCUCAACUGACGUGAUGGUUGUGACAGUGAAACGGUGAGAAGUGGUACAAAGAAAAGCAUGUGAGGCUCACCAGACGAAGUUUGGACCGAUCUCGGCGACGGCUUUUUGCCAGCCGGCAGCCCACACCUUGGGCCCCUCCAUGGCGAAGGCGAAAGGGAGGAGGAUGACCAGCGAGAGCAUGGAGAGGCAGGCGUAGUAGUUCAUCCCGCUCACCGACUUGCCCUUCAUCCCCUUCUUGGAGAAUAUGUUCCGGAACACGAAUGCCAGGUUCGAGAUCAUCGCCCCCAUGAAUCCUGCAUCGAAUUUUCAGCAAUACACGAUGAACAGAUUGAUGUGAUGUGUCAGGUUUAUGAACAAAUUGUGCACUUUUUCGUGGCUGGUGUAUAUUUCUUUAUCUGACAUAAGAAAACAUAUCUUUGGUUAAUGGACAGUUCUUGUUCUGAAGAAUUCUUGGAGAUAAUAUCUAUUUUUUUAAUCAAAAAGUGAGGAUAUUUCUGGUGUAUCUGCUGCAAGUAUCUCCAGGAUUUCAGGUGGAGAGACAGAGAGAUGCAGAGUGUUUGCUCACUCACCAAUCAUGUUGAAAUUGAGCUCGGUGAUGGCGGCGAGGGCGCAUCCGCCGAUGAUUGGGAGGAGGGAGAAGUAGACCGGCGCCGGGAAGUGCUCGCCGAGGAAGAACCUGGAGACGAGCACGCUGAACGCCGGCUCGCCGCUCUUGAUGAUGUGGGUGAACGACACCGCCACCUUCGCCAUGCUCACCGUCGCCGCCACGUGCCCGAUGGUGUGCGCGAUCGCCACCUGCUCGUCCCACAACGAGCAAAAACGAAUCCCCAAAUCCAACGAACGCGUCAGAGAUUCAGAAUAGAACAGAAUCAAGAAGGAGGAGACGAUGGUGUCCAUGGUCAAUGCGAUCUCACCGGUGACAGGGCCUUCCAGAAAUCGAGGUCGGUGGCGGGCGCCUCGGCGAUCCUGGUGGCCCAGGAGGCGAGCAUGAUGGCGGAGCCGGCGGCGAGGGAGAGCGUGGACGUGAGCCACGGGUAAGGGAACGCGUUGAGCACCUUCUUGUUGUAGAUGUUGAAGAUCACGUUCAGCGCCCACCACGUCGCGAAGUAGACCCCGAUCUUGGCCCGCCUCGCCGCCUCCUCCGGCGCCGCGCCCGCCGGUGCAGCCUCCACCGGCCGGGCGCCGUCGGCGGUGGCGGACGGCGGCGGCGGCGCCGGUGACGCGACGCGCGACGCCAGGAAUAACGGGUCCUGCUGCCGGUACAGGGGGCGCGCCGAGAGGGAGAGGGGACGUGGCCCGGCGGCGGCGGCGGCGGCGGCGAAGAGGGGAGGGAGGUGGAGGGGCUUGAAUAAUGCCAUCUUGGGCGCCGUGGCGGUCCCGGCCGUGGAGAGCUUGACGGAGGCGGCGGCGGCGAGCAUAUUGGCGGCGGGAAUGGUGGCGCCGGCUUCUUCAGUUACAGUUACUGUGUUGUGUUGUAGCCGGCCGUCCGUACGUCUAUGGCGGCGAUGGGUUGCGGCCAUAGAGACCGCUCGCAUCGAGUCUUCUUCAAUCCGACUAUAACAAAUUGCUAGCUAGUUCCACGCCCUCCAACGCCCUUUUAGGGAAGGAAGCCUCAAAGGAGGGAGGGCCGCCGAACAAUGUGGUUGAGGACAAUCCAAGGAAAAGGGUGGAGACGAAGAGGGAGCUGGACAAAAGAUAAGUGGUAGAGGGGGGAAUCCUACAGCUAGAAGAACAUCAACCGCGUCAACAGGGAAGGCUGCAAGAAUAGUAGCCAUUCAAGCCAAAGAAAACCGUAGGCACUAACAUAAAAGACCUGACCUAAUCCAUCAAUCAAGGAGCAUGCUAAAAGGAGAUCUAGAGAGAGGGAGAGGCACUGGCAAAUCCUAAUUGAUGGAUCAGAGCCAAGCAUGUUAUGGCAAGGAGCUCGUUGGCUAGCUCAAGGGCGCCUCAAAGAGGAGGGAGGAGGAGGGAUGGGGAUGGAAGAAGGUGUUGGGCAAGGUCACCAGUCCCGCGGGGGAGGGGGGGUCCGAGGCCAGAGCCUGCCACCGGUGCCACGGAUUCGACCAGAUCCAGACGCUAGGAGCGCAGAUCUGCACGCCACCAGUCGGGGGCGCCGGGCCUAGCCUUCAUCGCCGGCUGAGGGGGGGGGGACUAUAAGGAGCCAAGCCGAGGCCCAUCACCGCCCUCACGGACGACACGUCGCCAGACAGCACCGCUGGCGACUGCCCUCCGCGGCCAAGGAGCACGACCGCUCCUUCGCCGGGAACAGCACACCGUCGCCGGGACACACGCCGCCGCACCGCCUCCACCACGCCCCAUCGCGCCACCGCGCACGGCAUUGUUGCUCUCCUCCGGCCAGGUCCAAAAGCAGGGUGCAUUUUUCAUGUUAUGAUACAUGGUUCCUGUUUUCAGGCAAAAACCACCAAGAAGAUUGUGCUGAAGCUGCAAUGCCAAAGCUGCAAGCAUUACUCCCAGCACCCCAUCAAGGUAUUUUUGCAAUGUGAAGAUUCAAGCUGAAAAUUCUCAUGAAUCAGUAUCUUUUUAGAUGUGUUGGAUGCUCACUUACAUAAUUAUUCUGUGCAGAGGUGCAAGCAUUUUAAAAUUGGUGGAGACAAGAAGGGCAAGGGAACGUCUCUUUUCUAAACUACCUACUGGAUACUGAAGUUGUGGGUCUACUGUGCUUCAUACUUCAAUGUUAUUAGGAGCUUAAUUUAAGCAGACCAUAUCAUGUAUUCAAGUACUCUAGCAAGGAUUGGCUUUCUGCUGAAUCAAGUUUUGUUGCUUAAUGCUCAUUGAAUCCAAUGUGAUGCAUGUGUUUAUGUUGCACUGCAAUUUUGUCUUAUGGCAGUUUUAUCUCCCUAAGUACUCGGUGUCUGUUUUUCGUUAUCUUACCUAUGUUUGCAAUCCUAGAGCGACCCACUUAAACGAAUUCCUGUGACAUGAAUCCCUGAGAGGUUAGUCUGAUGAACUUCCAUUUUUCAGACUGAAUUUCGUAUAUGGUUAACUAUACUAUGUUUUGUUCAAUAUCUUCGUCACGAGAUAGAAGGUAUGGAAUACCAUGGAUGGAGGUGAAUUGUAAGAUAGGCCUUGGUCUUGUGAUUGUUAUCUUAGAAGGUCGAUACUAAUGUUUGGUCUUGUGGCGUUAGUGAAACUGUUUUCGUAGCAAUGUUUGGUCUUGUGAUGUUAGUGAACUGUUUUCGUAGCAUUGUAGUACUUGUUCCAUUCUUCAUGCAUGAUUUGGAUAGGUUAUUGACAAUUGUUUAUAGUAAUGAAUUAAAUAUUACACUCCUAAAUCUAUUAUAUAAUUAAAGGAAUAGAAAAAAGAGCCUCCACGUUUACUCUCAUGGCUUAGAAAUUCUCACAUUAAUCGGAGAAAAAAAAACAGAGUCCAUAUAGAAAUACAAUUUAGAAAUAGCUGAAAUUCGGAAUUAAAAAAUAAGGAAUAUUAGAAGAGAAGACUAGAGUUCAUAUAGAAAUACACUUUAGAAAUAGUUGAAAUUUGGAAUUAAAAAAUAAGGAAUAUUAGAAGAGGAGUAUAGAGUCCAUAUAGAAAUACAAUUAGGAAAUAAUAGAAAUUCGGAAUUAAAAAUAAAGAAUAUUAGAAGUAGAGUAUAGAGUCCAUAUAGAAAUACAAUUAGGAAAUAAUAGAAAUUCUGAAUUAAAAAUAAGGAAUAUUAGAAGUAGAGUAUAAAGUCCAUAUAGAAAUACAAUUAAGAAAAAAUAGAAAUUCAGAAUUAAAAAAUAAGAAAUAUUAGAAGUAGAGUAUAGAGUCCAUAUAGGAAUUUAAAACUAACUAAAAUUCGGAAAAAAAAAGGAGCCUCUACGUUCGCUCCCAUGGCCUAGAAAUUCUCACAUUAAUCGAAGAAAAAGAAAAAAACAGAGUUCAUAUAGAAAUACAAUUUAGAAAUAGCUGAAAUUCAGAAUUAAAAAUAAGGAAUAUUAGAAGAGGAGACUAGAGUCCAUAUAGAAAUACACUUUAGAAAUAGCUGAAAUUCGGAAUUAAAAAAAGAAAUAUUAGAAUAGGAGUAUAGAGUCCAUAUAGAAAUACAAUUAGGAAAUAGUUGAAAUUCGGAAUUAAAAAUAAGGAAUAUUAGAAGUAGAGUAUAGAGUCCAUAUAGAAAUACAAUUAGGAAAUAAUUGAAAUUCGGAAUUAAAAAUAAGGAAUAUUAGAAGUAGAGUAUAGAGUCCAUAUAGAAAUACAAUUAGGAAAUAACUGAAAUUCGGAAUUAAAAAUAAGGAAUAUUAGAAGUAGAGCAUAGAGUCCAUAUAGAAAUACAAUUAAGAAAAAAAAUAGAAAUUUGGAAUUAAAAAUAAGAAAUAUUAGAAGUAGAGUAUAGAGUCCAUAUAGGAAUUUCAAACUAACUAAAAUUCGGAAAAAAAAAGGAGCCUUCACGUUCGCUCUCAUGAUCUAGAAAUUCUCACAUUAAUCGGAGAAAAAGAAAAAGCAGAAUCUAUAUAGAAAUACAAUUUAGAAAUAGCUGAAAUUCGGAAUUAAAAAAAAGAAAUAUUAAAAGAGGAGACUAGAGUCCAUAUAGAAAUACAAUUUAGAAAUAGUUGAAAUUCGGAAUUAAAAAAUAAGGAAUAUUAGAAGUGGAGACUAGAGUCCAUAUAGAAAUACAAUUAGGAAAUAACUGAAAUUCGAAAUUAAAAAUAAGGAAUAUUAGAAGUAGAGUAUAGAGUACAUAUAGAAAUACAAUUAGGAAAUAACCGAAAUUUGGAAUUAAAAAUAAGAAAUAUUAGAAGUAGAGUAUAGAGUCCUUAUAGAAAUACAAUUAAGAAAAAAAAUAGAAAUUUGGAAUUAAAAAAUAAGGAAUAUUAGAAGUAGAAUAUAGAGUUCAUAUUGGAAUUUAAAACCAACUAAAAUUCGGAAUAAAAAGGAGCUUUCAGGUUCGCUCUCAUGGCAUAGAAAUUCUCACAUUAAUCAGAGAAAAAGAAAAAACAGAGUCCAUAUAGAAAUACAAUUUAGAAAUAGCUGAAAUUCAGAAUUAAAAAAUAAGAAAUAUUAGAAGAGGAGACUAGAGUAGUUAUUACACAUUAGUAGUUUUGAAAAGUUAUUGCAAAAUUUAAAAUUAUGUUGUCAUUGUAAUAUAUUAUAAUAAUAUAAUGAGAAAACAUAUAUGCUAUUAUAUGAGAGAAAAUAUAAUGAUGCUAGCCGCGCAAUAUGCGCAGGCCACCAUGCUAGUUAUUAUAAACCGAAUAAAUAGCUUAGAACGAGCCAGGCAAUGCUGAUGUAGAAAAUUUCUAGUUUGAGAACAGUGGUAUGCAUAUCCCGAAGUUCAUAAGCUGAAAAGAUUGCACCCUAAAUCUAAUGUAUUGUAAUUUUCCUGUACUGAAAAUGCUGAGGGGGGGACUACAAGGAGCCAAGCCGAGGCCCGUCACCGCCCUCACGGACGACACGUCGCCAGACAGCACCGCUAGCGACUGCCCUCCGCGGCCAAGGAGCACGACCGCUCCUUCGCCGGGAACAGCACACCGUCGCCGGGACACACGCCGCCGCACCGCCUCCACCACGCCCCAUCGCGCCACCGCGCACGGCAUUGUUGCUCUCCUCCGGCCAGGUCCAAAAGCAGGGUGCCAGAUCCAGCCACGGGGGCGCCAGAUCCGAAGCUUCGCGCCGCGCUGAUGUCAGCCCCCACCUAUCACGCGCCGCGUCAUCAUCCUCACGCUGAGCCGUCGCGUCGCCGAGGAAUGGCCUCGCCGCCGCCCUCACAGUUGGCCGCGCGGAACUCCGGUGGCGCGCUCCGGCGGCGGCGAGGGGGGAGAGGAAGGGAGGGGGCGGCGGGGGCUAGGGUUCACCCCCUGUGCCGCUCGCGUGAGAGGGCGACGCGGGGGUCGUGCCGGCUUCGUACUCUUCCAAUUGAGGAUAAGAUGAACUGAUGUGAUAAGUAGUACGGGAUUGUACUUAUUUUAAAACAAAAUUUGAAUAUAAAAUCAUACUUAUUUUAGAAGGAUUGUAGUAUUUGGACUUGGGAGUAAUUUUACUGUUCUUGGUAUUAGAAGGUACCAUUUCUUUUAUAUAAAACUUGGUAUUUCUCGAGGUAUAAAAAACAUACGGUUAGGACCGUAACGAACUGUGUUAGCUGUAGGUUUGCAUCUGUUCCCAAGGUGAUUUAAUUUGAGCAAUUGCAAAUAGCUUUUUCUUCUUUCACUCGGCAGCUGAAUCUUGCUUGGUGGAGUACUCGGGCCGUGCACGUUCAUCCACGGGUUUGAUUUGACAUUGGUCAUGAGCGCGUUUUAGUGGACAAAGUGGUGGUUAGCAUAGUGAAAUUGUCAACGCGAGAAGCAGAAACCAAUUGCUGUUGCUGUCGCCGGUACCAAUACUGUAUGGUGUUCCUGUUCCAUCAGAAUUCAGUCGAGUGCAUGGCAGCUCAUUCUUGUGGCCCAUCACACAAUUAAUCUCCGACGAUGUACUGUACGUAGUGGAGCAUUUAGAUUAGUAAUUCUCGAAUACAUUUUCGUAAGGGUUAAGUGGGCAUAUGUAACGUGUUCACUCCUUGUUACUAUCUCUGUUUUCAGAUGAGUGACAUCAUCAGCAUAGUCCGCAAUACACAUUUUAUCAUCAUAACAAUUUUACACUAUAAAAAACGAUUUUUCGUGAUGUUACCCUAUAUUUUACGCUGGCGUCCAUAUGCAAAAACCGCCAAAAAAACAUAACAAUAGGUGGGGGGCUACGGACCACCAGCAGAAACCAAUUUUUGCUGAUAACCACGCUAAGAGAAAUGCCUAAAAAAACUACUCUAUUUUUCGAGACGAACCUCUUAAGUGUCUGCCAGUUUUUCGAGGCGGACCUCUUAAGUGUCCGCCAGCGAAAAAUCUCAUUUUCACCGGCAGUAGGUAAGGAGGACCACUGCGAAAAAUGUUUUGGGCGAAUAUAUAAAUCUACUGUCCCCCACCCCCACCGCUCCCUUCUCCCUUCCCCCACUGCGCGGCCCCUCCGCCGCCUCUCUUCCUUCUCUCUCGGUUUCACCUUCUUCCUCCCUUCUCCACCGCCGCCGGCUGCCGUCGCCUCUACCGCCUCUCCGCGGUGGUGGGGCGUGGCCUCCUCCUCUCCACCGCUAGCCGCCAUAAGCUCGGGGCCGGAUUCGGCCGCUGCGACGAUGGUGGAGGCCGGAUCUGCCGCCGCGACGACGGGGGAGGCUAGAUCCGUCGCCGCGACCGCCGCAGGGCCACUAGUCUCUAAAGACUAAACUAUAUAUUUAAAAAAACAUUACCAAUAUAACUUUAUGAAAGAGAGUUUCUCAUAAAAAAAAAUAUACCAAUAUAACUUUUCAUAUUUUAAAUAUUUUUACGUCUAUUAAAUUUUUAAGGUUUCAAGAUUUGACUGCACUUACAGGAGAUACUACUAUACAAGAAUCAACGAGAAACGAAUUUUUAAGUUGCGAUAAACUGGUAGUAGUAAGAUUUUGUGAACAAGGAUAAUGCAUAUCUGUGUAAAAAAAAUAUAUAGUGCAAAUCACAUAUACAUUGAAAAUCUAGAAACUAUUGUCACGAGUAAAAUUUUUACCAACCAAACGGCCACAAUGUCGCGCAGGGCUUAUCCGGGGCACUACUGCCCAUGGGCUGAAAGUGCGGCCACAAGCCCACAAUAUCUUGCGGGGCUUAGCCGGGGCACCACGGCCCAUGGGCUCUAUCUCCCUCACCAGUAAAGCCCUAGCCUCCAAGACCGCACCCGUAUAAAGCUGCAGACCUCUCUCUCCUUCUCCUCCCCCGCCACCGCCGCUCGCCUCCGAAACCCUAGCCGCCCCCUCCCCGCGGCCGCGAAAAUGGUACGCUUCUCCCUCCUCCUCCUCCUCCUCCUCCCCUCCGCCGCACGACGGGAAGAUCGCACGCGUGCUUGUCCUCGUGCCAGUCCACGGCUCCGCGCGCCGUCUUUCUCAUGGUGUUUCACAAUUUGUAGGAUGCGUUCUUUAUUCAUGUUGAUCUGCCGUAGAUGGGGGGAUCUUGAGCCGGAGGAGAGGAGUAGCUAGUUUCUUUGAUUAUGCGUUUUGGGGUCUAGCGGAUUUUAACAUGAGAUGGUUUCUCUUUAGCGACAUUUUUUUUGUUCAUGUUGAUGUCCACGGUGAUUGUUCUAGUUAUGUCAUUUUUAUCUUCAAGACUUCAAUGCUUUGAAUCGUGGGUAUAGACCAGAUUAUUGUCGUGAAGAUCGACGUAUUUUCCGAGCUGACCCUCUGCAUGCUGAAAAUUUUGUAGUGGGUUAUAUCUAGAUUAUAUGUGUAUUGUUGUCAUUUAAUUAGCACUUAAACUUCUGUAGUAUGAACAUUUUCAUCAUUUUCCUGUGAGGACAUGGGAUGAGUUCCUUUUUUUUUCUCUUGUUCUAAAAUUGUUCGGUAAUCUUGUCUGGCUUUGACUGAUGGGCUCCGAUGAUGGCAUGAAAUCUUUGAGACCUGACAUUCUUGUGAUGACAAACAUAAGCAUAUUUCCUGAGACCCAAUUGAGGUUUUAACCAUUGGUUUGCUGAAUGUGUCUUCACUGUUGAAAAAUUUGUACACACAUUUGCUUCAAAUUAUGCACAUUUGAUUAUUGUUUAUAGGCCUGCGAUGUCCAUUCCACAUUCAGUAUUUGUUAAGCUGAGUGCUUUUGUUUCAAAUUUGUUUUGUAUAGGUGAACGUUCCCAAGACCAAGAAGACCUACUGCAAGAACAAGGAGUGCAGGAAGCACACCCUUCACAAGGUCACUCAGUACAAGAAGGGUAAGGACAGCCUGUCUGCCCAGGGAAAGCGCCGUUAUGACCGAAAGCAGUCAGGAUAUGGUGGUCAGACCAAGCCUGUUUUCCACAAGAAGGUACUGUGACAGUUUAUAUAUGAUUAUGCAGUGUUGUGUGUGACUCUCUGUUCAUUAGAAACGUACGGUGUCAUGAUUGAUGUAGCAGUGAUAUGUGUCUGUACAAUGCAUGUGGCAAUAACCAUCACGUAGUUUUAAUUGCAUGUGGCUUUCAGCUGUGCAUUUUUCAUGUUAUGAUACAUGGUUCCUGUUUUCAGGCAAAAACCACCAAGAAGAUCGUGCUGAAGCUGCAAUGCCAAAGCUGCAAGCAUUACUCCCAGCACCCCAUCAAGGUAUUAUUUCAUUGUCAAGACUCCAGAGCUGAAAAUUAUCAUGAAUCAUUAUUUUGCUGGAUGUGUUGGAUGCUCACUUGCAUAAUUGUUCUCUGCAGAGGUGCAAGCAUUUCGAGAUUGGUGGAGACAAGAAGGGCAAGGGAACAUCUCUUUUCUAAAUUGCUUGCUACCUACUGGAUACUAUAGUUGUUGGUCUACUGUGCUUCAAUAUUUCAAUGUUAUUAGGAGCUUAUUUAAGCAGACCAUAUCAAUGUAUUCAAGUAUCAUCGUCUGACAUUUACUCUAGCAAGGAUUGGCUUUCUGCUGAAUCAAGUUUUGUUGCUUAAUGCUCGUUGAAUCCAAUGUGAUGCAUGUGUUUAUAUUUUGCUGCAAUUUUAUCUUACGACAGUUCUAUUUACCUUAGUCCUCAGUAUCCCUUUUCUUUUUUUGUUAUCUUACCUGCUGUCUUUUGAUUAGUAGUUAGCAAACAUAGAGCGACCCACUUUAAUUACUUCCCGUGACAUGAAUAUGACCUCGAGAGAUUAGUCUAGUGAACUUCCUUUUUCAGACUGAAUGUUGUAUUGUUAACUGUACUGGCGUUUGGUCAGUAUCUUUCGAAAGAGAUGGAAUGUAGGGACGUAAUUUUAUUGCAAGAUAAUUCAUUUGUUCUUGUGGUUCAGUAUCUUGGAAGGUCUUGUGAUAUUAGUGAAUUCUUUUCGUAGCAUUGCAGUACUUGCUCUGUCCUUAAUGCAUGAUUCGAUAGGCUACGCAAUCCCGUUUGUAGUAAUGAAUUAAAAAUUAUAUAUUAUUAUGAACCGAAUAAAUAGCUUCGAACAAGCUAAGCAAUGCUGAUGUAGAAAAAAAUUAGUUUGAGAACCGUGGUAUAUUCCAAAGUUUGUAACUGUCAUAAGCUGCCCCCCAACCCACCCAAAAAAACCGGAUGGCAGCAAUCACAACUUAGCAUUGCUGCUCAUGGCAAUGUUCAUAUACUAUGAGUGCGGGUUAGUUCAGACUACAGACACGUGUGGUAAUUGUUUUUUUUUUAGUUUUUUAUUUUGUUUGUUAGGUGGUGUUUGGAUCCAGGGAUUAAACUUUAGUCUUUGUUUUAGAUACUAAUUUAGAGUAUUAAAUAUUGACUACUUACAAAACUAAUUACAUAAAUGAGAGCUAAUUCGUGAGACAAAUUUUUUAGGGUUAAUUGGAUAGAUGCCAUUAUAAAAUCUUUAGUUUUGAAAUAUACCGUUACUAUUAAACUAUUUAGAAACAUGCCAUUACAACUUUUUCAGGUAUUGGAAAUAUGUCACUGUACAACCUUUGGAUGUGUUUAACAAAAAUUUUAGACCAAAUCGCUCUCGUCUUCUCCUUUGUCUCCACCCUCUCCUGUUCAUCUUCUUUCUUCCAUUUCUUUCCCUUUUGGAUCUGGUAUCUUAGUAUUCUUCCUCCACAUCUCCUUUCUCGGCCAGCAACGGCGGUGUUGUGCUGCACCAUCUAGUUUCCCUUCUUCCCUUCGCUGGCCGCAUCACCACCUUCUCAGUUUCCAGCCUCCCCGAGGUCUACUGCAACAACCAAGACGCGGAGCAUGUCGUUCUUGAAUGUCCAGCACCCGGACGCCCAAGGACGUGCCCCUGUCGGUGCAGCUGGAGUCAUUCGCCUACAGCGGCUUCACCAUGGCGUGGUCCACGUCCACCGAUUACGUGCUCGUCGACGAGCGCGCCUUGUGCACAGGGCCGGUCCUGAGUUUUCAAGCUCUAGGACAAAAACUUACGUGGAGGCCCCUAUAUAUAUACAUAAACUAAUAUAUAUAUUUAUAGUCUUAUAAACAUGUAAUAUUUAAUAUUUGAUAUGAUAAAAUUAUCUAUAUAUAAUAUUUUAAAACUUUCAAAGAGAAAUAAUAUAAUCAUAAACACUUACUUGGCACUUUCAAAAGUUUCUUCUAAAAUUUCAAUGAAAUCAUCCGAACAUUUUUUCCGUUUUCUUUUUUCGCUACCGGAUACAUAUUUUCUUGACAAUAUGAUUAAUGUUGUGCUAAAAAAUAAUCAUUAAUUAUUAAGUAGUACAAGCUAAUAAUUUUUGAUCUAUAAAGAGGAAAAAGAAAGAUAGAGAAAAUUACCUUAGACGACGACUGCGAGGCGCGAGCAGCCGAUCGGCCGAUGAGGGCGCGCCGCCGGGCGGUUGGCCUCCAAUCGACGUAGUCAGCCAGUCAUGCAGAGCCGCUGCGAUUUGCUGCCGAUUGCCGUGUUUGCGUUGCGGUUUGCCGCCGUUUACCGUUUGCAACGCGACGCGAGGCGUGAUCGAGGCGACGGGAACGGAGUCAGAUCGCUUCACUUUUCCUUCGCUCCUCUUCGUCUUCUGUCUUCGAUACCAUACAUGAUUCAGGACUGAGAGCGAUGCUGACCCUGGGGGCGUCGUGGGCCAUGGCCCAUCCGCCAUGGGGCCCCCUAAAUUUUGGGGGACUCGGGCGUGCGCACGGGCUGACCCCCCCUAGGGCCGGCCCUGCUUGUGCAUGAUCCUGACAAAGUGACUAUUACUGUGUACUCCUAAUCUCACAGCAGCAAGAAACGGGAGGAAGAAGAUGAACAACAGAACAGGAGAGAUGGGGGAGGCAAAGGAAGAAGACGGGGGCAAUUUGGUCCAAAAUUUUUGUUAGACAUAUCCAAGGGGUAUGUAAUGGUAUAUUUCCAAUACCUGAAAAAUUAUAAUGGCAUACCUCCAAAUAGUUGAGUAGUAAUGGUAUAUUUCAAAACUGAAGAAUUUACAAUGGCAUGUAUCCAAUUAACCCAAUUUUUUAAGCCUAAUUAAUUCAUAAUUAUAGAAUGUUUAUUGUAUCAUCACAUAGGCUAAUCAUGGAUUUAUUAGGCUCAAUAGAUUCGUCUCGCGAAUAAGUCCAAGAUUAUGGAUAGGUUUUGUUAAUAGUCUAUAUUUAAUACUUCUAAUUAGUGUCCAAACAUCCAAUUUGGAAGGGACUAAAAAAUUUUAGUCCAUUCCAAACACCUCCUUAUUAUUUUUAUCAAAUAGCCACGUAAGCGUCAUGUCAAUAGCACGUGGGACGAAGACCCCUAGUCAAAGGCGUCAUGUCAGCUAAAACCGGAGACAUUGCUACCGAGAGAGCUCGUUUGCACAGUUUGAAGAAGGUGUCAUGUCAGCCAAAACCAGAAAUAUUAUUACCGAGGGACCUCGUUUGCACACUUUGAAGGAUGGAUUGUAUAUGGUUUUCGGAUAAGGAUGAAAAACAGACUAAGCGACAAAGUAAGAGACCUAAAGUGAACUUAUUUGAGGGAUAAAGUCCACUUGGACUUCCUUAACUAUAAGGGAAUAAGUUCACCUGACGUCCCUUAACUUUAAGUCGAGUUCGUCUGAGGUUCCUAAUCCACAAUAAAAUCUCUACCUCUCAACUAAUCAUAAACCGUGCGAAAAAGAUCACAAAACAGACGGAGCGAUGAAGUAAGGGACCUAAAGUGAACUCAUUUUGAGGGAUAAAGUCACUUCAUAACUAUAAGGGAAUAUAAGUUCACCUGACGGCCCUCAACUUUAUGUUGAGUUUGUCUGAGGUCCCUAAUCCGCGAUAGCAAAAAUCUCUACCCCUCAACUAUCAUAAACCGUGCAAAAAAGAUCCCAAGACAAUAUUGAUCCAUUUUCUCCGGUUUUGCUGACGUGGCAUACGGUGGGACCCACAUGUCAGCGUCCUGUCUUCUCCUCUUUUCUUUUUUCUUUUUUUUUCUUCUUGUCUUUUCUUUCUUCUCUCUUCUCCUCUUCCCUUCUUCUCCUAGCCUGAGAGGCCGGCGGGCGGGCGAGCAGGCGACGGCAGGCGGUGGCGGCGGUGUGCGGAGCAGGCAAGGGGUAACGGGUGGCGGGCGAGCGACGGCGCCUCAGAGAGGGUGUGGUGUGGGCGUCGCUGUGCUGUGGCGGGCGGAGCGGGGUGGCGGCGGUGGGGUGCAGAGGACGACGACAUAUGGAAGUGAUGGCGGACGCUGUAGGGGACGAUGGCGAGGAGGACGAAGUAGGCCGGGAGAGGAUGACUCCGACGCGCUUGGGGUUUCACCAGGAGACCUCGCCUUCACCGUCUUCGUGCCCUCACCAGAGUCGUUCCACCGCGUCCUCAGGCUGCGGCGUCCCAAUAACAACGUUGCCGAUGGGUGGGUCUCACAUUUUCCUUCUAUUUCACUUACAUGUGGGACUCACAUAUUAUUUUAUUCCUAUUUUGCUAACUAGGAUGCCACGUUAGUGAAACCAAGACAUCUAUACUGCCAUAGGACAUAAAUUGAACGGUUUUGUAUAUUUGGGGUGAAGAUUUCUGGUAUUGAGGAUAAGGGAUGGCAAACAAACUCGGUGUAAAGUUGAGGGACAUCAGAUGAACUUAUUCCAACUAUAAGGCAACGCAUCACGGUGCAUGGCCCAUGGGCUGCGCAUUCUGGCCCACAAAGCAGCACACGCACCAGUAAACCCUAGCCUCCAGGAGCUCACCCGUAUAAAGUCGCAGACCUUCUCCUUCCCCUCCCCGCCGCCACUCGCCGCAGCGUGUCGACCAGACAAGGCAGCGCCUCCGAAACCCUAGCUCCCCGCCUUCCCCUCCGCGGCCGCCAAAAUGGUACGCUUCUUCCUCCUCCCCGUCCGCCUCUCUCCGCCGCACGACGGCAAGAUCAUGCGCUCGUGUGUCCUCGUGCCAGUCCACGGCACCCUGCUCUGGUCGAUUUGUAGGGGGAUUGCGUUCUUUAUUCAUGUUGAUCUGCUGUAGAUGGGGGCGAUCUUGAGCCGGAGGAGUAGCUAGUUUCUUAUUGAUGCGGUUUCGGGGUUUUUAGAGAUUUAACACGGUUUCGCGGUUUCUCUUUAGCGAUUUCUUUUUUCAUGUUGAUAUAAUGAUAUCCACGGUGGUUGUUCUAGUUAUGUCAUUUUUAUCUUGAGUGCUUUGUGUGAUUGUUUUUCAAUUGUGGGUAGAGACCAGAUUAUUGUCGUUAAGAUGCAUGCUCUGAAACGCGGAAUUUUUUUGUAAUGGGUUAUAUCUAGAUUAUGUGUAUUGCUGUCAUUCAAUAGUCUUUUCUUAAUACAAGGCGCAACCGUCUUUUCUUCAAGUACCAGUAUACAAGGCGGCAACUGCUCAACUCCGUACUUGGUGCAUGCAAGCAUUGAAUGGAUGGUUGCAUGAGCUCAUGAUAUUCGGUUCAUUAGUUUAAAGGCAAAGGAUCCACCACUCGGAUGCUUGCAUGCACGCGCAAAAACUGCAGGACACGGGUGCAUGCUGCUUUGGCACUAGAUGCGAUGAACUGAUCAAAGCGUCACGCAUUGGAACGCGCUGGAAUAAAUCGGUACGAUGGGUAGUUAUAGGUUUUCUUGUUCUCCGAGUCCAAACAAGUUAUGCCUUGUAUUAAGGAAUGGAGGGAGUAGCAAUUAACUUCUGGAGUAAACAUUUUUCAUCAUCUUCCUUGAGGACGUGGGAUGAAUUCUUUUUUUUAUCUUGUGCGAAAAUUGUUUGGUAAUCAUGUCUGGUUUUGACUGAUGGGCUCCGAUGAUGGCAUGAAAUCUUUGAGACCUGACAUUCUUGUGAUGACAAACAUAAGCAUAUUUCCUGAGGACCCAAUUGAGGUUUUAACCAUUGGUCUGCUGAAUUUGUCUUUGCUGUCGAAAAAUAUCGAUUCACAUGUGCUUCUGAUUAUGCACAUUUGAUUGUGUUGUUUAUAGGCCUGCUAUGUGCUUUCCAAUAACCAGUAUUUGUUAAAUUUGUUUCAUAUUUCUUAUGUAUAGGUGAACGUUCCCAAGACCAAGAAGACCUACUGCAAGAACAAGGAGUGCAGGAAGCACACCCUUCACAAGGUCACUCAGUACAAGAAGGGUAAGGACAGCCUGUCUGCCCAGGGAAAGCGCCGUUAUGACCGUAAGCAGUCAGGAUAUGGUGGUCAGACCAAGCCUGUUUUCCACAAGAAGGUAUUGUGACAGUUUAUAUGUGAUUACGCAGUGCUGUGUGUGAUUGUCUCUCUUCAUUAGAAACAUAUGGUGUCAUGAUUUGUGUCUGUUCAAUGCAAACAUGUGGCAAUAACCAUCAUGUAGUUUUAAUGUAUCUGACUUUCAGCUGUGCAUUUUUCAUGUUAUGAUACAUGGUUCCUGUUUUCAGGCAAAAACCACCAAGAAGAUUGUGCUGAAGCUGCAAUGCCAAAGCUGCAAGCAUUACUCCCAGCACCCCAUCAAGGUAUUAUUUCAUUGUCAAGACUCAAGCUGAAAAUUGUCAUGAAUCAAUCAGUAUCUUUUUAGAUGUGUUGGGUGCUAUCUUACAUUAUUAUUCUUUACAGAGGUGCAAGCAUUUCGAGAUUGGUGGAGACAAGAAGGGCAAGGGAACAUCUCUUUUCUAAACUACCUACUGGAUACUGAAGUUGUGGGUCUAUUGUGCUUCAUACUUCAAUGUUAUUAGGAACUUAAUUUAAGCAGACCAUAUCAUGUAUUCAAGUAUCAUCGUCUGACAUUUACUCUAGCAAGGAUUGGCUUUCUGCUGAAUCAAGUUUUCUUGCUUAAUGCUCGUCGAAUCCAAUGUGAUGCAUGUCUUUAGAUGGCACUGCAAUUGUGACUUUUGUCUUAUGGCAGUUUUAUCUCCCUAAGUCCUCAGUGUCUGUUUUUCGUUAUCUUACCCGAGUUUGCAAUCCUAGAGCGACCCACGUAAACGAAUUCCUGUGACAUGAAUCCCUGAGAGGCUAGUCUGAUGAACUUCCGUUUUUCAGAUCGAAUUUCGUAUAUGGUUAACUAUACUAUGUUUUGUUCAAUAUCUUCGUAACGAGAUGGAAGGUAUGGAAUACUAUGGAUGGAGGUGAAUUGAAAGAUAGGCCUUGGUCUUGUGAUUGUUAUCUUAGAAGGUCGAUACUAAUGUUUGGUCUUGUGGCGUUAGUGAAACUGUUUUCGUAGCAAUGUUUGGUCUUGUGAUGUUAUUGAACUGUUUUCGUAGCAUUGUAUUACUUGUUCCAUUCUUCAUGCAUGAUUUGGAUAGGUUAUUGACAAUUGUUUAUAGUAAUGAAUUAAAUAUUACACUCCUAAAUUAUUAUAAACCGAAUAAAUAGCUUAAAGCGAGCCAGGCAAUGCUGAUGUAGAAAAUUUCUAGUUUGAGAACCGUGGUAUGCAUAUCCCGAAGUUCAUAAGCUGAAAAGAUUGCACCCUAAAUCUAAUGUAUUGUAGUUUUCCUGUACUGAAAAUGCUGUUGGAUCGGACAGCCGUGGUGAUUGGUUGCGUUCAUUUUCAAGUUGUAGCCAAGUUAAAUAAAGUAUAGAAGGAUAUGCAAGUAGCAACAUCGGAGGAGUGCCAUCGCAGUGAUCCUCCCAAAAAGCACGAAAGAAACAUCUUCAUUGGAACCUAAGCAGCUCUGGCCUUUUGAGCCCAGAAAAGCUAUCCUUGAUUCAAGCACAAACCGUCAUUUGGUUAUAUGCUUUCUCCAAAUACUAGCAUGAGUAAAUUGCAUUGGCGGUACACGAACUUGCUAGGUGGAAGCAAUCUAGUACAUAAACUUAUAAAACGCUCAUUUUGAUACACGAACUUGUUAGGUGCAUGUGAAUCAAGGCCAAAAGAAAAAACAAAGCUAAUCUUAUUUUAGUGUUAAUUAGGAUACUACAUAAACACAUGUGUGAGAAAAAUGCUAAGUACAUAUACAUUUGUUCAAUAAAAAGGGGUUAAUAAGGCCUAAAGAUUGUAUGGAGAAAGACACAAAAAUACUGAGAAAUAGUGCAAGGGGUAGAACAAAGAAUAAUAAAGCACAAAUGCAUGUCUCAUGUCCACCUCCAUAUGCACAUCUCGUCCUAAUCAGUGUAUAACUUAGUAAAAUUGAUUAUGAUGUGUCAUUUUGACCUUGUUUCACAUGCAUCGAACAAAUUCAUGUACCGAAACAAGUCUUUUACAAGUUCGUGUAGUAAAGUGCAUCCAUCUGGCAAUUUACUCUACUAGCAUUUGAAGCUAAAAGGCUUUGGCCUUUUGGAGCCCAGAAAAGCUGUUCUUGAUUCCAGAACAGAUCGUCAUUUUUGGGGUAUAUGCCUCCUCCAGAAUCCUAAAAUUCUCAUUUCAUGUAAGGAAAAUCGCAAGUGUCCAACGCUGAAUCCAUCCCAGAGAUCUCAGUGAGCAAAUUGCACAGCGCCAGUUGGGACUAUUCAAGGAUUUUCAGGGCCAUGCCCUGUACCCAUCAUCCAUCACCCAGCAACAAAACAAGCCGGACCGUAGUGUGUCAAGCAUGCACUGCUUCUGCUCUCCGAUCUAACCGGUAGCCCCCAACUCAUUCUGAACCACACCUUGUGUUUUGGACCACAUCACAAAAUUCAGAAGCAGCAGCAGCAGCAGCAAAGGGUCAAGCAAAAAAUCUAACAGCUUUAUUUAGGCAGAUCCACCUCUCUACAUCAUCAUAGUCAUAGUACAAGAACUCGACGAAUUCAGAAGAAACAUUGGCAGCUACACCUAGAGAAAGAAAAAUGAAAAGAAAAGAAGAUCUAAUAUAUUACAAGGGAUCCUUGGAUAUAUGCUCAUAGCAUUGUUACAUCCCGAGCACCGAGUCGCGACUUGUGGCGAAAACGGGUGCCAUUUCCAUGCUUAUGCCAUUACUGCUUCGCCUGAAAAAAUGAGAUGUUUUUUUUUUGGUUAGAGAUUCAGACUUAUGUUCAUGAAUUGGCUCUUUUGUGAAAAAUGUGAUUUGGUAAAACAUGUGCGGAAAAUCUACCUGAGAGUAGAUGAAAGUUCCGAGAAUCGCAAUGGCGGCUCCGAGGGCGUUGAUGGGCUGGACCGGCGUGUGGAAGAUGAUGAUGGAGGCGACAAUGACGGAGAUCCGCUUCAUGGUGUUGCCGAUGCUGAAUGUCAGUGGUGAGAUCUCGUCCAAUGACAUGUAGGACACUUGGUUGUACAAGUGGUAGAACACACUCUGCGCCGCCACCCACCUACAAAACCACAGAGAAAUCCAUGGCCACAUGAAUCAGCUGGAUUAUCACACAAAAAUAUCAUCAAAUCUUUUGAUACUUCUUAUUUCUCUUUCAGAAUGAACUGAAGAAGAUAUUGCCGCUUAGGAGGAAAUGAUAGUGAUAGGACGAUCCUAUAUCUAUAUUAAUUGAUAAUGGUUCUUUUUGUAUAGAAUACUUGAGUGAUGUUACUGAAAGUACAAAGUGUUGCAUGCUGAAACUGUUUGAAAGCUUAGGUCAAGCACUUAUCACUAGAAAUUUUUUGCCCAAUUGAUACCCAAAAAUCUCAACUGACGUGAUGGUUGUGACAGUGAAACGGUGAGAAGUGGUACAAAGAAAAGCAUGUGAGGCUCACCAGACGAAGUUUGGACCGAUCUCGGCGACGGCUUUUUGCCAGCCGGCAGCCCACACCUUGGGCCCCUCCAUGGCGAAGGCGAAAGGGAGGAGGAUGACCAGCGAGAGCAUGGAGAGGCAGGCGUAGUAGUUCAUCCCGCUCACCGACUUGCCCUUCAUCCCCUUCUUGGAGAAUAUGUUCCGGAACACGAAUGCCAGGUUCGAGAUCAUCGCCCCCAUGAAUCCUGCAUCGAAUUUUCAGCAAUACACGAUGAACAGAUUGAUGUGAUGUGUCAGGUUUAUGAACAAAUUGUGCACUUUUUCGUGGCUGGUGUAUAUUUCUUUAUCUGACAUAAGAAAACAUAUCUUUGGUUAAUGGACAGUUCUUGUUCUGAAGAAUUCUUGGAGAUAAUAUCUAUUUUUUUAAUCAAAAAGUGAGGAUAUUUCUGGUGUAUCUGCUGCAAGUAUCUCCAGGAUUUCAGGUGGAGAGACAGAGAGAUGCAGAGUGUUUGCUCACUCACCAAUCAUGUUGAAAUUGAGCUCGGUGAUGGCGGCGAGGGCGCAUCCGCCGAUGAUUGGGAGGAGGGAGAAGUAGACCGGCGCCGGGAAGUGCUCGCCGAGGAAGAACCUGGAGACGAGCACGCUGAACGCCGGCUCGCCGCUCUUGAUGAUGUGGGUGAACGACACCGCCACCUUCGCCAUGCUCACCGUCGCCGCCACGUGCCCGAUGGUGUGCGCGAUCGCCACCUGCUCGUCCCACAACGAGCAAAAACGAAUCCCCAAAUCCAACGAACGCGUCAGAGAUUCAGAAUAGAACAGAAUCAAGAAGGAGGAGACGAUGGUGUCCAUGGUCAAUGCGAUCUCACCGGAGACAGGGCCUUCCAGAAAUCGAGGUCGGUGGCGGGCGCCUCGGCGAUCCUGGUGGCCCAGGAGGCGAGCAUGAUGGCGGAGCCGGCGGCGAGGGAGAGCGUGGACGUGAGCCACGGGUAAGGGAACGCGUUGAGCACCUUCUUGUUGUAGAUGUUGAAGAUCACGUUCAGCGCCCACCACGUCGCGAAGUAGACCCCGAUCUUGGCCCGCCUCGCCGCCUCCUCCGGCGCCGCGCCCGCCGGUGCAGCCUCCACCGGCCGGGCGCCGUCGGCGGUGGCGGACGGCGGCGGCGGCGCCGGUGACGCGACGCGCGACGCCAGGAAUAACGGGUCCUGCUGCCGGUACAGGGGGCGCGCCGAGAGGGAGAGGGGACGUGGCCCGGCGGCGGCGGCGGCGGCGGCGAAGAGGGGAGGGAGGUGGAGGGGCUUGAAUAAUGCCAUCUUGGGCGCCGUGGCGGUCCCGGCCGUGGAGAGCUUGACGGAGGCGGCGGCGGCGAGCAUAUUGGCGGCGGGAAUGGUGGCGCCGGCUUCUUCAGUUACAGUUACUGUGUUGUGUUGUAGCCGGCCGUCCGUACGUCUAUGGCGGCGAUGGGUUGCGGCCAUAGAGACUGCUCGCAUCGAGUCUUCUUCAAUCCGACUAUAACAAAUUGCUAGCUAGUUCCACGCCCUCCAACGCCCUUUUAGGGAAGGAAGCCUCAAAGGAGAGAGGGCCGCCGAACAAUGUGGUUGAGGACAAUCCAAGGAAAAGGGUGGAGACGAAGAGGGAGCUGGACAAAAGAUAAGUGGUAGAGGGGGGAAUCCUACAGCUAGAAGAACAUCAACCGCGUCAACAGGGAAGGCUGCAAGAAUAGUAGCCAUUCAAGCCAAAGAAAACCGUAGGCACUAACAUAAAAGACCUGACCUAAUCCAUCAAUCAAGGAGCAUGCUAAAAGGAGAUCUAGAGAGAGGGAGAGGCACUGGCAAAUCCUAAUUGAUGGAUCAGAGCCAAGCAUGUUAUGGCAAGGAGCUCGUUGGCUAGCUCAAGGGCGCCUCAAAGAGGAGGGAGGAGGAGGGAUGGGGAUGGAAGAAGGUGUUGGGCAAGGUCACCAGUCCCGCGGGGGAGGGGGGGUCCGAGGCCAGAGCCUGCCACCGGUGCCACGGAUUCGACCAGAUCCAGCCGCUAGGAGCGCAGAUCUGCACGCCACCAGUCGGGGGCGCCGGGCCUAGCCUUCAUCGCCGGCUGAGGGGGGGGGGACUAUAAGGAGCCAAGCCGAGGCCCAUCACCGCCCUCACGGACGACACGUCGCCAGACAGCACCGCUGGCGACUGCCCUCCGCGGCCAAGGAGCACGACCGCUCCUUCGCCGGGAACAGCACACCGUCGCCGGGACACACGCCGCCGCACCGCCUCCACCACGCCCCAUCGCGCCACCGCGCACGGCAUUGUUGCUCUCCUCCGGCCAGGUCCAAAAGCAGGGUGCAUUUUUCAUGUUAUGAUACAUGGUUCCUGUUUUCAGGCAAAAACCACCAAGAAGAUUGUGCUGAAGCUGCAAUGCCAAAGCUGCAAGCAUUACUCCCAGCACCCCAUCAAGGUAUUUUUGCAAUGUGAAGAUUCAAGCUGAAAAUUCUCAUGAAUCAGUAUCUUUUUAGAUGUGUUGGAUGCUCACUUACAUAAUUAUUCUGUGCAGAGGUGCAAGCAUUUUAAAAUUGGUGGAGACAAGAAGGGCAAGGGAACGUCUCUUUUCUAAACUACCUACUGGAUACUGAAGUUGUGGGUCUACUGUGCUUCAUACUUCAAUGUUAUUAGGAGCUUAAUUUAAGCAGACCAUAUCAUGUAUUCAAGUACUCUAGCAAGGAUUGGCUUUCUGCUGAAUCAAGUUUUGUUGCUUAAUGCUCAUUGAAUCCAAUGUGAUGCAUGUGUUUAUGUUGCACUGCAAUUUUGUCUUAUGGCAGUUUUAUCUCCCUAAGUACUCGGUGUCUGUUUUUCGUUAUCUUACCUAUGUUUGCAAUCCUAGAGCGACCCACUUAAACGAAUUCCUGUGACAUGAAUCCCUGAGAGGUUAGUCUGAUGAACUUCCAUUUUUCAGACUGAAUUUCGUAUAUGGUUAACUAUACUAUGUUUUGUUCAAUAUCUUCGUCACGAGAUAGAAGGUAUGGAAUACCAUGGAUGGAGGUGAAUUGUAAGAUAGGCCUUGGUCUUGUGAUUGUUAUCUUAGAAGGUCGAUACUAAUGUUUGGUCUUGUGGCGUUAGUGAAACUGUUUUCGUAGCAAUGUUUGGUCUUGUGAUGUUAGUGAACUGUUUUCGUAGCAUUGUAGUACUUGUUCCAUUCUUCAUGCAUGAUUUGGAUAGGUUAUUGACAAUUGUUUAUAGUAAUGAAUUAAAUAUUACACUCCUAAAUCUAUUAUAUAAUUAAAGGAAUAGAAAAAGGAGCCUCCACGUUUACUCUCAUGGCUUAGAAAUUCUCACAUUAAUCGGAGAAAAAAAAACAGAGUCCAUAUAGAAAUACAAUUUAGAAAUAGCUGAAAUUCGGAAUUAAAAAAUAAGGAAUAUUAGAAGAGAAGACUAGAGUUCAUAUAGAAAUACACUUUAGAAAUAGUUGAAAUUUGGAAUUAAAAAAUAAGGAAUAUUAGAAGAGGAGUAUAGAGUCCAUAUAGAAAUACAAUUAGGAAAUAAUAGAAAUUCGGAAUUAAAAAUAAAGAAUAUUAGAAGUAGAGUAUAGAGUCCAUAUAGAAAUACAAUUAGGAAAUAAUAGAAAUUCUGAAUUAAAAAUAAGGAAUAUUAGAAGUAGAGUAUAAAGUCCAUAUAGAAAUACAAUUAAGAAAAAAUAGAAAUUCAGAAUUAAAAAAUAAGAAAUAUUAGAAGUAGAGUAUAGAGUCCAUAUAGGAAUUUAAAACUAACUAAAAUUCGGAAAAAAAAAAAGGAGCCUCUACGUUCGCUCCCAUGGCCUAGAAAUUCUCACAUUAAUCGAAGAAAAAGAAAAAAACAGACUUCAUAUAGAAAUACAAUUUAGAAAUAGCUGAAAUUCAGAAUUAAAAAUAAGGAAUAUUAGAAGAGGAGACUAGAGUCCAUAUAGAAAUACACUUUAGAAAUAGCUGAAAUUCGGAAUUAAAAAAAGAAAUAUUAGAAUAGGAGUAUAGAGUCCAUAUAGAAAUACAAUUAGGAAAUAGUUGAAAUUCGGAAUUAAAAAUAAGGAAUAUUAGAAGUAGAGUAUAGAGUCCAUAUAGAAAUACAAUUAGGAAAUAAUUGAAAUUCGGAAUUAAAAAUAAGGAAUAUUAGAAGUAGAGUAUAGAGUCCAUAUAGAAAUACAAUUAGGAAAUAACUGAAAUUCGGAAUUAAAAAUAAGGAAUAUUAGAAGUAGAGCAUAGAGUCCAUAUAGAAAUACAAUUAAGAAAAAAAAUAGAAAUUUGGAAUUAAAAAUAAGAAAUAUUAGAAGUAGAGUAUAGAGUCCAUAUAGGAAUUUCAAACUAACUAAAAUUCGGAAAAAAAAAGGAGCCUUCACGUUCGCUCUCAUGAUCUAGAAAUUCUCACAUUAAUCGGAGAAAAAGAAAAAGCAGAAUCUAUAUAGAAAUACAAUUUAGAAAUAGCUGAAAUUCGGAAUUAAAAAAAAGAAAUAUUAAAAGAGGAGACUAGAGUCCAUAUAGAAAUACAAUUUAGAAAUAGUUGAAAUUCGGAAUUAAAAAAUAAGGAAUAUUAGAAGUGGAGACUAGAGUCCAUAUAGAAAUACAAUUAGGAAAUAACUGAAAUUCGAAAUUAAAAAUAAGGAAUAUUAGAAGUAGAGUAUAGAGUACAUAUAGAAAUACAAUUAGGAAAUAACCGAAAUUUGGAAUUAAAAAUAAGAAAUAUUAGAAGUAGAGUAUAGAGUCCUUAUAGAAAUACAAUUAAGAAAAAAAAUAGAAAUUUGGAAUUAAAAAAUAAGGAAUAUUAGAAGUAGAAUAUAGAGUUCAUAUUGGAAUUUAAAACCAACUAAAAUUCGGAAUAAAAAGGAGCUUUCAGGUUCGCUCUCAUGGCAUAGAAAUUCUCACAUUAAUCAGAGAAAAAGAAAAAACAGAGUCCAUAUAGAAAUACAAUUUAGAAAUAGCUGAAAUUCAGAAUUAAAAAAUAAGAAAUAUUAGAAGAGGAGACUAGAGUAGUUAUUACACAUUAGUAGUUUUGAAAAGUUAUUGCAAAAUUUAAAAUUAUGUUGUCAUUGUAAUAUAUUAUAAUAAUAUAAUGAGAAAACAUAUAUGCUAUUAUAUGAGAGAAAAUAUAAUGAUGCUAGCCGCGCAAUAUGCGCAGGCCACCAUGCUAGUUAUUAUAAACCGAAUAAAUAGCUUAGAACGAGCCAGGCAAUGCUGAUGUAGAAAAUUUCUAGUUUGAGAACAGUGGUAUGCAUAUCCCGAAGUUCAUAAGCUGAAAAGAUUGCACCCUAAAUCUAAUGUAUUGUAAUUUUCCUGUACUGAAAAUGCUGAGGGGGGGACUACAAGGAGCCAAGCCGAGGCCCGUCACCGCCCUCACGGACGACACGUCGCCAGACAGCACCGCUAGCGACUGCCCUCCGCGGCCAAGGAGCACGACCGCUCCUUCGCCGGGAACAGCACACCGUCGCCGGGACACACGCCGCCGCACCGCCUCCACCACGCCCCAUCGCGCCACCGCGCACGGCAUUGUUGCUCUCCUCCGGCCAGGUCCAAAAGCAGGGUGCCAGAUCCAGCCACGGGGGCGCCAGAUCCGAAGCUUCGCGCCGCGCUGAUGUCAGCCCCCACCUAUCACGCGCCGCGUCAUCAUCCUCACGCUGAGCCGUCGCGUCGCCGAGGAAUGGCCUCGCCGCCGCCCUCACAGUUGGCCGCGCGGAACUCCGGUGGCGCGCUCCGGCGGCGGCGAGGGGGGAGAGGAAGGGAGGGGGCGGCGGGGGCUAGGGUUCACCCCCUGUGCCGCUCGCGUGAGAGGGCGACGCGGGGGUCGUGCCGGCUUCGUACUCUUCCAAUUGAGGAUAAGAUGAACUGAUGUGAUAAGUAGUACGGGAUUGUACUUAUUUUAAAACAAAAUUUGAAUAUAAAAUCAUACUUAUUUUAGAAGGAUUGUAGUAUUUGGACUUGGGAGUAAUUUUACUGUUCUUGGUAUUAGAAGGUACCAUUUCUUUUAUAUAAAACUUGGUAUUUCUCGAGGUAUAAAAAACAUACGGUUAGGACCGUAACGAACUGUGUUAGCUGUAGGUUUGCAUCUGUUCCCAAGGUGAUUUAAUUUGAGCAAUUGCAAAUAGCUUUUUCUUCUUUCACUCGGCAGCUGAAUCUUGCUUGGUGGAGUACUCGGGCCGUGCACGUUCAUCCACGGGUUUGAUUUGACAUUGGUCAUGAGCGCGUUUUAGUGGACAAAGUGGUGGUUAGCAUAGUGAAAUUGUCAACGCGAGAAGCAGAAACCAAUUGCUGUUGCUGUCGCCGGUACCAAUACUGUAUGGUGUUCCUGUUCCAUCAGAAUUCAGUCGAGUGCAUGGCAGCUCAUUCUUGUGGCCCAUCACACAAUUAAUCUCCGACGAUGUACUGUACGUAGUGGAGCAUUUAGAUUAGUAAUUCUCGAAUACAUUUUCGUAAGGGUUAAGUGGGCAUAUGUAACGUGUUCACUCCUUGUUACUAUCUCUGUUUUCAGAUGAGUGACAUCAUCAGCAUAGUCCGCAAUACACAUUUUAUCAUCAUAACAAUUUUACACUAUAAAAAACGAUUUUUCGUGAUGUUACCCUAUAUUUUACGCUGGCGUCCAUAUGCAAAAACCGCCAAAAAAACAUAACAAUAGGUGGGGGGCUACGGACCACCAGCAGAAACCAAUUUUUGCUGAUAACCACGCUAAGAGAAAUGCCUAAAAAAACUACUCUAUUUUUCGAGACGAACCUCUUAAGUGUCUGCCAGUUUUUCGAGGCGGACCUCUUAAGUGUCCGCCAGCGAAAAAUCUCAUUUUCACCGGCAGUAGGUAAGGAGGACCACUGCGAAAAAUGUUUUGGGCGAAUAUAUAAAUCUACUGUCCCCCACCCCCACCGCUCCCUUCUCCCUUCCCCCACUGCGCGGCCCCUCCGCCGCCUCUCUUCCUUCUCUCUCGGUUUCACCUUCUUCCUCCCUUCUCCACCGCCGCCGGCUGCCGUCGCCUCUACCGCCUCUCCGCGGUGGUGGGGCGUGGCCUCCUCCUCUCCACCGCUAGCCGCCAUAAGCUCGGGGCCGGAUUCGGCCGCUGCGACGAUGGUGGAGGCCGGAUCUGCCGCCGCGACGACGGGGGAGGCUAGAUCCGUCGCCGCGACCGCCGCAGGGCCACUAGUCUCUAAAGACUAAACUAUAUAUUUAAAAAAACAUUACCAAUAUAACUUUAUGAAAGAGAGUUUCUCAUAAAAAAAAAUAUACCAAUAUAACUUUUCAUAUUUUAAAUAUUUUUACGUCUAUUAAAUUUUUAAGGUUUCAAGAUUUGACUGCACUUACAGGAGAUACUACUAUACAAGAAUCAACGAGAAACGAAUUUUUAAGUUGCGAUAAACUGGUAGUAGUAAGAUUUUGUGAACAAGGAUAAUGCAUAUCUGUGUAAAAAAAAUAUAUAGUGCAAAUCACAUAUACAUUGAAAAUCUAGAAACUAUUGUCACGAGUAAAAUUUUUACCAACCAAACGGCCACAAUGUCGCGCAGGGCUUAUCCGGGGCACUACUGCCCAUGGGCUGAAAGUGCGGCCACAAGCCCACAAUAUCUUGCGGGGCUUAGCCGGGGCACCACGGCCCAUGGGCUCUAUCUCCCUCACCAGUAAAGCCCUAGCCUCCAAGACCGCACCCGUAUAAAGCUGCAGACCUCUCUCUCCUUCUCCUCCCCCGCCACCGCCGCUCGCCUCCGAAACCCUAGCCGCCCCCUCCCCGCGGCCGCGAAAAUGGUACGCUUCUCCCUCCUCCUCCUCCUCCUCCUCCCCUCCGCCGCACGACGGGAAGAUCGCACGCGUGCUUGUCCUCGUGCCAGUCCACGGCUCCGCGCGCCGUCUUUCUCAUGGUGUUUCACAAUUUGUAGGAUGCGUUCUUUAUUCAUGUUGAUCUGCCGUAGAUGGGGGGAUCUUGAGCCGGAGGAGAGGAGUAGCUAGUUUCUUUGAUUAUGCGUUUUGGGGUCUAGCGGAUUUUAACAUGAGAUGGUUUCUCUUUAGCGACAUUUUUUUUGUUCAUGUUGAUGUCCACGGUGAUUGUUCUAGUUAUGUCAUUUUUAUCUUCAAGACUUCAAUGCUUUGAAUCGUGGGUAUAGACCAGAUUAUUGUCGUGAAGAUCGACGUAUUUUCCGAGCUGACCCUCUGCAUGCUGAAAAUUUUGUAGUGGGUUAUAUCUAGAUUAUAUGUGUAUUGUUGUCAUUUAAUUAGCACUUAAACUUCUGUAGUAUGAACAUUUUCAUCAUUUUCCUGUGAGGACAUGGGAUGAGUUCCUUUUUUUUUCUCUUGUUCUAAAAUUGUUCGGUAAUCUUGUCUGGCUUUGACUGAUGGGCUCCGAUGAUGGCAUGAAAUCUUUGAGACCUGACAUUCUUGUGAUGACAAACAUAAGCAUAUUUCCUGAGACCCAAUUGAGGUUUUAACCAUUGGUUUGCUGAAUGUGUCUUCACUGUUGAAAAAUUUGUACACACAUUUGCUUCAAAUUAUGCACAUUUGAUUAUUGUUUAUAGGCCUGCGAUGUCCAUUCCACAUUCAGUAUUUGUUAAGCUGAGUGCUUUUGUUUCAAAUUUGUUUUGUAUAGGUGAACGUUCCCAAGACCAAGAAGACCUACUGCAAGAACAAGGAGUGCAGGAAGCACACCCUUCACAAGGUCACUCAGUACAAGAAGGGUAAGGACAGCCUGUCUGCCCAGGGAAAGCGCCGUUAUGACCGAAAGCAGUCAGGAUAUGGUGGUCAGACCAAGCCUGUUUUCCACAAGAAGGUACUGUGACAGUUUAUAUAUGAUUAUGCAGUGUUGUGUGUGACUCUCUGUUCAUUAGAAACGUACGGUGUCAUGAUUGAUGUAGCAGUGAUAUGUGUCUGUACAAUGCAUGUGGCAAUAACCAUCACGUAGUUUUAAUUGCAUGUGGCUUUCAGCUGUGCAUUUUUCAUGUUAUGAUACAUGGUUCCUGUUUUCAGGCAAAAACCACCAAGAAGAUCGUGCUGAAGCUGCAAUGCCAAAGCUGCAAGCAUUACUCCCAGCACCCCAUCAAGGUAUUAUUUCAUUGUCAAGACUCCAGAGCUGAAAAUUAUCAUGAAUCAUUAUUUUGCUGGAUGUGUUGGAUGCUCACUUGCAUAAUUGUUCUCUGCAGAGGUGCAAGCAUUUCGAGAUUGGUGGAGACAAGAAGGGCAAGGGAACAUCUCUUUUCUAAAUUGCUUGCUACCUACUGGAUACUAUAGUUGUUGGUCUACUGUGCUUCAAUAUUUCAAUGUUAUUAGGAGCUUAUUUAAGCAGACCAUAUCAAUGUAUUCAAGUAUCAUCGUCUGACAUUUACUCUAGCAAGGAUUGGCUUUCUGCUGAAUCAAGUUUUGUUGCUUAAUGCUCGUUGAAUCCAAUGUGAUGCAUGUGUUUAUAUUUUGCUGCAAUUUUAUCUUACGACAGUUCUAUUUACCUUAGUCCUCAGUAUCCCUUUUCUUUUUUUGUUAUCUUACCUGCUGUCUUUUGAUUAGUAGUUAGCAAACAUAGAGCGACCCACUUUAAUUACUUCCCGUGACAUGAAUAUGACCUCGAGAGAUUAGUCUAGUGAACUUCCUUUUUCAGACUGAAUGUUGUAUUGUUAACUGUACUGGCGUUUGGUCAGUAUCUUUCGAAAGAGAUGGAAUGUAGGGACGUAAUUUUAUUGCAAGAUAAUUCAUUUGUUCUUGUGGUUCAGUAUCUUGGAAGGUCUUGUGAUAUUAGUGAAUUCUUUUCGUAGCAUUGCAGUACUUGCUCUGUCCUUAAUGCAUGAUUCGAUAGGCUACGCAAUCCCGUUUGUAGUAAUGAAUUAAAAAUUAUAUAUUAUUAUGAACCGAAUAAAUAGCUUCGAACAAGCUAAGCAAUGCUGAUGUAGAAAAAAAUUAGUUUGAGAACCGUGGUAUAUUCCAAAGUUUGUAACUGUCAUAAGCUGCCCCCCAACCCACCCAAAAAAACCGGAUGGCAGCAAUCACAACUUAGCAUUGCUGCUCAUGGCAAUGUUCAUAUACUAUGAGUGCGGGUUAGUUCAGACUACAGACACGUGUGGUAAUUGUUUUUUUUUUAGUUUUUUAUUUUGUUUGUUAGGUGGUGUUUGGAUCCAGGGAUUAAACUUUAGUCUUUGUUUUAGAUACUAAUUUAGAGUAUUAAAUAUUGACUACUUACAAAACUAAUUACAUAAAUGAGAGCUAAUUCGUGAGACAAAUUUUUUAGGGUUAAUUGGAUAGAUGCCAUUAUAAAAUCUUUAGUUUUGAAAUAUACCGUUACUAUUAAACUAUUUAGAAACAUGCCAUUACAACUUUUUCAGGUAUUGGAAAUAUGUCACUGUACAACCUUUGGAUGUGUUUAACAAAAAUUUUAGACCAAAUCGCUCUCGUCUUCUCCUUUGUCUCCACCCUCUCCUGUUCAUCUUCUUUCUUCCAUUUCUUUCCCUUUUGGAUCUGGUAUCUUAGUAUUCUUCCUCCACAUCUCCUUUCUCGGCCAGCAACGGCGGUGUUGUGCUGCACCAUCUAGUUUCCCUUCUUCCCUUCGCUGGCCGCAUCACCACCUUCUCAGUUUCCAGCCUCCCCGAGGUCUACUGCAACAACCAAGACGCGGAGCAUGUCGUUCUUGAAUGUCCAGCACCCGGACGCCCAAGGACGUGCCCCUGUCGGUGCAGCUGGAGUCAUUCGCCUACAGCGGCUUCACCAUGGCGUGGUCCACGUCCACCGAUUACGUGCUCGUCGACGAGCGCGCCUUGUGCACAGGGCCGGUCCUGAGUUUUCAAGCUCUAGGACAAAAACUUACGUGGAGGCCCCUAUAUAUAUACAUAAACUAAUAUAUAUAUUUAUAGUCUUAUAAACAUGUAAUAUUUAAUAUUUGAUAUGAUAAAAUUAUCUAUAUAUAAUAUUUUAAAACUUUCAAAGAGAAAUAAUAUAAUCAUAAACACUUACUUGGCACUUUCAAAAGUUUCUUCUAAAAUUUCAAUGAAAUCAUCCGAACAUUUUUUCCGUUUUCUUUUUUCGCUACCGGAUACAUAUUUUCUUGACAAUAUGAUUAAUGUUGUGCUAAAAAAUAAUCAUUAAUUAUUAAGUAGUACAAGCUAAUAAUUUUUGAUCUAUAAAGAGGAAAAAGAAAGAUAGAGAAAAUUACCUUAGACGACGACUGCGAGGCGCGAGCAGCCGAUCGGCCGAUGAGGGCGCGCCGCCGGGCGGUUGGCCUCCAAUCGACGUAGUCAGCCAGUCAUGCAGAGCCGCUGCGAUUUGCUGCCGAUUGCCGUGUUUGCGUUGCGGUUUGCCGCCGUUUACCGUUUGCAACGCGACGCGAGGCGUGAUCGAGGCGACGGGAACGGAGUCAGAUCGCUUCACUUUUCCUUCGCUCCUCUUCGUCUUCUGUCUUCGAUACCAUACAUGAUUCAGGACUGAGAGCGAUGCUGACCCUGGGGGCGUCGUGGGCCAUGGCCCAUCCGCCAUGGGGCCCCCUAAAUUUUGGGGGACUCGGGCGUGCGCACGGGCUGACCCCCCCUAGGGCCGGCCCUGCUUGUGCAUGAUCCUGACAAAGUGACUAUUACUGUGUACUCCUAAUCUCACAGCAGCAAGAAACGGGAGGAAGAAGAUGAACAACAGAACAGGAGAGAUGGGGGAGGCAAAGGAAGAAGACGGGGGCAAUUUGGUCCAAAAUUUUUGUUAGACAUAUCCAAGGGGUAUGUAAUGGUAUAUUUCCAAUACCUGAAAAAUUAUAAUGGCAUACCUCCAAAUAGUUGAGUAGUAAUGGUAUAUUUCAAAACUGAAGAAUUUACAAUGGCAUGUAUCCAAUUAACCCAAUUUUUUAAGCCUAAUUAAUUCAUAAUUAUAGAAUGUUUAUUGUAUCAUCACAUAGGCUAAUCAUGGAUUUAUUAGGCUCAAUAGAUUCGUCUCGCGAAUAAGUCCAAGAUUAUGGAUAGGUUUUGUUAAUAGUCUAUAUUUAAUACUUCUAAUUAGUGUCCAAACAUCCAAUUUGGAAGGGACUAAAAAAUUUUAGUCCAUUCCAAACACCUCCUUAUUAUUUUUAUCAAAUAGCCACGUAAGCGUCAUGUCAAUAGCACGUGGGACGAAGACCCCUAGUCAAAGGCGUCAUGUCAGCUAAAACCGGAGACAUUGCUACCGAGAGAGCUCGUUUGCACAGUUUGAAGAAGGCGUCAUGUCAGCCAAAACCAGAAAUAUUAUUACCGAGGGACCUCGUUUGCACACUUUGAAGGAUGGAUUGUAUAUGGUUUUCGGAUAAGGAUGAAAAACAGACUAAGCGACAAAGUAAGAGACCUAAAGUGAACUUAUUUGAGGGAUAAAGUCCACUUGGACUUCCUUAACUAUAAGGGAAUAAGUUCACCUGACGUCCCUUAACUUUAAGUCGAGUUCGUCUGAGGUUCCUAAUCCACAAUAAAAUCUCUACCUCUCAACUAAUCAUAAACCGUGCGAAAAAGAUCACAAAACAGACGGAGCGAUGAAGUAAGGGACCUAAAGUGAACUCAUUUUGAGGGAUAAAGUCACUUCAUAACUAUAAGGGAAUAUAAGUUCACCUGACGGCCCUCAACUUUAUGUUGAGUUUGUCUGAGGUCCCUAAUCCGCGAUAGCAAAAAUCUCUACCCCUCAACUAUCAUAAACCGUGCAAAAAAGAUCCCAAGACAAUAUUGAUCCAUUUUCUCCGGUUUUGCUGACGUGGCAUACGGUGGGACCCACAUGUCAGCGUCCUGUCUUCUCCUCUUUUCUUUUUUCUUUUUUUUCUUCUUGUCUUUUCUUUCUUCUCUCUUCUCCUCUUCCCUUCUUCUCCUAGCCUGAGAGGCCGGCGGGCGGGCGAGCAGGCGACGGCAGGCGGUGGCGGCGGUGUGCGGAGCAGGCAAGGGGUAACGGGUGGCGGGCGAGCGACGGCGCCUCAGAGAGGGUGUGGUGUGGGCGUCGCUGUGCUGUGGCGGGCGGAGCGGGGUGGCGGCGGUGGGGUGCAGAGGACGACGACAUAUGGAAGUGAUGGCGGACGCUGUAGGGGACGAUGGCGAGGAGGACGAAGUAGGCCGGGAGAGGAUGACUCCGACGCGCUUGGGGUUUCACCAGGAGACCUCGCCUUCACCGUCUUCGUGCCCUCACCAGAGUCGUUCCACCGCGUCCUCAGGCUGCGGCGUCCCAAUAACAACGUUGCCGAUGGGUGGGUCUCACAUUUUCCUUCUAUUUCACUUACAUGUGGGACUCACAUAUUAUUUUAUUCCUAUUUUGCUAACUAGGAUGCCACGUUAGUGAAACCAAGACAUCUAUACUGCCAUAGGACAUAAAUUGAACGGUUUUGUAUAUUUGGGGUGAAGAUUUCUGGUAUUGAGGAUAAGGGAUGGCAAACAAACUCGGUGUAAAGUUGAGGGACAUCAGAUGAACUUAUUCCAACUAUAAGGCAACGCAUCACGGUGCAUGGCCCAUGGGCUGCGCAUUCUGGCCCACAAAGCAGCACACGCACCAGUAAACCCUAGCCUCCAGGAGCUCACCCGUAUAAAGUCGCAGACCUUCUCCUUCCCCUCCCCGCCGCCACUCGCCGCAGCGUGUCGACCAGACAAGGCAGCGCCUCCGAAACCCUAGCUCCCCGCCUUCCCCUCCGCGGCCGCCAAAAUGGUACGCUUCUUCCUCCUCCCCGUCCGCCUCUCUCCGCCGCACGACGGCAAGAUCAUGCGCUCGUGUGUCCUCGUGCCAGUCCACGGCACCCUGCUCUGGUCGAUUUGUAGGGGGAUUGCGUUCUUUAUUCAUGUUGAUCUGCUGUAGAUGGGGGCGAUCUUGAGCCGGAGGAGUAGCUAGUUUCUUAUUGAUGCGGUUUCGGGGUUUUUAGAGAUUUAACACGGUUUCGCGGUUUCUCUUUAGCGAUUUCUUUUUUCAUGUUGAUAUAAUGAUAUCCACGGUGGUUGUUCUAGUUAUGUCAUUUUUAUCUUGAGUGCUUUGUGUGAUUGUUUUUCAAUUGUGGGUAGAGACCAGAUUAUUGUCGUUAAGAUGCAUGCUCUGAAACGCGGAAUUUUUUUGUAAUGGGUUAUAUCUAGAUUAUGUGUAUUGCUGUCAUUCAAUAGUCUUUUCUUAAUACAAGGCGCAACCGUCUUUUCUUCAAGUACCAGUAUACAAGGCGGCAACUGCUCAACUCCGUACUUGGUGCAUGCAAGCAUUGAAUGGAUGGUUGCAUGAGCUCAUGAUAUUCGGUUCAUUAGUUUAAAGGCAAAGGAUCCACCACUCGGAUGCUUGCAUGCACGCGCAAAAACUGCAGGACACGGGUGCAUGCUGCUUUGGCACUAGAUGCGAUGAACUGAUCAAAGCGUCACGCAUUGGAACGCGCUGGAAUAAAUCGGUACGAUGGGUAGUUAUAGGUUUUCUUGUUCUCCGAGUCCAAACAAGUUAUGCCUUGUAUUAAGGAAUGGAGGGAGUAGCAAUUAACUUCUGGAGUAAACAUUUUUCAUCAUCUUCCUUGAGGACGUGGGAUGAAUUCUUUUUUUUAUCUUGUGCGAAAAUUGUUUGGUAAUCAUGUCUGGUUUUGACUGAUGGGCUCCGAUGAUGGCAUGAAAUCUUUGAGACCUGACAUUCUUGUGAUGACAAACAUAAGCAUAUUUCCUGAGGACCCAAUUGAGGUUUUAACCAUUGGUCUGCUGAAUUUGUCUUUGCUGUCGAAAAAUAUCGAUUCACAUGUGCUUCUGAUUAUGCACAUUUGAUUGUGUUGUUUAUAGGCCUGCUAUGUGCUUUCCAAUAACCAGUAUUUGUUAAAUUUGUUUCAUAUUUCUUAUGUAUAGGUGAACGUUCCCAAGACCAAGAAGACCUACUGCAAGAACAAGGAGUGCAGGAAGCACACCCUUCACAAGGUCACUCAGUACAAGAAGGGUAAGGACAGCCUGUCUGCCCAGGGAAAGCGCCGUUAUGACCGUAAGCAGUCAGGAUAUGGUGGUCAGACCAAGCCUGUUUUCCACAAGAAGGUAUUGUGACAGUUUAUAUGUGAUUACGCAGUGCUGUGUGUGAUUGUCUCUCUUCAUUAGAAACAUAUGGUGUCAUGAUUUGUGUCUGUUCAAUGCAAACAUGUGGCAAUAACCAUCAUGUAGUUUUAAUGUAUCUGACUUUCAGCUGUGCAUUUUUCAUGUUAUGAUACAUGGUUCCUGUUUUCAGGCAAAAACCACCAAGAAGAUUGUGCUGAAGCUGCAAUGCCAAAGCUGCAAGCAUUACUCCCAGCACCCCAUCAAGGUAUUAUUUCAUUGUCAAGACUCAAGCUGAAAAUUGUCAUGAAUCAAUCAGUAUCUUUUUAGAUGUGUUGGGUGCUAUCUUACAUUAUUAUUCUUUACAGAGGUGCAAGCAUUUCGAGAUUGGUGGAGACAAGAAGGGCAAGGGAACAUCUCUUUUCUAAACUACCUACUGGAUACUGAAGUUGUGGGUCUAUUGUGCUUCAUACUUCAAUGUUAUUAGGAACUUAAUUUAAGCAGACCAUAUCAUGUAUUCAAGUAUCAUCGUCUGACAUUUACUCUAGCAAGGAUUGGCUUUCUGCUGAAUCAAGUUUUCUUGCUUAAUGCUCGUCGAAUCCAAUGUGAUGCAUGUCUUUAGAUGGCACUGCAAUUGUGACUUUUGUCUUAUGGCAGUUUUAUCUCCCUAAGUCCUCAGUGUCUGUUUUUCGUUAUCUUACCCGAGUUUGCAAUCCUAGAGCGACCCACGUAAACGAAUUCCUGUGACAUGAAUCCCUGAGAGGCUAGUCUGAUGAACUUCCGUUUUUCAGAUCGAAUUUCGUAUAUGGUUAACUAUACUAUGUUUUGUUCAAUAUCUUCGUAACGAGAUGGAAGGUAUGGAAUACUAUGGAUGGAGGUGAAUUGAAAGAUAGGCCUUGGUCUUGUGAUUGUUAUCUUAGAAGGUCGAUACUAAUGUUUGGUCUUGUGGCGUUAGUGAAACUGUUUUCGUAGCAAUGUUUGGUCUUGUGAUGUUAUUGAACUGUUUUCGUAGCAUUGUAUUACUUGUUCCAUUCUUCAUGCAUGAUUUGGAUAGGUUAUUGACAAUUGUUUAUAGUAAUGAAUUAAAUAUUACACUCCUAAAUUAUUAUAAACCGAAUAAAUAGCUUAAAGCGAGCCAGGCAAUGCUGAUGUAGAAAAUUUCUAGUUUGAGAACCGUGGUAUGCAUAUCCCGAAGUUCAUAAGCUGAAAAGAUUGCACCCUAAAUCUAAUGUAUUGUAGUUUUCCUGUACUGAAAAUGCUGUUGGAUCGGACAGCCGUGGUGAUUGGUUGCGUUCAUUUUCAAGUUGUAGCCAAGUUAAAUAAAGUAUAGAAGGAUAUGCAAGUAGCAACAUCGGAGGAGUGCCAUCGCAGUGAUCCUCCCAAAAAGCACGAAAGAAACAUCUUCAUUGGAACCUAAGCAGCUCUGGCCUUUUGAGCCCAGAAAAGCUAUCCUUGAUUCAAGCACAAACCGUCAUUUGGUUAUAUGCUUUCUCCAAAUACUAGCAUGAGUAAAUUGCAUUGGCGGUACACGAACUUGCUAGGUGGAAGCAAUCUAGUACAUAAACUUAUAAAACGCUCAUUUUGAUACACGAACUUGUUAGGUGCAUGUGAAUCAAGGCCAAAAGAAAAAACAAAGCUAAUCUUAUUUUAGUGUUAAUUAGGAUACUACAUAAACACAUGUGUGAGAAAAAUGCUAAGUACAUAUACAUUUGUUCAAUAAAAAGGGGUUAAUAAGGCCUAAAGAUUGUAUGGAGAAAGACACAAAAAUACUGAGAAAUAGUGCAAGGGGUAGAACAAAGAAUAAUAAAGCACAAAUGCAUGUCUCAUGUCCACCUCCAUAUGCACAUCUCGUCCUAAUCAGUGUAUAACUUAGUAAAAUUGAUUAUGAUGUGUCAUUUUGACCUUGUUUCACAUGCAUCGAACAAAUUCAUGUACCGAAACAAGUCUUUUACAAGUUCGUGUAGUAAAGUGCAUCCAUCUGGCAAUUUACUCUACUAGCAUUUGAAGCUAAAAGGCUUUGGCCUUUUGGAGCCCAGAAAAGCUGUUCUUGAUUCCAGAACAGAUCGUCAUUUUUGGGGUAUAUGCCUCCUCCAGAAUCCUAAAAUUCUCAUUUCAUGUAAGGAAAAUCGCAAGUGUCCAACGCUGAAUCCAUCCCAGAGAUCUCAGUGAGCAAAUUGCACAGCGCCAGUUGGGACUAUUCAAGGAUUUUCAGGGCCAUGCCCUGUACCCAUCAUCCAUCACCCAGCAACAAAACAAGCCGGACCGUAGUGUGUCAAGCAUGCACUGCUUCUGCUCUCCGAUCUAACCGGUAGCCCCCAACUCAUUCUGAACCACACCUUGUGUUUUGGACCACAUCACAAAAUUCAGAAGCAGCAGCAGCAGCAGCAAAGGGUCAAGCAAAAAAUCUAACAGCUUUAUUUAGGCAGAUCCACCUCUCUACAUCAUCAUAGUCAUAGUACAAGAACUCGACGAAUUCAGAAGAAACAUUGGCAGCUACACCUAGAGAAAGAAAAAUGAAAAGAAAAGAAGAUCUAAUAUAUUACAAGGGAUCCUUGGAUAUAUGCUCAUAGCAUUGUUACAUCCCGAGCACCGAGUCGCGACUUGUGGCGAAAACGGGUGCCAUUUCCAUGCUUAUGCCAUUACUGCUUCGCCUGAAAAAAUGAGAUGUUUUUUUUUUGGUUAGAGAUUCAGACUUAUGUUCAUGAAUUGGCUCUUUUGUGAAAAAUGUGAUUUGGUAAAACAUGUGCGGAAAAUCUACCUGAGAGUAGAUGAAAGUUCCGAGAAUCGCAAUGGCGGCUCCGAGGGCGUUGAUGGGCUGGACCGGCGUGUGGAAGAUGAUGAUGGAGGCGACAAUGACGGAGAUCCGCUUCAUGGUGUUGCCGAUGCUGAAUGUCAGUGGUGAGAUCUCGUCCAAUGACAUGUAGGACACUUGGUUGUACAAGUGGUAGAACACACUCUGCGCCGCCACCCACCUACAAAACCACAGAGAAAUCCAUGGCCACAUGAAUCAGCUGGAUUAUCACACAAAAAUAUCAUCAAAUCUUUUGAUACUUCUUAUUUCUCUUUCAGAAUGAACUGAAGAAGAUAUUGCCGCUUAGGAGGAAAUGAUAGUGAUAGGACGAUCCUAUAUCUAUAUUAAUUGAUAAUGGUUCUUUUUGUAUAGAAUACUUGAGUGAUGUUACUGAAAGUACAAAGUGUUGCAUGCUGAAACUGUUUGAAAGCUUAGGUCAAGCACUUAUCACUAGAAAUUUUUUGCCCAAUUGAUACCCAAAAAUCUCAACUGACGUGAUGGUUGUGACAGUGAAACGGUGAGAAGUGGUACAAAGAAAAGCAUGUGAGGCUCACCAGACGAAGUUUGGACCGAUCUCGGCGACGGCUUUUUGCCAGCCGGCAGCCCACACCUUGGGCCCCUCCAUGGCGAAGGCGAAAGGGAGGAGGAUGACCAGCGAGAGCAUGGAGAGGCAGGCGUAGUAGUUCAUCCCGCUCACCGACUUGCCCUUCAUCCCCUUCUUGGAGAAUAUGUUCCGGAACACGAAUGCCAGGUUCGAGAUCAUCGCCCCCAUGAAUCCUGCAUCGAAUUUUCAGCAAUACACGAUGAACAGAUUGAUGUGAUGUGUCAGGUUUAUGAACAAAUUGUGCACUUUUUCGUGGCUGGUGUAUAUUUCUUUAUCUGACAUAAGAAAACAUAUCUUUGGUUAAUGGACAGUUCUUGUUCUGAAGAAUUCUUGGAGAUAAUAUCUAUUUUUUUAAUCAAAAAGUGAGGAUAUUUCUGGUGUAUCUGCUGCAAGUAUCUCCAGGAUUUCAGGUGGAGAGACAGAGAGAUGCAGAGUGUUUGCUCACUCACCAAUCAUGUUGAAAUUGAGCUCGGUGAUGGCGGCGAGGGCGCAUCCGCCGAUGAUUGGGAGGAGGGAGAAGUAGACCGGCGCCGGGAAGUGCUCGCCGAGGAAGAACCUGGAGACGAGCACGCUGAACGCCGGCUCGCCGCUCUUGAUGAUGUGGGUGAACGACACCGCCACCUUCGCCAUGCUCACCGUCGCCGCCACGUGCCCGAUGGUGUGCGCGAUCGCCACCUGCUCGUCCCACAACGAGCAAAAACGAAUCCCCAAAUCCAACGAACGCGUCAGAGAUUCAGAAUAGAACAGAAUCAAGAAGGAGGAGACGAUGGUGUCCAUGGUCAAUGCGAUCUCACCGGAGACAGGGCCUUCCAGAAAUCGAGGUCGGUGGCGGGCGCCUCGGCGAUCCUGGUGGCCCAGGAGGCGAGCAUGAUGGCGGAGCCGGCGGCGAGGGAGAGCGUGGACGUGAGCCACGGGUAAGGGAACGCGUUGAGCACCUUCUUGUUGUAGAUGUUGAAGAUCACGUUCAGCGCCCACCACGUCGCGAAGUAGACCCCGAUCUUGGCCCGCCUCGCCGCCUCCUCCGGCGCCGCGCCCGCCGGUGCAGCCUCCACCGGCCGGGCGCCGUCGGCGGUGGCGGACGGCGGCGGCGGCGCCGGUGACGCGACGCGCGACGCCAGGAAUAACGGGUCCUGCUGCCGGUACAGGGGGCGCGCCGAGAGGGAGAGGGGACGUGGCCCGGCGGCGGCGGCGGCGGCGGCGAAGAGGGGAGGGAGGUGGAGGGGCUUGAAUAAUGCCAUCUUGGGCGCCGUGGCGGUCCCGGCCGUGGAGAGCUUGACGGAGGCGGCGGCGGCGAGCAUAUUGGCGGCGGGAAUGGUGGCGCCGGCUUCUUCAGUUACAGUUACUGUGUUGUGUUGUAGCCGGCCGUCCGUACGUCUAUGGCGGCGAUGGGUAGGGGGGAGGUGUUGGGGGGAGGAAGGUAUUUAUAGGGAGCGCGCGAAGAAGAAGGGAGGCGGUUUUGUGCAUGUAUGUCGCCAGCCAUGGCAUCUUUCUCACCGUAGUGAGGUUUUUGAUUUUUGCUGCCUCUGAAUUAUUGCCUUUCUUUUUUCUUCUUAAAAUGUGCAUUUCUUUCUUUUUUAUAUACAGUUUGUCCGCUGUGUCGUUUUUCGAUAUUACAAUUAUUUGCGAUUAAUUUAUGGUCAUGUUUUAUACAUAAUGCUCGGUUAAUUGUAUAUAAUGCACUAUCGAUCCACCAUGCACGAUUAAAUUCAGCUAUAACCAUAUUGGGAGGACAUAAAUACUAUGCAUUAUGUUAAGAAAAGGCUAGUGCUUCCAUGAUUUGUGCCUGCUAAGGGCUUGUUCGGAUCACAGGAUAGGAAAAACAUAGGAAUAGGAAAACACAGGAAUAAUAUAGGAUUGCAUAUGCAAAACGUAUAAUUGAAAAACAAUGGAAUUUGAUGAUAUGAAGCGUUCGGAAUACAUGAAUAUAUAAACCAUAGAAAUGUUCUAAUUAAUAUUGAUCUCAUAUAUUAUAGUAUAAUUAUAGUAUAAUUAAGCAAUAAAAUAUUAGUUCCCAUCUAGUCACUCCAACGUGAUUAGCAUCUACCCUGUGGUAGCUAAUGAAAAAAAUGAGGUGUGAGUGGAUGUUCAGAAUCCUAUGGAAUUCCCGCAUUUUCACAGGGUUGCUAUAGUAUUCCUACAAAAUUCCUACACGUGCUUCCUAUGAACCGAAUGCAUGAACAUGGCCAAAUCCAAAGGAUUUGCCAAUCCUACAAAAUCCUGUGUAAUCCCUCCGUUCCGAACAAGCCCUAACUAAAUUGCUGCACAAAGUAGUAUCUAAUGUAUGGAAAUGUUCAUCUGUAUAUGUUUCAUCUUUACUGUUUGAGAAUCCGUUUUUGCUAGAAUGCAUGAAACAGAAUGAUCAAAUCUUAGCACAUCUCAGGUAUUCAUUUAUGAAAUAUUUUCUCUUUUCUGAUAAAAUAAUGACAGGAAUUUUUCUAAUACUAAAUCAACACAUUCAUUUGCACAUAUCUAUUUUUACCAUACCAAUUUAUUCAUGGUUUGGUACAUAUAACAGUUGAUUCCUCAAUUCUUUGUUCGUUGUGUGUAUGAUGUUGAAAUAGCUCAAUGAUUAUUUCUACAUUCAAAAUAGAAAAACAUCGACAACUACAUUUUAAUUGUUAGUAAGUGAUUUUGUAUAUUAAUUAAUAUUUUUUCGAGAAAUGCAUAUUUUUCAUGUUGCGUAUGGGCUACGUAUCGUUACAGUUGUGAACAUGUAGUACUAAUAACGUAUAUUUUACGCACGUUUAAAAUUGUGAAGAGAAUUUGCCUAGCAUUUUCAGGGAAGUGUUUUCACACUCUUGGCCACUUGGCAUUGGCUUGCCUCUUGGUUGUUGGGUGGUACAAUACGAGGGCUUUUCAUUUGACCGCUGCUUGUACGUAUAUAUAGCAGCCAAAUGAGUUCUUUCGAAAUUCUAAACAUGCUCAAAGACUUGCAAAAUCUCCCACCUUGCAAAAUCAACAUCAAUAUUGAUGUCAACAUGCAUUUUCAUAGGAGGAUAUAUAUGGAUACUAACUACUCCCUAAUUAAGCUCAGAAUUAUAAGGGCUUACGCCAUCACGCGAGGUGCUCAUAUGAACCAAUAAUAAAAUGAAUAUCAUCUGUUUAAUUAUAAGGAGCUAGUACUGUAACAAAACUGUGAAAAUGAUUAAAAUUUAAAAAAUAUACUACUAAGUUGGUGUCGAAUAUAAUUAUUUGCAACCAACGGUGUUCUUUCGAAGUAAAACCGGAAAACGACGUACCCACCACAACGGUACAAAACCUAACACUACUGGCACACUACUAGUCGGAGCCUCGGAGGAGGUGAGCCGUCAACAGAAGAGCCAUCCCGGCCCUGUGCCGGCAACGACCGUCGACCGCUAAUUCUCACGUACGCCCCGACCCGAGAGAGCCUCUCGCCGUCCGUCCGGUACAGCGAACCUCACCACCAGCGUAGCCGCCUACCAGCUGCGUUUCACCUUCGCCCUCGCGAGCGCGGAAGGCGGAAGCUUCACGCGAUUCACGCCGACCCGAGACCGAGACCUCGUCGCGCAUCCGUCGUCCGUUUCUCUCCUCGCGUACCUCGCGACGAUCGAAACCAAACGGACGACGCGGGCACACUGGCACGUCACGUCGACACGUCCUGUGCCGCGGGGCCCUGUCCUGUCCUCCCGGGCUCCUCGCGGCCGUCCGCUCGCUGCGUGACGGCGUGUGCGGGUCACCUAGCUAGCUAGCGCCAAGAGAGGAGGAGCUAUAGGAGGGGGGGUUUUAGCGGCGGAGAGAGGCCGUGGCCCCGCGUGGCGCGCGAUCUGCACACCUCGGCCGUCCGUGAGGGACCCCGGUCACGUGGGACGUGGGCGUGGGGGCGCGUACUGUGCGGGAAGAUUUUUUUUUCGGGGUGGGGCGAGAGGGAUGCACCAUACUCCCUCCGUAAAAAAAAAAAAUCAAACCCUAAGUUUUCGUGUCCAACUUUGACUGUCUGUCUUAUAUAAAAUUUUUUUAUAAUUCGUAUUUUUAUUGUUGUUAGAUGAUAAAACAUGAUUAAUAUUUUAUGCGUGAUUUGUAUUUUUAAUUUUUUUCAUAAUUUUUUUAAAUAAGAAAAACAGUACAACGUUGGACACGAAAAUCAGGUUUUUUUUUUUUGGCGGAGAGAGUAUGCCAAUAGCCCAGUACGACGACGGACGGACGCUGCAGCACAAGGCGCUGUCGUUUAGGGGUGCAAUUUGGUCGCUCGCGUCGUCGCUUUGUGGGCGUCCGCGCGCUAUUUCCAUUCUGCUGCUUCCCCUGAAUGGCAACUACUGCUAAGCUAGUAUAGCAAGUGGUGAAAUUGGUGAAUGGUGAUCGAUCGCCUCGCGGCUUGGAGUGGAGAAGGCGCUCUCGAUCAGAUAUCCAGAUCGAUCGGAACUAGCAAUGGGUGAUCGUGCUGUAUGAAUUAGGAAAGGCUCGUCCAAGAAAAAUGGUACUGUAAUGUUACUACUAUUCGACGAAUAUGGGCAAAGCUCCCGUUUUCAGGGAAUCGAGAAGACAGACACAUAUGCUAUGCUAUACAACUUGCACGUACGAUUGAUCGAUUCCGGAUCGUACUGACGUAUUUGUAACCUACUCGAUCUCUCACUCUCCGUGCCGUUGGAAUUUCGUGCUGUCAUUUUUCUUUUAAGAUCGGUUUAACCCGUGCCAUCGAUCUACCCACACACACACAUUGCCGACUGCUACCCAUCGAUCGAUCAGCGCUGGGAGGUUUAGUGAUCGUCGAUCGUAUAUAUGUUAUGUACAGCUUGGUAGCUGCGCUUUAGUCUUACUCCUAGCUACGUGCCGUGUUUCGCUUGCUUGCUACUAGGACAGUACAGUACGUACUACUAGCUAGGAUGAGGAGCAACACACGCACAUCAUCAUGCCGUACGUUUUGUCAGCUGUCGCUGCCCACACCAACCCGGCAUCCGCGCGGACCAGCAUCGGGCGGCCGCGCCGUCCGUCUGCUUCCGAGCCUUUCCUUCCGCGGCCAUCGGCGCAUGUGCUAUCCUGUCACCUCGCGAGCUUUGUUCGCAUCCGCCCCGCCCCGCCCAACCGCAGCUGCAACCUGCAGCGCGCGCGCCUCUGCUGCGGCCGGAGAUUUUUUUUUUCUCUGCGCGGCGCGCGCGAGCGCCGUGUGCGGGUUUUUCACCACCACCACGCGAUCAUUCGACGCGCCACGGCGUUUCGAUCAAGGCGUGCGCGCAUGCGCGUCGGUUUCCCCGUGCGUGUUGCUGUUUCCAUCGGCGAGUCGUACGUACGUACAUGGCCACGCGCCACGUACGUCUCGCCCCACGUGGAAAAGGGAGAGCAAAAUGUGUGUGCAGAUUAUAUAUAUACGCGGAUCAGAAGUGAGGUCACGGUGCGUGCGUGAGCUUGAGUAUAUGUAGUCACACGGAAAUCACGUAUAUAUAUUCAGCUGUGUACUCUUGUGUGUGUGUGUGUAUGUAUGGCAGUAUGGGACGGGAGACUGUUUGGCAUGCACUUUGGUUUCAAGAGGCUGGCGGUAGGUAGAUCCGGCCAAGUUUACUCGUGGUGCUAGUUACAGCCACAUGAUUGGGGUAUGUACUGUUGUCAUACAGAACGUUCUAGCGAGCAAGAGUAGCACUACUUUGCUAGUGAUCUUCCAAAAAGAAAACAAUAAGAAAGAAUAGUACCCUCUAGUAGUAUAUUAGUUGUACUAACUUGUAAGUAAUAAUAUGCUUUAUCAGGCCACGAAUAUAAGAGAUAAUAUGUUAUUUAAGAGAGUUUAAAGUUGAGAUAAAAAUACUUUAUAUUCCUAGGAGAUUUUACUUCACUAGAAAAGAUAACUAUUGCUUGAGAACAGGAGUAGUAUACAAAAGCACAUAUAGGCACAACUAAUGUACACAUGCUCAACUUGAUUAUAUUUCUAGUCCCAUUUUUCAUCAAGGAUGUGAGCUCAUCGUACUGAUUUCUUUCGAACACCAAAAUUUAAAUGGAAGUUCAAAUGAAUUAGCUUAACUCAUAAAAUUCUUUGAAAUACCCUAGCCACUCUCUUCGUAGAGAAAAUAAAAGCAGAUGCAGGAUAAAAAAUAAUGUUCUUUCCAUUCAAUAAACCUAUAUGGGCACACAACGGUGUCUAUUUAAGGCCCAAUCUGGUCGGGGGAGCUAAUUGGCGCGCGCCCCUCCACCGGCCACGUGGCUUUUUUUUUUUUGCGACUUCCCGAUUUUUCUCUUUUUUUUGUGUGAUUUUUUUAGCGAUUUUCAGCACGAUUUUUCCUUUUUUUUCGUGAUUUUUUCCCUUUUGCCUCCCUCCCCUCAGCGUAUUUUCCAUAUAUUUUUUUCAUUCUUUUUUUUAAAAUUUGAAAGUUUUUAAAUUUGAGUUGAAAGUUUUUAAAUAUGGACUUGAAAGUUUUCAAUCUCGAGUUGAAAGUUUUCAAAUCUGACUUGAAAGUUUUUAAAAUUUGUCUUACAAAUUUAAAUUUCGAGUUGAAAAUUUUCAAAGUUUAAGUUGAAAUUUUUUAAAUUUUGACUUCAAAGUUCAAAUCUUAAGUCGAAAGGUUUCAAAUCUAAGUUAAAAGUUUAAAUUUCUAGUUGAAAAUAUUAAAAAAUUGAAUUUAGAUUUUCAAAUUUUGAGUUAAAAGUUUUAAAUUUUAAGUGAGAAUUUUUUUUCACGUAUAGAUUUUUUUGGAUGACUCCUGGUCGGGCGUCCGAUCAGGAGAGGGUAAAAUCGGGCGCUGACGUCAGCGUCCGAUUUACAUGCAAAAUUACUUUAAACUGAUUUAUCUCUUAAACUACUUAUCCAAAUGAUGAUCCGAUUGCACUAUUAAAUUCAUUGCAAUUAAAUCUUCAAAACAAGACCACGCAUGGAUAUAUUUCGACGAAAUUUUCUUUUAUCUUAUUAUUGAAUUAUUUUUAAAUGUUGCAAGAUGUUCCACCAGAUAUAUCAGAAUUGUUUCACUAAGUAGAUCGAAAAUGUUUCACUCGUUUAAAUUGGGUGUUGUUUCACCUUAUAUAAAAACAAUGUUUCAGCAAAUAGCGAAAGAAUGUUUCAGUUCACUGCAACAUUAGAUCUAUACAUAGUGAAACAUUUUUGAGUACACUCGGUGAAACAUUUUUCGGUGGAACAAAAAAUAAACCAAAUUCUCUUAAUAGGGGUUUCCAAAAUAUGUGGGUUUUUUGUUGCAAUGGAAUGUUUCGUUCAGUGUAACAUUAGAUCUAUACAUAGUGAAAUAUUAUGAGUACACUAGGUGAAACAUUUUGGGUGGAACAAAAAAUAAACAAAAUUCCCUUAAUAGAGAGUUUCUAAAAUAUGUGGGUUUUUUUUUUUGCAAAAGAGUAUUUUAAUUUACUACAACAUUAGAUCUAUAAAUAGUGAAACAUUGUAAAUACAUUAUGUGAAACAUCUUUUGUGGAAAAAAGAGGAGCAUAAAUAGGUGGGCCUAAGUAGGCACGUGGGGGAGGGGGCGCGGGGGGAGUGCCCGAUCCGGCUCCCUCCGCACCGGGCGACCGGCAAAGAGCAUUUCCAGAUUUUUUUAGUAAAAAAAAUUCCGGAGAAAAGGAAAUAUUUUAUUAAUUACCGUCAUUAACCUAAACUAAUUGAGUUAGUUACGUCCUCUGGAAUCGCUAAUCGAGUUAAAUGGAGUCGCGCGCUAGCGGCGCGUACGCGCGCGUUAGCUUUCCGAAUCUGGCCUGGUGUAUGGAGUCCCGAACAGGCCCAUAAAUUGGCGUUCGGAGCCCAAAACCUCUCGCAUUUCCAGCCCAUCAAGUCGCUUCGUCCUGGGCUUAGCCCACCACGUCUCUUUCUCAGUUUCUCGGCCCGUCCGCCGUUGGUUGGCUGCUUCCGCUCUCCUCCAAUCCAAGGCUCCCCGCGUCCCCGCCCUUCUCCUCCCGCGCCGCCGUUCGCGCGCGAGAAAACGAGGCGGCGGCGAUAUCGGAUGGAUGAUGCCACUGCCCUCUCUCUCUCUCUCUCUCGCCUUCGCGCGCGCGUGCUAACUCACAGCAUUGGUAAGUGCGAGGUGAUGGUGCCAUUGCUGCUCGUGCGGGAUGCGGUCUCGUGGUCACGAGGUUCCCUAUGAUGCCCGCGACGUGUUCGACGGUUUGCGCGAGCGAGGGAGGCGCGGCGGUGGUUUUGGGCUGAGCGUUUGGUGCCUCUCGUUUUCUGAUUCCCUGUCGGUCCCUACUUCAUUUCGGCAUGGGAUGGAGACUCGGGCCGUGCUGGGGUUUGGUGCUAUACUGCUAUCGUCCAGGGAGCUAAAACAGGAAACGGGUUGAUUCCCCCGGGCUCGAAUUCAGAACAUCAAUGCUUUGCUGGCUGAUUGCUGCCUGCUCUUAUCAAUCAUCCGCUUGCAGGACUGUAGGCUGUGGUGAUUUUAGUGGUUCUCCAUCCCAGUAAAAUUUGCAAAUUUCUGGAUGUUGCACAUCUCCUGAUCUGCAAGAAUAUUACCUUCUUCAAGGAGAAUAAACUUAUGCUGUGAGAAUUGUUUUAUCACCCUAUGGCCUCUGUAGACUCUAUACGGGGUGAAUAUCAGUUAGGUCUUUUUCAUGGAACCUGUGACCAUGUGAUUUCAAAAUCUGUUCACGUUGUUGAAUUAGUAUAUAGGGAAAGAAUUUGUGUUGUCAGCUAAUGGUUGUGCCUUUUGGUUCUGCUUCUGGGAUCUUCAUUUUGAUUUUGUGACAAUCUGGUUUGCAUUUUUUUCCCCCUGGAAUUACACCAAGAAAAAGCAUUCUUUGCAGCUGAGAUUUGAUAUGUAUCUCCGGCAUGUACCCUUCAGUAAACAAAGUAUUUGAAAUACGAUAGGAAUUAGUAGUGUCGGAAAUGCAAAGCUGUACUUCUUUUGCUAUUUGCCUGACGUUUUGCUUGUUUUGAGCUUUCCUUACCUUUUGCUAAUCUGUUUACCUUUACUAUGUUUCAGGGACAGGAGAUGAUUCUAGGGCCAAACAUGCAGCUGUGGCAUCUGGAAGCACCACAAGUUAUGUAGAUUCCAUCUUCUCACCGCUGUUGCUGCAAAUAAUCUUUGUUAACUAAUGGUACCCAGAUUGCUUACUUUGGACCUAUGCUUCUCCUUUAUGUUCCUUCCUGCAACAAACUGCCGACAUACUAUUUAUACUAGGUUUGCUGUUAGUGCAGUGAAAUUUGGAUAUAUCUAUAUGUCUAGAGAUUUCCUAUCCAUGUGACCUGAUUGUACAAUGCUGUUUCUUUGGUGGAAUUUAGUAUUUGCAUAUUAACUUCUUUAGUUUGCUCCCUGUAUGCCCAUAUGGUUAAGUUGAUUAUCAGCUCCGUUUUUUGCCAAUUGAUAAUCUGACAGGUACAUUAGUUCUGAAGCUUCCGAGUUCUGGAGACAUGCAAUUGAUGUCAAUUGUUCUCAGGCAUCUCUAUCUUUUAACUUGGAGUAUAUCUAUAAUACAUACAAAAUUAUCCAUGUUUCUAAAUUGGCUGCAACAGCUAACCUCAGCAAUCACAUUGAUUAGCUACCUUCUAUAUAUCUAGUUUGUAGUACCUAAAGACUAAACUCUCUAAUGGUCCACCUAGAUUGUUCCCAGAUAGCACCUAAUAUCUAUGAGCUGUGGCAUAAAAUAUUCCAGUUACUGCUGGACCCUGCAUUUUGCUGAUAGGUACAAAAAGCUAUUUUCCGCUGCAUUUUUUUUAAUGAUUUUGCAAUUUAGGACAUACUUGAUAGUAUUAUUAUUCCGUGCUAUCCUAUGAACUGGCUUGCCAUUAACUUCAUACAUCUCUCUGGUUUUAUUCUAAGAUCAUACUUAGUAUGUGUCAACCCCCAUAGUAUUAAUAUUCCCAGCAUAGAAAUGCUGCUAAGUUUCUGUCUUGUAUUGAACAGCAUAUUCUUUCUUAUAUUGAAUUAUCUGCACUGAAUAUUUGGAGCCUUUUCUUGCUGUUGACUAGUUGGAGUAAUAGUUGCAUUUCCAAUGAUUUUUGUCCCAAAGACAGGCUAGCAUGAAGCUGUAGCUGGAGUUUUUCCUGCGCUUUGCCUGCCACCACUGAGCUUAAAACAUGGACAACAUCAUUAAAUCAAAUCCUUAAGAUUCUCCAAGGAAGCGAGGAUUAGUAGCAACAGCUGAGAUCCCACAUUCCCACUAUUUACUAGGAUAAUGAUAAGUACUAGUACUAUAUAACACAUUACAAUUCACAUUCGUCCAUUUUCUGUACAGCCUGUUAGUCUUCUCAAAGGAUUUUUGUUCCCUAAUUACCCUUACAUUUGUUCUUGCACAUACAAUAUUUCUGUUUUCUUGAUUCAUGUACCUCUGAAUCAUUUUCAUCUUUAUUUCAGGUCUUGUAAGCAAGUCAUGGCAGGUACGGUGGCACUAAUAUGUUUGUCCCAAUAAGUCAAUGCUCCCGUGCCAUGGAUUCUUAUAUGGGGGCCAUAUUCUAUUAGCCCUUCAAACAUACUAGUAGGGAAAAACUCAAUGAUUUGGCUCUGAAAUGUCAAAAGGAACCCCAGAAGUGCUAAUUUGAUUUACGCCGUCAAAAACGAAUUCAGGUAUAACUUUCAACACCAUAAUCAUUCUAGCUAUUAUGAAAACACAAGCCAUGUGCAGAAGUUGUGAGGCACAUAAUCUGAACAUCAAUUUUCAUUCAGACAAUGAACAGGCAGAUGAAAACGAGCCAACAAUGUUUCUUUAGAGAAGAAACAAAUUACUUGUUUAUCACUCGAUCGGUUAGAUGAAAACUCGCUAUUCCCUACAGAAGAAACUAAAUGCUUUACAGUGCUGCUCUAUCUUUUGUUUCAGUCACAAGUCAGAAUAUUAAUCAGUCUAGGCCACUUAAAAUUCGAUGUAAACGUUGCAAAUAUAGUACCGAUAAAAUAAGCAAAUUAUGUCUAUGUGAAGUCGUUUUAGCAACCAUGACAGAUCCCUUUCAUGUCUUAUUUGUUUGCAUGCAUCUCUUUCAAGUUUACUAUUGAAAUGUUCUCUCUUUUUAGGUGCAAUUUGUACCUCCAUAGUCCAUACUCCAGGACAGAUUCUAAAUGUUGUACAUUUGCCUUCUCAGUACUCAUUCAAGGGACAGGUUUUGUUUUCUAUUUCUCACUUUUCCUUUUCUUCCAGAGGAAUGUCUGUUUGCCAGAGGGCAUGCAGAAAACCAGGAGAUGUGGUGCCAUGCUGCCAUGCAAAGAAGAAGUUUUUGUCAACCACAACACAUGGGCACCAAUCAAUCAUCCAUUAGAGGUGUGGUUAGUACUACUCUACUGCUCAUCAGCAUGUCAGCCAUCCUGUCUCUACGAUUAAUCUUGUAUAGGUAAUUAGGCUACAUACUUAUAGCACCCUGUGUCAUGUGGUCAUCACCCAAAAUGCCGUAGCUGAUACGUUGUUGAUGGGGAUUGGGCCACUGUGUUAUGCUCCCAUGACCUGAAAUUAAUUAUCAGUUCGCUGAAAAUCUGAAACCGGUGCUUGUAAUCUAGUUAGACCAAGCAAAAUGCAUGCCACUUGUUAUUAUAAUGAAGUGGCUUUGAUACCAUCAAUUAACUACACUUUCAAAGCGAGGUUACUAAACUAUAUUGAUCUUCUUCUUAAUCCAUAGGAAAUUAAAAAGGCUCAAGUUUGUGUCAAAAGAUCAAAACAGUGGACAUAAAUCUAUCACUCCUCCCCAUACACACAACACGUUUUGGUCUGCACGUUGUCGACCGUGGCCCGAUCAAGUACUGAUCAGCAAGCAAAGAUUUUUUGAGAGCUAAUUAAUCAUGGUGUCUUAACUAGUACUGAUAUCCAUCUUUGAAAACCUAGUUAGGCUGUGAUCGAAUGCAAUUAGGCUUUAAUUAAUUAAGCUGUCAUAUGGUACGGAAUUUCCCGGACUGUUUCUUCGGCGCGAGCACAUACAUAUACAAGUUUGAUAUCUCAAUGAUUGCUCAUUGCUGCAGCGUAUUGCAAGGAAUACUAUAUACUUAUAUGGCUCUCACGACGUGCGGCGCACUAAUGAUGGAUUCGGUGCGUGCGUACGUGUGCGUGCGUGCGUACGUCCGUCAGUAACGGUAACAACGGCCGGGGACCAAACCAACAGAGAGAGAGAGACCAACUGCUGCAGAGACCGGUGUCGCCAUGUUCAUCAUCAUCAAUUCAUCAUGCCUACCUUUGCUUGCAAUUUCAACGCAGCGAUUGGUGCAGGCAUAUGCUUUUUCCUCAGAAAGUUUGCUGCGAGCUUGACAAUGUAUGUCCAUCCUGAACUACCUGCAGGUAAACACAUCUAUAUCCUCCCCCUCAAUUUUGUGGAAAUUAUUACCGAAAUCCUUCUGUUUUUAUUUGAUGUUUAAAAUUGAACUAACCAACGUCAUGUUGAUAAAAAUAGAGGGAGUACGAUUAAUUUAAGGCUCUUGAGAAGGUACAGAGAGACUGUAUUUUUUUAAAAGAAACUUCUCUUACGUAGUUAGAUAUGAGGGUAAUAACAAGGGAAUUGAGAAUUAACAGGUUUCUGCCAGUAAUAUAUUGACAAUCUAAGUGUCUAUUCUUUUGAGCUAAAUGCUGAGUGACCGAUUGGUUCGUGACAAUUAUCCAAGGAUACAACCGAAUGAAUUAACUAUUAUAAAGUUGAAACGAUUUUCUAAGAGAUUCAUAUAUAUAAAUCUUUUUAAUAAAAGCCGCAUCAUUUGGUAGUUUAGGAAGCAUGCAUUUAUCCGUUAAAUAUAAUGCAAGGAAUACAAGUAAUCAUCUUGUGGUGAGUAGAGCCUAGCUAGCUAGACUAUGUCACAUGGAUUCAGAUGAGCAAGGGGAUGCGGCUGGAGUCCUGCGUAUACACUAUAACAAAAAAAAAAAAGGAGGAGGCGUGAUUGAUUAGGUCGGGCAACUUCUGAAACCAAGGCAAAAAUAUUCUCCGUUUUCCUUUUUUUUAAAAAAAAAAAUUGUAACGGAAACAGUGCCCAUAUACUGUUGAUCUUAACACCCCAACCACCUUACUCUUUCUUUUCUCCUCCCUCCUCGUGAUGUCAUUCAGCUUCACACCUCUCUCUUCUCUUUCUCUCUCUCUCUCCUGUUUAUAUAUAUAGAGAGCCAGGCUGUAUGCAUCUUUGCAAAGCCAUCCAUUAAUUCAUCCAUUCGAUCAUUGGGUACAACACAAGCAUAGAAGCUUGUACGAUUAAGUUGAUCAGCUUUAGCUAUCACCACCUUUGCUUGUAACAUCAAAAGCAUGGAGGAUUUAGUUAGUGGCUCAUCUGUGAUGAGGAGUGCCAUAAUUAGCUGCAGUAGUACUAGUGAAGAUCAGCAAGCUGCUGCUGCUGCUCAAGCUCAGCCGGAGGAGAGCACCUGGACCGACUACUUUGUGGAUUUCAUGAUGUCCGAGGAGGAGAAGAAGAGUCAAGAAGAUCAUGGUGCUUCUUCAUACUGCUCCCAUGGCGGAGAUGGCGUCUAUGGCGAUUGCAGUGAUCAGAAGGAGCUGGAGGAGGAGGAAGGAGAGGAAGAUUCUAUGAUCUCCGACGCCGCGUCUUGCGCUCCCGCGGCUGCGGCGUUGCCUGAUAGGUACAAGGAGUUGAAGAAGCUCAAGAAGAAGGUCUUCAAGGCCCUGGAUCAUGAUGAUUCCCUGGAGGAUACCGCAAGCUCUCCAGUAAAUAGCCCUAAGGUAGUUACAGCUAGCUUAAUUCCCUAUAUAUUUUUGUUGCUAUGAAGGCUUAAAGCUAGAGAGUCUUUGUUUUUUUUUUAAAAAAGAAAUAAAGAAAAGAAAAAUUAGAGAUUACUAGCUAGUUGGUGUUGAUUUGCCUGUUUGAUUUGCAUCUUUCAGGUCAGUGCUUUGACACAGCUGGAAUUGAGCCCUAAAAGGAGGUGCAAUACCAGGGACCUAACCAAGGUAAUUAAUUAAGUUCAAUCAAUAAUCAGUUGGUGUUUUAUUGAAAAGAUACUAUUAUAAAUUGUCCAUCCAUUUUUUUCAGGUUUCUAGAAAAGUAGUAAAAAUAUUGUCUUGUUUUAACAUCCUGUCUCUUUUUUUUUUCCUUGAAGGAAGUUGGGAUUGGAGAUGAUCGUGGAAGAGAGGGGAUGGACUAUGCAGAUGCAAUGGUAGAGGGGGUGAGGUUUGUUGAUCAAAGUCAGAAGAGUGUAACUCCAUGUGGAGAGCUAAAGGAUAAGGGGCUUUGUUUGUUUCCUUUGUCCAUGUUGCUACACUACCAUGGAUGAAAAUUUGAGAACUUCAAUGUAGAGCACGUGUAGGGUUUAUGCCUUACAUGAAUGUGUGUGGGAUAAAUGACCAAAAAAUAUAGUGUGCUGAGAUUACUGUGGAUAUAUUUUUUGGGUGAAAAUAUAUGUGAAUAUAUAUUACCGCUCCUGCUCUCCUUGUUUCAUUUUUUUUUCCAUUUUGUUUUACUUACCACUAGUUAUGCUCUGUGCGUGCAGUUUAUUUUAUUAGAUAUCUAUAUGGAUGCUCCUAAAAGCAACAAUAUAUAUAGAUGGUUACAAAUGGUACAAAAUUGUCAUGGUUAUUUACAUGGUGUUUUGAGAUGUUGUGCAGUACAAAUUAAUGAAUUAAGGUGAGUUGCUCUCCUGCUGUCCUGCACAUAUAUAGCUAUACAGGUAAGUUCCAACGAUUGAUCAGAGGCCAUGUAACUUAGUAAGACAUUAGUAUUAAUUAGUAUAUUCACAAUUCACAAAUGAGUGAAUGACUAACACAUGAGUUACAGAACAUGUCAAUGCUCUACCUUUACAUGCAUGUCUCUCACUUUUUGUUCGAUGUAAAAUAAGUGUUCCCAACCAGCCGAUGCCACUAGCUUAUCAGCAUGAUCAGAUGGGCUAUCUACCAACUCCUUUUAAUUACAUCAUGGAUGUACCUGUUAACUCAGUUACCUGAUAUGUAGCUAAUUAGCUAUAGCUAUUACUACCCACGAGUAGCUAAUUAAUUAGCAAAUGCAAUGCUAAAAAUUUAGGGUUAUCUUGAUGCUAAAAGAAUUUCAUUCUAAGGAGAUAAAGUGGAUAAACAUAAAGGCAGCAUAUAUGUGCAAUGACCAUGCUUGCAGCCCAUGAACAAGUAGUGGUUAGGGAGUAGCUUUCAUGAAGGGAGAAUAGUUAAGUGCUUGACUGUUGCCAAGAUUUGAAAGCUAAAGGACUUAUUAACAAACCAAUUAAAUUUUUAAGGGCUAGAUGACCUCCCCCUAAUUUGGCACCUUUAGCUUGUCCCUUCAUGCAUGUUAAAACAUUAUUUUCUUUCACCAUCUUUCGUAGCCUUAUCAAUCGAUCUUAGGAGUUAGGUUUGCAAGCAUGAAGUCUUGAGAGCUACACCUAUGUAUAGCCUUUUCGUUUGUACGUCUCAUGCAUGGUUCAUCUUGUUACUGUCUGAACACUUGACUACUGAUCCAAAUAACCAAUUGCCCGCUGUCUAGAUCAAAGAAAAGAACGAAUUCUACGUCGUCAACUACUGUGCGAUGUUAAUUAAUCUGAGAUUUCGACAUUGCUAAUAAAUGAAUGUGGGACAUCAUAUCGUGUACUUAAAAUGAAAAAAAAAAGGUUUUGAGAAAUAUAUUGACAUGCAAUUCUUUUGCGCAUUCGCGAAAAAUAAUGACUGAAAGUACAUGAUGUUAUUAUGGCAAAGUAAUUGCUCUAUCCUCAUCACGCUUGGAGGUCCCUCAAUAACGACAUGUUUUUUUUCUUUUGAUGUGUCUAUUGAUUAACAUGAAUUAUUCAAGAGCACGCAGCUGAAUUCAAUAUAUAGUUUCUGGCCGGUUAUCACUGUAGCUCAUUAUUCAUUCUUAAAAUAUAUAGCGAGAAAAUACAUGUAGUGGAAACCACAUGUGUAGUAGUGAAUCCUGGACGUAGGAUAAGAAAAUUGAUGCAUGCGAUUGUUCACGUCAUACUAAUUUACUUUUACUGGUCACAUAUAUUUUCCCUAGUGUAACCGGGCAACCGAACCUUUCAAAAAAAAUUUGCUGGGUAAGUUAUCCAGCAUAACUAAAUUUGUAUGUUUUUAACUGAACCUGUUGCCCCAUAAAGAUAUAUGAAGAGAUCAGAUUAAUUAGCAUCUUAAUCUAAAUGUUCUUCUGCAUUUUUCAUCUUAUGAGUUCUUAUAUAUGAACAGGAAAUAUAUUAAUUAGCUUCAGAACUUAAAAUUAGUAUUUUUAGAUGACAGUACUUCAAAGUUAAAAUUAGUUGAUACCCUUUCAUGUGUGCUACCAGUUUAUUUUGAUAGAAGCCUUUUGGUGGAGCUCCAGCUGCAAGAAUUCUUUGCACCGCACCAUCUUGUUCAUAUUUUAGAUCACGAAGAAUAGAUGCUUAAAUCAUUAUAUUUUAACCUAUAAACUCCAAAAUCUAGAGGUUUGAGGUUUGCCAAACAAGCCCUAAGAAUAGUACAUUGCACUUGUAGAUUUGGGCCAUAUAUGUUGGCCUGCAUGUUACUGAAGCUUCCAACCAAAAGGUGGCUAGCUCUGAAAAUAAAUAAUAAAUAAACAAAAGAGAUUAUCUUAAUCCCCAAUCCUUAUUAGGUACCAUCCUAAUCACUACUUAGACAGUGUCUUGUCCCUUAAAGAACAUCUUGAAGACUAAUUAAUCACUCUGGCCUGAAUCAUCAUCAGUUAUGUCGUAAUGCACCCUUCACAGAAAGUUAGAAACAAGUGGAACAAAGAUAGCCUCUUGAAUGUCCUUGAGGACUAGUGUUUGGAGAAGAUUUUUUUUUUUUUUGGGGGGGGGGGGGGUGGGAAUGGAAAAAAAAAUAUAAUGAACUCAAACUGAGAAAACUGUCAUGUGUCCAUGUGCACGGCAUUAAGGUUGUUGGCACAUAUGAGAAAAAAAAUUGAAAUAUGUUAUCUUAUCCACGUCUUGGCUGCCCGUGUAUCCAUGAUUUAUAUUCUCCGGCCGUCUGAAUUUAAAAUCGCAACAAGUUGGAAAUUAUUUUGCGGAAUGGUGCAAAACAUCAAAGAAUUUACAAGAAGUCAAUGUUCACCAAUAUUUUAUUUUAUAUUUCAGGGACAAUUAUCCCGUCGCAAGGAAGUGAAAUUAUGAUUCUUUUGUAUGUUGAUGUAAUCAUGUUACCGUCAAACAACUGAAGCUAUAUGACCUGCUACAGUGCUCCUCAGGUUUUCAGAUACCAAAACUAGAUUGAUUCCUGGGGUCUUGUUGGCCCUAGUUCUCAGCUUUAAUUUGAGGAGAGGAACAACACAAAAAGUAGACUGUUUUCUGCCAAAACAUUGAAAAGACAAUUCAUGUUUCUUUUUGCCUUUUCCCCAUAACUACUUAUUGAUCAACGCAAAUCUUCUGUAUUAAAUUAUCUGUAAAUAAUUGAAUCACAACUUUAGAUAUACUCCCUCCAUAAAAAAAAAUCCAAUCCUAACUAUGAAUCUAGACAAGUGCUUAUCUAUGUUCAUAUCUAAAUUUAUAUUUUUAAACGGCUUCUCAAACUAACUUCCAAUAUGAAAUAUACAAAGUACAAAAUUUCAGUAGCUAGGCCGGUGCAGUUUUCCUCAUUACAUUACACUGUCCUGUCGAAGUGUCGAACCGUCUUUCAGAGGUUCAGUUGAUGGUGCAUGGAUCAACCACAAGUUGUUGCAUGUUUUUUCAUCCCCUUUUCUUUUCUUUUCUUUUUUCUUUUUCUUCAGAGAUGGCAACAGUUUGUUGUACUGACAAGAAGGUUUCCGUACGAGUGAUGGAUGCUUCACCUACCAAGAGAGAGAGAGCUAAUUGGUGAGUGACAAAGAACAUAAUAUGUUGGAGCUAGCUCACAUGCAUGCUGCCUUGGCUUGUUUCCUUUUCUUUUUGCAGGCUCGUUUUUUUUCUCUCCUAUCCAUACAGGAGGUUAGUACAGUUGGCCUGUUGGAUUGCUCCAUUUCUCAAACAAAUGCUGGAUUGUGCUCACUCACAAAUCAUGGCUCAUUAGAACAUACAUGUGAGAAUCUUGAGAUGUCGUGAUCACAUAAAGCUUCAUACCGUUGUUAGCUUCAGAGAGGGAACCAUGCAUCUUUUUUUUUCUUCAAAAAUACGCAAAAGAAUUAUGCAUCUUCAUAUUAAAAUUUUAAAGUUUUUCUUAAAAAAGAAAUUUUACAGUCAUUGAGAGAUACCAAAAGUUUUAGCGCAAAUUUGGUACCUACUAGUAUCUCCUUAAGGACUGCAAAAUCACUCUUUCGGAAAGGCUAUGCUCAUGAAAAUAAGAAAAACGCAUCACGUUACGUGCCAACACCACUACCACACCCUUACACACCCUUAUCUUGGUUUGAUCUAUGCAACAAAAUAGUAAGCUGCAUUAUUCAGAGUUCAGACACACACUGAUGAGAUGGGUCAAAUAAUCAAAUUUGAAUUCAGAGUUUGAUCUUUCUGUAAAAUAAUUUGUCAACUCAAAUGGUCUCUAUUCGUUCUUUAAAAGGUGUUCUCUCCUCAGCCUAAGAAUUUUAGAAGGUUGGUGCUCGAUCCUUGUAUACAGAUGAAUAGAUCGGCAAGUACAGAGUUGCAACUUGAGUAUAAUUUAAUCCCAGAUGUAGGCAUUUCAGCGUAUUCCAGCAACUGCAUUAUAUAUCUUGUUCUUUUCUUUUUGGAGCACUUGGUAGGUACUCAAUCGAUUUAUGGAGAAAAUACUGGAUUAAUUUGUUAAUUCUGGACAAACAAUAUAAUAUUCUGCAAGAUUUCAACAGAAAUUCUGUUAGUCGUCUAGAUAUAUAGCAUGACUAGAGAAAUCAAGAAAAGAUUGCAAGAUUCCAUAGGAAAUAUGAAAAAUGUCUGAACCAACUGCCAAGAUGGAGAGGUAUGGGAGGAACCACGAAAUCUUUGAUUGUGUUAUUUGUCUUUGUCCCAGUUACCCCGUAUCUUUGACAAGAUUGCAAUCCGUUUUUUUUUUUUGUCAUUUGUCAUCUGAUUCAAGGGAUGAUGGUUUUUUCACAUAGAAUACACGGCAAUCAUUGGAUAGAGCUGCCCACCACUACAAAAUCCACGACUUAGGUUUGCAUAGAAAAAUUACAAGGAAAAUGCAAACGCAUAUGCGCUGGUUAAACUAAGUAUUUAAGAAAUUAUUGGUAGUCAAAAUUAUAAAAAUUUAAUCAAAUUUUAUCUUAAACUUUAAAUAUGUGUGACCGGAGAAAAUAACUACUUCGUUUCAGGUUAUAAGAUGUUUUAACUUUAGUCAAAGUCAAACAGCUUUAAGUUUGACUAAGUUUAUAAAACAAAUAGUAAUAUUUUCAACCCAAGAUAAAUUUAUUAUGAAAAUAUAUUCAAUUAUUGAUUUGAUGAAACUAAUUUAGUAUUAUAAAUAUUACUAUAUUUGUCUAUAAACUUAGUCAAAUUUGAAACAGUUUGAUUUUGACCAAAGUCAAAACGUCGUAUAACCUGAAACGGAGGGAGUAUUAAUUAAGCCAUCAAAACUCACUCAGUCUCGAGCUUUGGCCCAAGGCUUGGACCAAACCAUAAUAUUUUGUGCUAUUUUUAUUUGCACCUAUACGGUGGAAAUAAGGUUUAACUCGUAGAAAAUGCUUAUUAUUUAGAGGCUUAUUGGCAAUCUAAUUUUGCUCACAGGCUCAAUCUUUUUUUAAAUAAACUCGCAUGCUCAAUCUAGUUUAUGGGAAGUUUGCUCGGAGAAACGCUCAGAUAUCUUCCGAGGCUAAUUAUUCACAUCUUUUUGGAAGUUUGCUUGGACUGAUAGGGAUUGGGCAUCUCAAAUUAAUGGGCCCUGACUGAAUCUAGGACUAUUGUACAGUAUACUAGUAGCCCUUAACUUAUGCCUUUAUGAAAGAAAAAAAAGGCAUACUACCUUGAGGGUAAAUGGUGCCGUGGUAGUUUAGGCUGCAUUGCGGAGGACACGGAAAACAAAGCACGUGAUUAUUAUAGUGAGAUUAAUUAAGUAUGAGAAAAAAACUUGAAAAACUGAUUAAUAUUAUUUUUAAAACAACUUUCAUAUAGAAAACUUUUAUAAAAAAUACACCGUUUAGCAGUUUGAAAAGGAGAAAAGUGAGUUGGGAAAGAGGGGUAAACAACACAGCCUUAGUAUAGGCAUAUGGAUUUCAGCUAAGGCCUUGUUUAGUUCCCAAGAAUUUUUGGAUUUAGUUGUCACAUCGGAUAUACGGACACACAUUUGAAGUAUUAAACGUAGUCUAAUAAUAAAAUAAAUUACAGAUUCCGCCAGAAAACUGCAAAACAAAUUUAUUAAGCCUAAUUAAUCCGCCAUUAGCAAAUAUUUACGGUAGCACCAUAUUGUUAAAUCAUGGCGUAAUUAGGCUUAAAAGAUUCGUCUCGCAAUUUACACGCAAACUGUGUAAUUAUUUUUUUUCUUUUGUCUAUAUUUAAUACUCCAUAUAUGUAUCCAAACAUUCGAUGUGAUGGGUAGAAAGUUUUUGUUUUUGAAAACUAAACAGAGCCUAAACAUGUGAAAAUUCUACCUUGAGGUCAGAUGAUGAGAUGAGCCCACAUUUAACUCGCCCGCGGUGGAUGGGAUUGCCAAAUUAACCAAGUUGGCCUAAAAACAUAUUACGAAACAAAGCUGGUGAAAGAUCUAUGGUGUUAACUAAAUCUGCGAGGCAGUUCCUAUAUGUAGUAAAAAAGAAAAGUUAGUUUUUCUAUUUAGUGUUUGGUGAUGUAUUAUGAAAGUACAUUGCAUAUAGCUUGUUAAUUCAACAUGGUGGACCGGCCGCUCAAUGCAAAUACUGGUGUUGAUGGGCCAUCUAGCUACAAUUUUCAUUCAUCUUAUCUUCACAUGGGCUGGCUGGGGUCUUGCCGUCUUGGACAUAGAUGUUUGAUGGGUUUACAUGUCACAUUGUUUAGAGAGAAGGCUAUAUAUUGUCACAGAAGCUUGUCUAUAGAUUCUCUUUCCUAUCAGGGGUUAACCUCAAGCUCCUAUACGCCAUUGAUCAGCAUGUAUGAACAGCUACGACGAAAGAGAGCCAUGAAGCAACAGGAAGUUUGGACAUUAUCUGAGUUCCAACCUACGGCUUCGGAACCCUUCCCUUUCCACACACAGAUCUCAACGACACAUCAGUAUUAUAUGAUUAAUUAAGUGUUAGCUUAAAAAGCUCGAAAAAUAAAUCAUUAUUAUUUUUUAAAGCAACUUUCGUAUGGAAAUUCUUUUACAAAUAUAUACUGUUUAGUAGUUUGGAAAGCAUAUACAUGGAAAAUAAAUAUUGGGAAAAUGGAGUAUAGAACAAAGAUCUAAACAAGGAGGAGGCAGAUCAAUAACAUUGUCAAUUGGUGGUUGAAACAGUUGACUGAAGAUGGAAGCCCCUUGAAGAGAAGGGCAUGGCACAUCUGCAAGAUUUCAGUAUGUUAAAGCGUUCGCGCCUUGUUCAUGAUCUGUGCACUUGUAGUCUUGUACUACUGUUGUACUUGCUUCAUCAGAUGCUGAACUAUAUAUUCUGAGUUUUAUGUAUGAUUCAGCUCAAAUUUGACCCAAGUUACACUUAAUGAAUCAAAUGAUUUAUAUAUUUAAAGAAAUAGUGAAUUCCUCUAAUUACCUAAGCAAACAUAUAUGGACACCAUAUGUUGUGGCUGUAAGCCUGUGUAAACCCUCUGAAGGGCAUAUCCGUUUGGGGACAAAACGAGCUAAGUGUUGGAAACUCAUGAAAAUCAUACCUAAAAGUUUUAUAAAUUUAUGAAAAAAACUACAUAUAGGUGUAGAUAUAAAAUACAUUUUCACAAUUCUCCAGUUCAAACUUAACUUUAUUUAGGUGUAACAAAAAAGACAAAUUUCAGGUGAAUAGUGUCCUCUUACUAUUAACCUGAAAUUUGUCUUUUUUUUCCUCUUAAACGAAGUUGAGUUUAGAGUUGAGAUUUGGUGAGAAUGUAUUUCAUAUCUACACCUAUCUCUAGUAUUUUUUUUCAUGAAUUUACGAAACUUUUUGAUAUGAUUUUCAUGAGUUUUCAACACUUAACUCGUUUUCAUGAAAAUAUGUCCUCUUUCGUUUUGGAGGAAAUUCAAAGGUUUUGGAUUCCUAAGGAUUAAUUCAUAUGAGUAUCAUUCGGUUAAUAAGAAUGUAGGUAUAGGAAACAAAGUUUUUUUUUACAAGUUAUAGAGAGAAAACAUAGACACUUUUUCAUCCACUCAAACCUUUUUGGAAAAUUCCUAUGGAUUGAAGUUUUCAUGCAUUCCUAUUCCUCCACUUUUACUAUUCCUAUAUGUUUAAAUUCCUCCAAAAUGAAUAGGCCCUAAGAUCAGUAGACGUCAUUGAAAUCCUAGAUUAAGUUUGUUUUUUUACUGUCCUUGUCUUUGCUCAGGUUGCAGUUUUCUUUUAAAAAACGAUGUCGGAAUUGGGAUUUCUUUUCUUGACACACAUUACAUUUAGGCGCAAAUACUCACUCUAUAAACAAACACGCUCUAUCCAUAUGAACACCUUUCAAGGUCUGAUCUGACAUAUUUAAAGUCAUUAUAAGUAUCUCGUCGUUGAUAGGUACAUCAUCUAUAAUUAAAGAAAAUAAUUAGUAAUAAAUACAAGUACCGGUGCUAAGUAACGUACUACUAGAAAUUGAUGUAUGAUUAAAGGAAUAUGUUCCAUAUAUGUAGGUACAACUGUGUUAGAGCUAGAGAUAUAGUACUAUCAAUAUUCAAUUCUUCCAAAAAAAUUUGCUUUUAUGCUAGCUGGACCCAACCAAGCAUUUCUAUCGCCUACUUUGAUUUUUGUCGAGCAACAACUGAUUUUUGACCUUAUUCGAUGGGGCUUGCAUAUGGAAGAAACCGUGUAUGCCAUAUUUUUUUAUAAGUAAAGCACACAACCUGUAAACCUAGAAAUAUAUCACUUAUAGAACCGGAUAUGUUAGGGUAGUUCCAACCCUCUAUUUCAGCUAGCUUACAUAGCAUUAAAUAUCGUGUGACAUAAGAAGAAAAACUAAGGUGGCAAGAGAGUUAAUAAGAAUAACGGCAAAAGAUAAAGAAACCAGCUCUAUGCAAGAAACAAGAAUUAACACAAGGAGCAAGGGAGAUGAGAUUAGAUAAGAAUUUAUUUUGAAGAAACCAUUUUGGGCAUACAAUUUUUAUACGUAGUACCUAUAUGAUAUAUGAUAUGGCGAGUAUGAUAAGUACCAUAUAGUUUCUAGGUCGGGAUUUUCCUUAUAUCCAUCGACUUUUAAAACCAAUUAUAAUACUUUCUUAAGAGCUAUUUAAUUUAGUCUUUGAUAACAAUCCGGCCCAGGUGGGGUCGGCCGAGACCCAAUAACUUAAGGUUACCCGGACCCCAACAGUUCUUAGGCACACCCACUCGGGGAACCCAAUUUCCCUAAAAGACUAGUCCAAUAGGGGAAUGGUGGCUCUCCCUUUUAAGGUGGCUUCUUCCUCCCAAACUAAGCAAGGUGGGAUUAUUCAAAGGCUCACAUGGUCGCUGCCCGAGCUAAGCAAGGUGGGCUCACACGGUCGCCGCCCGAGCUAAGCAAGGUGGGAUUAUUCAAAGGCUCACACGGUUGCCACCCGACUUUGGCGUCUUUGCCAGCGGGUAAUAGUGGAGGAUGUCCUCAUCAUUCCCACCCUCUUAACAAGGGCCCAGCUCUGAUACCAAAUGAUAACAAUCCGGCCCAGGUGGGGUCGGCCGAGGCCUAAUAACUUAAGGUUGCCGUAUCAAAUGAUAACAAUCCAGCUCAGGUGGGGUCGGCCAAGGCCUAAUAACUUAAGGUUGCCCGGACCCCAACAGUUCUUAGGCACACCCACUCGGGGAAAGGCCUAAUCUCUCUAAAAGACUAGUCCAAUAAGGGAAGGGUGGCUCUCCCUUUUAAGGUGGCUUCUUCCUCCCAAGCUAAGCAAGGUGGGAUUAUUCAAAGGCUCACACGGUCGCCGCCCGACUUUGGCGUCUUUGCCAGCGGGUAAUAGUGGAGGAUGUCCUCAUCAGUCUUCAUGUUGUAGCAUAUAUUGUUGCCGCACCGAAAAUUUGUUUUAAACAUACUUAAAUCAUCUAGUUAGCAUUUUAAACCAUAAAAGUCAAAAGGACAUGCUGGUAUUUGGAUGGCAAAAUCACCAUUAAUAAAUGGUUGGUGGUGUUUGAACUUGUUUUGAUAUUUCUUCCAUAAAAAAAUACCUCUCAUGCUUUGAUCUCAACCAUCCAUUUGUCAUAUGCAUUUACAAUCCACUAAGAAUAGUUAUUGCUAUAAAGCUUAAUGUGCAUUGAACUAUAACACAUAGUCAUUGGAUCCCUCUCAUGUUUGAUACAUAAAAAAUCUAAGGGCAUAUUUGGGGGAGCUUAAGAUUCUGAGAAGCAACUGGUUGGUAGCCAGCUUCUGAGAAUCUGGAAAAGCUGGGUUUCCCAGCUUCUGACUUAUAGUUCAUCUUCUGGAUUCUACAACUACAGCUUCUUAGAAUCUGGACCAAAAGCUGUACUGUUUGGGGGAGCUUAUGAUUCUGGGAGAAGCUGCAGCAGAUAGAAGCUCCCCCAAACAGGCCUUAAGUGUUAUGUAGUAUUCCCCCGUCCCUAAAUAUAAGGGAUUUUGGUUGGAUGUGACGCAUCCUAAUACUACGAAUCUGGACAUAGAGUAUAUCCAGAUUCGUAGUACUAGAAUACACCACAUCCAACUAAAAUCCCUUAUAAUUAAGGAUGGAUGGAGUAUUGUAUUUUCACAUCAACUACUAUAGAACAAAUAUAGAUUAUUUAGAUAUCUAUAUCUAUAUAUCCUACUAUAGUUGGAACCAUAAACUUGACAUGCAUUGAGCCAUGUCAUCUAGAUAGGGAUGCAAGCGGGGCGGGCAAGCGGGUUUUUUUUUCCCGCUUAUCCCACUUCUAGUUCAUUUUUCUUCUAAAUUUUGUACUAUGAUGUAAAAAAUACACUAGCAAGCGGGUUUUUAUGCGGGUAGCGGGACUACCCACUUGCAUCCCUACAUCUAGAAAAUAGUAGCUUUUUGAUCCAUCUCAUGCUUUCAUCUCAACCAUCCAUAUGCCAUAUGCAUUUACAAUCCACUAAAUAUAGUUAAUUGUUAUAAAAUUUAAUGUACAUUGAACCAUGACAUCUAGAAAAGUAAUAACCAUUGGAUUCCUCUCAUGAUUGAUACAUAACCAUUCAGGUGCCAUAUACAGUUGCAAAUUUUCUUUAAAGGGCCAUCAAUAGAAUAUCAUUUUUUAGUUUAAAAGUAAAGGUGGUAUAUACGCGUAAAUUUGCGUUGCCUUGAAAGUAACAUAUUGUUGUGAACUUAAUAUUGGUUUUGUAAACUUAAUUUAGCAUAAAUUGAUAGUUUAAAAGUUUAGUAAAAUUUCACUUUGGGUCACCUUUUAUUACCGGUAUUUCUCUUUGGAUCACUAUUUAACCAAUGUUUUCACUUUGGAUCGAGUAAUAUUACUUUUGCUGCAUUUUGGAUUGCCCUUACUCUCUUUCAAGCAUACGAAUGAUUUUGAGUACGCCAACUCUGAUUCGUCAGUGAACUCCCACCGCUUUAUAUAGACAAUUUAUUUGACAAAUGACAAAUUUAAUGUAGAUGGAUAAAAGAGUUGAUGGUGAUCCAAAGUGACACAAAGUAAGAUUACCCGGUUUAAAGUGAAAACAUUAGUUAAAGAGUAAUGUAAAGUGAAACAAUCGUAAUAAAAGGUGGUCCAAAGUGAAACUUAUUUAGUGAAUAUUAUCCUGCACUUGAGAUUAAAAAGUGUCAUGCAGGGAAAACACUAGUUAUAUGGUGAUAGAGUCGUAGGCGUAUGACUCCACCAUUCACCAGGGUUCAAAAUCUUGAUACCACGAAUAUUAUAUUUUGCCUACACAUAUAGGUGAACUUUCAACAAAAUUUUAGUGAGAUGAGUGAUGUGCCAUUGAUUUUUGUCUCUUUUUUUAGAAGUACAAACUCAGGCGCUCACAUAAUGCGUGAGCGUGUGUGAGUAUGGUGUUACAUGUUUAAUAGUGUGUGUGGGUGUGUGUCUAAUGUGUAAUUGAAUAAAAAAAAUCAUACAAGUCAUAUGUUUUCUAAUUUAAUGAGUUGUUACAUAUCCAAUUGGCAUGUAGGACCAAAAUAUCAUCAAUUUCAAUGCUACAGAAAAAUAAUUUUUUAAAAAAGAUGCCGCUGCAAAAUCAUCAUCAUUUACUUAUUUUGUCACCACAUCACUCUAAAUCAAUUAGAUUACUCUUAUCCUAUGGCCUUAUCCAAAAUACUCCAAUUUACCUAUCCUAAAAUCGGUCAUAAGGAUUCUAACGGAUCAACCCAUGAAUCUAUUUGUAGGCAAAAUUAGUUUGUUAAACCGUGGAUUGACUCAUGACUUAUCUACUAAUUCAAGCUAUAAAUAGAUUUAUGGAUUGAUCCACUUACAUUUUUAAGGCGUGGAAAGCGGCAAGGGAAUUCAUAGGUUAUCAACUAGUUUCGCGGAUGGACCCGUUUGUAUACGGCCCUAUUCCAAUCAAAAAAAAAGAAAAAAAAAGAAAAGAAAACAAAAGAACACCGACGCGGGCAGCAAUUGCAGUUGCAGUUACAACCGGCAAAUCUCUCGCGACCCUGCACCGUAGCAGCGUCGACGCGAGGCGGACAGCCUCUUCUUCCUCCUCCCUUUCCACCCCCCACAGAGAUCUCGCCUCUCUCCUCCUCCCUUUCCCUCUCCUUCCUUCCAGAUCUCUCCACGCGCCGCCCCGAUCUCUUCCCCCCACCCCCACCUCGUCACCGGCGGGGAGGAGGGCCCGGCCGCCGGCAGCCAUGAUCUCCUCCAGUAAGCUCAAGUCCGUCGACUUCUACAGGUCCCCUCCACUCCCGAUCUCUCUCUCUCUCUCCCUCCAUUGCUUGCUAUGGUACUCCCUGUGCGCGCGCGCGCGGGGGGGAUUUCGACGCGGUCCUCGGCUGGGGGUGCUGGUCCGGGUUCGGAUUGGGUGAAUUCUCUUGCCUGGCUGUUCUGGCGAUUGCAGUAGAUGGUUUGUGAUGGUUCGUUGAUGCACCGAGAAAAUCGGGGUUGCGUGGGCGUAUGUGGUGGUAUUGACCAUUCGUGCGGUCGUUGCGAGUAGUGUAAUGUCUGGUGUAUUUUCUACUGAGAUGGGUAAUUUGGUUGAUGCGCUUUUUCUUUUCGUGCUUGCAGGAAAAUUCCUAGGGAUUUGACCGAGGCAUCACUAUCUGGGGCUGGAUUGUCCAUUGUAGCAGCACUAGCUAUGGUGUUUUUGUUUGGAAUGGUCAGUUUUCGUUGGAUUAGCGAUUGCACUGUUAUUUUUAGAUUUCAUUUUUUCACUCUGGUUCCAGUCUUUAGGGAAACAAACAAAAAAUGGUUGGACUGUUCUUCUGUUCCAUUUGGUGAUUGUAGACUGAAAUUUGGUACAGAGCCAUACUAAAAUGAUAGAGCAUUUAUUUAUUUAUAUGCAGAUUAGUUGUCUUCUACCAUUCCAACUGCUGUAGUGUAGCUAAUCGCUAUCGCCGGAUCAAUGUAGAGUCUCGAUUUGCUUGUUUCAUUUGAUGAUUGAGAAUAGCUCGUUUUUCCUGAUAUCUGUUUCAAUUGACUAUUAGAGCUUCAUGAUAGGCUAGAUUCUUAACUGAACCUAUUUUGGUUGAAUAUUUUUGACCGAAUUAUCAAUUGGUCCAUCCAACCUUGAAAGUGGCAGUUAAGUAAUGUAUAUGCCCAAGUAUAUUGUAAUUACUCCGGAACAUAUGCAUAAUUUUGGCUGUUGCUUGUUAAGGCUUGCAAUGUGCUAUACUUUUCACUAUGCUGAGCUGAUUCCUUAAUCAAGCUUUAGACUAGUUUAAAGGUUCAUUUCAACUGAAAAGCUAAAUCUGUUCAAUUGUUAUUGCAGGAACUGAGUAAUUACUUAGCAGUCAAUACUAGCACAUCUGUGAUUGUUGAUAGGAGUUCAGAUGGGGAGUUCUUACGGAUAGAUUUUAACUUAAGGUAAAUUCUAUGGCACAUGCUGCACAUCUCAACAAGUAAUAAGGUUAGAAUACAAAAUGAGAACCUUCAUGAUCACAUAGAUAAUACUGCUAUCAUUAUGGUUCAUAGAACUAAUGUCUUCCUAAUUCUCUAAUCUGCUGAUAGUAAUUUUAUCCCUAUUGUGAUUAAUUUUAAUGGAAUACUAUAUAUGCAACAGCAAAGCACAGCGUUAAUUAAUGUCAGGCACUCAGUACAUUCUUUUCAAUGUAUUUGUACUCAUUUGGUGCAUUGUGGAAAAAAACAUAUGAUUCUCAGUUAAUUCAUUUAUCUUCAAAGGUCACCUAAUUACCAGAUCCAACCAUUUGUAGUAAUAUGUUUGUAGAAUAAUUCUGAUGUUGUUCUUUUACUCAACACUUUCAACCCUUGGUCUAUAUGAACCUGAGAGCCAUUGUUUAUACUUGAAAUUGAUGCUUUCCAGCAAACAAGGACUAGUCAGGCACUGCUCAUUUAUUUGUAUGUGAUAAUGCAUAGGAGGGUAUCUACAUUAGUCUAGCUGGUUGCCCAUUGUUUUCUAUGGAAUGACAUCAGCAAAGCUGGACUCAACUUUUCCUUGUUUUUCCAGUAGAUGCUCACGAUCUGGUUCUGUGAUUUACAGCUUUCCUGCACUUUCAUGCGAAUUUGCAUCAGUUGAUGUCAGUGAUGUUCUGGGAACAGUAAGAUUCUAACUUGACCUCAUGUACUCUGUUUUUGUUCAUCUGCCGUCUAGAAUGAGGAUAUCAUUGAAGGACAUGAAGCUCAUCUUGCGCGUUCCAUAAAAACUAUUGUUGACUUUAUUUUCUUGUUAACUUGCCAUUACAAAUAACUUUCCACUAGCUUUUAAAAGUACUCCCUCCGUUUCACAAUGUAAGUCAUUCUAUCAUUUCCCAUAUUCAUAUUGAUGUUAAUGAAUCUAGACAUAUAUAUCUAUCUAGAUUCAUUAACAACAAUAUGAAUGUGGAAAAUGCUAGAAUGACUUACAUUGUGAAACGGAGGAAGUAAGCUCUACAUGUAUAUUUUACACCAAUGUUAAAAAUACGAAAUAUGACAAUUUAUCAGUUUUUGUAAAGUUCUGUGCAUGUCAAAAGAAUGAAACCUAUCCUAAAUUCCUAACUAACUUUCUAUCUAUAAGCAUUUCUUGAUCAUAUCUUGCCUUUUGUAGCUCGAGUUUUUCUCCAUGCUGGUUUAACCUUAAAGUUUCUGUUCAAAACACAUGCAGAACAGAUUGAACAUAACGAAAACUGUUCGCAAAUAUUCAAUUGAUCGGAAUUUAGUGCCUACUGGAUCCGAGUUCCACCCAGGACCUAUUCCUACGGUCAGCAAACAUGGAGAUGAUGUUGAAGAAAACCAUGAUGAUGGUUCAGUUCCCUUGUCCUCUCGCAAUUUUGAUAGCUAUUCACACCAGUAAGUAUUCAAAUAUGUAUUUCAAUAUCCACCUAUCCGUAACACAUAACAUAUAGCAUUUUAGCAAUUGUGCGUUUCAAUACCAUAUCAACGGUCAACCUAUUAUUCAUGUAUGCUGUCUUCUUUCUCCUUCACAUUCAUGGAGAAAUGUACUUUAUAUUCAUAGCUCCAAUCACUUCAACCAGAUUGUCUAUGGCAAAUUGGUGAUAAUCUUCACUUUUACCUGCCUCAAGUAUUUUUCCUUGAAGUGCCGUUCGGUAUAUCUAGUUAAUCCCUCUUGUAUUGUUUCGGAGCCCAAAUAUUGUUUCCACUGAUUAUUAUCAUGCACUUCCUUUUCAGGUAUCCUGUUUUGGUUGUUAAUUUUUAUGCCCCCUGGUGUUACUGGAGCAAUCGAUUGGUUAGAAUUCAUCUUGUUCCUUUGCAUUUAGUGAUUUUCUAGUAUAUGCUACUCUAUCUGUAAGGAAAUGAUUAGUAAAUUAUUGCUGGUAAAGUAAUGUAAGUAUGGCACGGCUUAUUGAACUAACAAAUGGAGACAUUUCUAAUUACUUGAUCUUCCUCCAGAAACCUUCGUGGGAGAAGACUGCAAAAAUAAUGAGGGAGAGGUACAUACUGUUUCUCUUUGUUUGUGUUUUGUGGUUUUAAUGUGCUGUUUAAUCUAUACCAUGUUGUUUUUUUUUUCUGCAGAUAUGAUCCUGAAAUGGAUGGCAGAAUCAUUCUUGCCAAGGUUGACUGCACUGAAGAAAUUGACUUGUGUAGGAGGUUCGUCUGUACUUAAUUAUUAUUCAUAUCCAAAACAAGGACAAAGCAUAUUUAGGCUGCAACAUGAACUUUACAAAUCCCUUUUUGAUCCAUGUACCAAGAGAAAUUUAGUUAAUUAGUUUUUAGAGUAAAGUCCAUCACCGGUCCCUAAACUUGUACCGCUGUGUCAUCCCGGUCCCUAAACUCGCAAAUCGAUCAUUCAGGUCCUUAAACUUGUUCGACUGUAUCAUCCCGGUCCCUAAACUUGCAGAUCACUCGUUUAGGUCCUCCAACUUGUUCAGUUGUGUCACCCCGGUCCCUAAACAGGACGGUCUAAAAACUUUAUACCAAAAAAUAAUUCAUAACUUUUUCAUGUGAACUCUAAUAAAGACAAACUUUAUAUCAAAAUUGUAGCCCUCGACGCGACCUACAACUUUGUAGUUGAAAAUUUUUUGAAUUAAAACUGUUUAGGGUCCCAAAAUAUUGUUGCAUGUUUAUAGAUUUUGUAAUUUUAAUUUUAAAAUUACAUUUUGGGACAAAAAAUGACUUAAAAUAAAAAAAUUAUCAACUACAAAGUUGUAGAUCGCGUCGAGGGCUACAAGUUUGAUAUAAAGUUUGUUUUCAUUAGAGUUCACAUGAAAAAGUUAUGAAUUAUUUUUAAAUAUAAAGUCUUUAGACCGUCCUAUUUGACCCAGAUGAUAUUCAAAUCCAAGUUUAGGGACUGGGGUGACACAACUGAACAAAUUGGAGGACCUAUACGAGUGAUCUACAAGUUUAGGGACCGGGAUGACACAGUCGAACAAGUUUGAGGACCUGAACGGUCGAUUUGCGAGUUUAGGGACCGGGAUGACACAACGAUACAAGUUUAGGGACCGGUGAUGGACUUUACUCUAGUUUUUAAUAUCCCCAACAAAGUGUCAUUAUUAUGCCACAUCUUUCAUGAGCUAUUCGUGUUUGUGUCCUCUUAUCCUGGUUCAGUGGAUGCUUAUGCCUUCUGGACUUGUUUGCAUUUGGAAUGAUUCAAAAGCCUUUAUUCCAUAGAUCACAACCCUAAUUGUUACUGACCAUGUUUUUAUAAGAAAAUGAGCCAUUCUGCUUCUGAUGACACUGGUUUCUGUGUAAUAGUGCCAUUGCCAUUGAUGCACAUAGUAACAUUUCAAGCUAUGCGCAUUGGAUGUGAACCACAACUCCUCAAUAGAAGCCUUAAAUUGUUCUCCCACUAGUUUUACCUAAUUAUAUGUGCUCUUGUUAUGCUUGUUCGUCAUUAAAUUAAGGACUACAGUUCAUUGUUUUAAUUUAUUAAAUGCAGGCACCAUAUACAAGGUUAUCCAUCCAUUCGCAUUUUCCGUAAAGGGAGUGAUCUUAAGUAAGUUCAAGUAAAUCUUACAGUCUUCCGGAUACUCUACUGAGAGUUAACCUGUGGCGCAAGACUUGUAUUAUUAUUAUUUUUUUGCUCAUGUUCCAGAAACAAACAAAUUGACAUUUGUGCAGGGAAAACCAGGGUCACCAUGAUCAUGAAUCAUACUACGGCGAUCGUGAUACUGAGAGUUUAGUAGCGGUAUGUAUAUUCUGUUACCCACUUAUUUUUCUUGAUGUACUGCAUGAUAUAUUCUUCACCCUAAGCUUUAGCUUACCUGUAAAAGGUAUUGUCCCCAUUUUCCUAGGGAGAACAAAAGGCUAACUAUCCUUUGCUUGUAAAUCACUGACUUUGUUCAUGGUCUUGUCAAAUUGUGGAUAAAAUUCCUGACAUUUUUUUGGGCCUCAGGCAAUGGAAACUUAUGUUGCAAACAUCCCAAAAGAUGCCCAUGUUCUAGCUUUGGAGGACAAAUCCAAUAAGACUGUUGAUCCUGCAAAACGCCCUGCUCCAUUGACCAGUGGAUGCAGAAUAGAAGGUUUUGUGCGGGUAAAAAAGGUAAAUGAACUUCUGAGGUGUAAUAGUUGUAGUGUUGAUGAUGAUCUCUAUCUGUGGUAUUUGAUUUCUGGUUCCUCUUUAUCAGGUCCCUGGGAGUGUUGUAAUCUCAGCUCGAUCUGGUUCCCACUCCUUUGAUCCAUCCCAGAUAAAUGUUUCCCACUAUGUAACACAGUUCUCUUUUGGCAAAAGGCUAUCGGCAAAGAUGUUUAAUGAACUGAAAAGACUAACUCCCUAUGUUGGUGGCCACCAUGAUAGAUUAGCUGGUCAAUCCUACAUUGUUAAGCAUGGUGAUGUCAAUGCCAACGUUACUGUAAGUCCCUAAAUUUUGCUUUGUUUUUGUUAUCAAGAUGAUUACAGCAGGCAUGCCUUCCAGCACUAAAUUUUCUGGUUUCUUAUGGAGUAACAUAGUUUUUGUUUUUUGUCAUUCUUAGAUUGAGCAUUACCUGCAAAUUGUGAAAACUGAGCUUGUUACACUGAGAUCAUCAAAGGAAUUGAAACUGGUUGAGGAGUAUGAAUACACAGCGCACAGCAGCUUGGUGCACAGCUUCUAUGUUCCUGUUGUGAAAUUCCAUUUUGAACCUUCUCCCAUGCAGGUUGGCAUCUCACCUUUUCUUCGUUUGGUUCAUAACUGAAAGAAAAACUAAUUCUUAUUUUAUCAUCACUUCCAAGGUCUUGGUAACUGAACUUCCAAAAUCCUUCUCCCAUUUCAUCACAAAUGUUUGUGCUAUCAUUGGAGGAGUUUUCACGGUGAGAGCACACACCCUUUUUUUAUCUUUUCCUUUUCUCUGAAUCCAUCAAGUGUACAUGGCUAAUGAAAUGACAUGCGAAUUCUAGGUUGCUGGAAUACUGGAUUCCAUCUUCCACAACACCUUGCGGCUGGUUAAGAAGGUCGAGCUUGGGAAGAACAUUUGAACAACAAGAUUAUUCUUCAGAAGCAGCCUCAAGCUUAGUGGUUGCACUAGUUUUAGUCAUUAUUUUGUUAUACCAGGGUAGGAAUUCUUAAUAUAUCAAGAUGUGAAAGAGGGUAGUGGGUUGGCAGAGGAGGAGAAGUUGGGGUCAUGAUAUAUAGUAAUAGUAGGUAGGGACCUCACUGUUUUGCUAAACGACUUCGUAAGAACAAUAAGACAGUGGAUCCUUGUUAACUAUACCCUACGUUAAUUCGUCCAGACUUGUGUUGUGUUACUCUGUUUACUGUUGUGAUGGCACCUGUCAUUACUCGUUACUCUGGAUUUGUCUUCCGUCUCAAAAUUCAUCUACGGUAACCAGUAUUUUUAAGUUCGCUUUUGUGGCGCGAUGUUACUGUCUGACAUCCUUUUUGUUCUAUGUUCUACAAACAAAGGGCUGGUUUAGAUGGCAAAAAUUUUUGUUUUGUGGUGUUACAUUAAAUAUACGGACACACAUUUGAAGGAUUAAACGUUGUCUAAUAACAAAACAAAUUACAUAUACGAAUUUAUUAAGCCUAAUUAAUUCGUCAUUAGCAAAUGUUUACUGUAACACCACAUUGUUAAAUCAUAGCGCAAUUAGACUUAAAAGAUUCGUCUCGCAAUUUACAUGCAAUCUGUUCAAUUGGUUUUUUUUGUUUACAUUUAAUACUUCAUGUAUGUGUCUAAACAUUCGAUGUGAUGGGUGAAAAGUUUUUCUUUUGGGAACUAAACAUGGCAAAACAAGCAAGUGCAAUACGCUGAAUUCUGGUAAUUGUUUCCCAGAUAUACAAGUACUGUACUCUGAAUCUAUUGAAUGUCAGCUCAAAAUUAUUCUUGGUAAGUAUUGCUUUGCUUUAAUGCUUGUGCCCCCAGUGGUAUACUGCUGUUUUUUCAAAUUGGAUCCAUGCCACUGCAGCCAAUUCAGAAGCAAAAGGCAAAUUACACCAUAAUGCGAUCAAUACCGUGCAUGGCGGUUUAUAUAUACAUACACACACACAUAAUCCGUGCUGUUGAUCGCAGUUGGGUAAAACGCCCUUGCUUACAAGCCAUUCUCCCAAGAUAUGCACACGAAUUUCCAAACAACCAAAUUGAAAACCCAGAAUCAAGUAAGCUCGAACGUUGCCCAGGACAUGCAAACAAAAACCAGACGAAAUAUAAACUCAAACCAUAAUCAUCAUCCUUCCCCCCCCCCCCCCCCCACACACACACACACUGACCAGCACAAGAAAACGUACAUAUAUACAUCAAGAUAAACAAAAUUCGAUCGAUCACGAGUUCUUCGAGCUGAUCAGCAAGAUCAUCAUCAUCAGCUAGAGCUAGCUAAAGUAGCUUAAUUAGCAUCGAUCGAUGACGGAGGGGAAGAAGACGAAGACGAAGCCGCACAGGAGGGCGUGCUGCCUGCUGCUCGCCGCCGUCGCCGUCCUCGGCGCGCUGGUGCUGGCGCUCUACCUCGUCUACCGCCCCCGUCCGCCGCGCGUGGUGGCCACGCCGGUGGACGUGACGAUCGAGCUCUUCAGCCUCGUGCCGCCGAAGCUGAAGGCCGCCGUCGGCGUGCACGUGGUGGUGACCAACCCGAGCAACUCGGCGUACCGGUACGGCGAGUCGCUGGCGUCGGUGACGUACCACGGCGAGCGCGUGGGCGCGUCGGUGGUGCCCCGCGGCGAGGUGGAGGCGAGGUCGACGCGGCUGAUCGAGCCGGCGACGGCGGUGGACGUGGUGCGCGUCGCCGAGAGCCCGCACUUCGCGCACGACGCGGCCGCCGGCGUGCUGCCGUUCGUGGCGGUGACCACCGUGGAGGGGAAGGCGCUGGUGCUCCGGUCGUUCGAGGUGAGCGUGUCCGUGGAGGUGGUGUGCUUCGUGCAGAUGUACGUGUUCCACGGCGAGAGCACCUCGCGCUGCGUCUCCACCGUCCGCACGGCCACGGAAACCGUCUCGUCGGAGCCAUCCGGCGCCCGUGGCGCACGUAACUCUGUUCCUAGCUAUGACUAGCUAAACUACACACGUACUACGUAGUAUUACACUACACUACACAUGUCACAAACUUUAUUAUUUAUUGGAGUACUUUUUACAGUGUUUCAUUUUGUAAUUUUUGAGUGUAUAUAUAUACAUAUAUGCAUUCCUUCAGUUCUCAUUUACUUUCUUCGUCCUAAAAUAUAAUACGAGAAUGAUACAGUCUGUUCAGAUUCAUACUAUCUACUUUCUCCGUCAUAUAAAAGACCAACCUGGUAUCGAAUGUGACACAUUCUAGUACUACGAAUCCGGACAUAUAUCUGUCUAGAUUCAUAGUACUAUAAUAUGUCACAUCCAGUACUAGAUUCGUUUUUUUAUGGGACAUGGAGUUAGUUUUAAAUCUCGUACCAUGUUCUUAUAUUCUAGAAUGGAGGGAGUAGUUAACAAUUUUAAUUUUGGCUAUAAUUAAAUAUAUAAGUUUUAAAUUAUAACAUUUUGAUGAGCCAAAUUUAAACGCAUCGGUGACACCGACGCGAACAGCUUCUGCUGUGUCCAUCAGUGUUCUUGCUUCUAGAGGUUGAGAUUCAGAGGCUGAGCUUUCGUUCGACAUAACAAGGCAACAUAAUAUAAUCUCGUCGGAUUACAAUUAAACUGAGCUAGCUAGAGCGUAGUGACCAAGAGUACAAAAAGGAUACCCAACUAAAUGAUGAAUUUUUUGCAUCACGUCGUGUCAGGACUCGAGUUUAAUUUUAUAAUUUCUUGCUUAAUUCUGAACUUGUCUUACUGUCCAAACUCUGAAAAAGACUUUUUCUUCGAUUGCACACGGAACGAUCGAUCGAUAGAGUAAACAAAGGGUAAAACGGACGAAACAAUGACGACGACGGCAAAAGGCACAAUGCGUUACGUCGUUGUCGAGUGUCGACACAGUUCAGACUGUGAGCCAAGAGUUGAAUAAACAUGCGGCAGUGUAGCACUCUUCAAUUUUGAGACAGGCGGCUGUGCUAUGAUGUUGUUUUGGGCCCUUAUAUUGGUGCUGUUUACUAUCAUAAAUUCCUUCCUUAAUUGCAUAAUGAGCCGAUAUCACAAAUUCAUAAACUAAAUUAUCUCAAAAAAAUUCAUUAACUAAAUUAACCUUAAAAAAUAUUGUUACCAAACUCCAGUUUCCCCAUGUACUCGUAUGUUACCUUCUUGGACCUAGAGGCAUGACAGAAAUGACCUUAACUUUCAUAAAAGAACAAAUCAGUAAGCCCUCUUAUUCCAAAAAAAAAAUGGUGAACAAAUCAGACACAAAUUAAAUCAGAUGUGUGGCUGAAAAAAGAACAAGGAAAUAUAUAUAGCAAAUCAGAUAUCAUAAGAAGAUAUUGCCCCUCACAAUCUCCACAGAAUCCUUCCAUCAGCUCACAAAUCUCCAAAAUUAAUUCCAAAACGGACACCGACGAUAAGAAAACUAAAUAAAUUAGCAGGCAAAUUAAUUAUAAACAUGUACAAAGCCCCAAAUUAACAGAAAGGAAAAUAACAAAAACCAGCUGAAAUUCCAAUGCAGCUUCCCUUCUUUACAUAUGGCAACCCUUCUCUCCCCUUCUUCCAUGCAUAUUAAUCCCCCAAAAAAAAUCAAGAAAAAAUAAUUAGCACGUCAAUUAAUCGCCAAAUUCGCCGCCGGGGGACAUGGCCGCCAGGAGGAAGCCCGCGCUGAUCUGCUGCGGCGCGGCGCUCGCCGCCGCCGUCGUCCUCGCCGCCGUCUUCACCGCGCUCUACUUCACCGUGCUCCGGCCGCGGCCGCCGCGGGUGACGGCGACGGUCGUCGGCACGCGCGUCUCCGCCUUCGCCCUCAUCCCGUCGCCGGCGCUGAACCUGACCUUCGACGUGGCCGUGGCGGCGUACAACCCGAACCGCGCGGCGUUCGAGUAUGGCGAGGUGGUGACGGUGGUGCGGUACCACGGCGACGCGGUGGGGGAGGCGGUGGUGCCGCGCGGGGAGGUCGGGGCGCGGGCGUCGGCGGAGGUGAGGGCGGCGGUGGAGGUGGACGCCGUGGAGGUGUUCUCGUCGCCGUACUUCCCCCUGGAGGGGAUCGCCGGGGCGCUGCCGUUCGAGACGGCGACGACGGUGGCGGGGAAGGCGGUGGUGCUGGGCGUGCUCAAGAUCAGGGCGAGCUCCGUGGUGACGUGCGGCGUCACGGUGUUCCCGCUCAGGAAGGAGACCACGUCGCCCCAGUGCACCUCCACCGUCCACGUGGGCUGAUCGAUCGAUCGCGGCCGUCCGUACUUCGUGCGAUGGCCUUUGUUCAAUUGUACAAAAGUACGCAAGUUAAAUUAAGCCCCUCUUUAGGAAUUACAGUACACGCGCUUGUUUUUUUCAAGUAUACUGCUCUUGCUUUGAGCAAUUUCUUUUAAUGGAUAGUCAGAUUGGACUGCGUUAUAUUUGAUACUACUUCUGUUUCAGUCGCGCGCACGCAUAUAUAUAUAUAUAUAUAUAUAUAUAUAUAUAUAUAUAUAGAGUAAAUUUGUUUGGUGCUCCAUGGUGACCGGGCACCAUUGUUGAAAUUGAGUAUAUACCCAAUUCAAAUGAGUAUGAAACUUUUUCAAUUACUUAGGUAUUAACAUUAACUACUUUACUAACUAGUUUAAAGCAAGUUUGAACUGAAUUUGAACUUGUUUUUGUUAGAUUUUGAUUCUAGGUAUAUAGCAUCCAUACAUAUAAUUAGUUAGGUAUGUAAUCAUGGAUUGUGAAAUAAAGUUAAAUUUGAGUUGUUUUGUUGAUAAGUAUAGGUAUGAAUCAAAUUAUUAUAACUAGGUAUAUACUCACAAUUUGAAAAUUUUAAAAAAUUUGAGUGAUUUUGUGCAUUAGAUACCAUGGUGCCCGGGCACCAUGGUGCCCCAUAUGAGUGUCAUAUAUAUAUAUUCAUAUGGGACUCUAUGGCGUCCGAGCUCCAAGGUAUAAAACACACAAAUUCUCUUAAAUUUUUAAAAAUUUACAAAUUGUAAGUAGAUAUCUAGGUAUAUGAAUUUGAUUCAUACAAAUAACUAACAAUAAAAUAACUCAAACUCAACUUUAUUUCACAAUUCAUUAUUACAUACCUAACGAAUUAUAUGUUUGGAUAUUAUAUACCUAGAACCAAAAUCUAACCAAAAAAAAGUUCAAACUUGUUAGUAAAGAAGUUAAUGUUUAUAUAUAGGCAAUGCUAAAAAAUAUUAUAAUAUAAAACGGAGAAAGUAGAAGGCUAGGAGGGAGUUUAAAUACAUAGCCAAAAGCUUAUAAUUAAUACAAUGUAUGAUCCUGACUACAAACAAAUUUGUACGUCAGCCCUCCCUGCUGCAAUAUUCUCUCGAUGCGUUCUGCGCUGCCUAGACCCUAAGCAUGCCCAACAGCUUACCAAUAAUUUAUCUCUAAAAUUUGAUUUUUAGGUUUUUUAAACUGAAAAUAGAAUGUGAUAGAACUCCUUCCUCCAAAAGAAGGCCUAAAUUCAAUUUCAAAAAACUAAAAGUGUGCCUUCUGUUAAACUAGCAACUAAAUUUUCCCGUUUUCCUCCCAUCAUCGUGCGAUCACGGAAUACCAUCGCGAUAUCCUCCUGGCGCCUUCGCCGCACCUUCCCCUCCUGGCGCACCUCCCGCCCCGACGUCGCCCCAGUCUCCCUGCCUCGACGCCGAUCUCCCUCCUCAACGCCAAUCUACUUAUAUGCAACAACAUUCCAGCUGCGUAUAUGCCAGGAGCAGCAGCAGCAGCACGAAUUCCUGCAUCAUAUCAGCAGCAGCAGCAGGAGCAUUCACCACCAGCAGCAGCAUCCAUCAUCACACAGCAGCAGCAGCAUUCACCACCACCAGCAGCAGCAACAGCAGCAUCCAUCACACAGCAGCAACAAGAGCUAUUUAGGCAGAAAUUUCAGCAGCAGCAGCAUUCACCAGUACAAGCAGCAACAGCAGCUAUUUAAGCAGCAAAAGUACGACCACCCUCAUUUAUCAAGUUUGUAAAAUACCCACUUCCAUCCAUUUUCCCUGUUCAUGCCAAAUAAAUGAUUGAAUGAAAGACAGGCUUGAAACCAUUAUAUUUGCUUGCAGCACAUAAACAACAAGCUUCUCUACACAACCAAGGCAGUGUACAGCAAUGAAAUUUAGUUCAUAUAUGUCUCAUUUCUUCAAAAUGGAUGCAAUGUAUCUAGAUUAACACUGGACAAAGUAAAUAACUGCUACAUAUAUAUAGGAGGAAUUAGCACUGAUAGGAGUGACCGCCCCGGUGGUGCGCUCCUCCGGCCGCGCCACGCCGCGCCGACUCGGCGACGUCGAACAGCAUCUAGGAGGCCUGGACGGGCGUGGCGGGGAUCUUGGGGGUGGGGAUGCGCUCCACGUCGCGGAGGAAGAGGCCGCCGCCGCCGCCGCCGUUGAGGACGAUGUCAUUGGCGCCGCUGCCGCCGAGGAAGAGGCCGCCGCCGCCAUGGAAGAGCCUGUUGCUGAUGGCGCUGUGUAAUGUCCCACCUCUUCUAGACCGGGCCCGCUUACAUCCGGUAGCUUUCAUAGGUCAUAAACUGCCCUCACAAACCAACACAAGUCUUUUUUGCACACUUUGUCCUCAUUCAUGCGUAAUCGGGAAGAAUUUCCCGAUCGGUCACCCGUCCCAAAAUUGCUCCAAGCUAAGCACGUUUUGUCCUCACUCAUGCGCAAUCGAGAAGAAUUUCCCAAUCGGUCACCCAUCCCGAAAUUUCUCCAAGCUAAGCACGCUUGGCCUCAGAGUUCUUUCGAUAUCGGCUUCCGAAAAAAGAAGUUGCAACUUGUUGAUAUGAGUAUUCUAUUAAUCCUAUUAACCCCUGGGCCGGGAUGUUACACCCUCACCCCGUUAAGAGAGAUCGACGCCCCCGUCGAUCAACCCCAGGCGUCCCCUCUUGGCCACGUCCGUGUGUCCAGUGCUAGCGCAUGUGCCAUACUGUGUGACCACUCCGGGUCCACACUAGCCAUGCGCACCAUACCUGCGCAACUGCGACACACGCGCCUGUGAAACCGCUUAGGUUGGCUCUGAUACCAUUUUGUAACGUCCCGCCUCUUCCAGGCCGGGGCCGGGCCCGCUUAGGUCAGCUCUGAUACCAUUUUGUAACGUCCUGCCUCUCCCAGGCCGGGGCCGGGCCCGCUUACAUCCGGUAUAGGUCAUAGACUUCUCUCACAAACCAACACAGGUCUUUUCUGCACACUUUGUCCUCACUCAUGCGCAAUCGGGAAGAAUUUCCCGAUCGGUCAUCCAUCCCGAAAUUGCUCUAAGCUAAGCACGCUUAACCUCAGAGUUCUUUCGAGAUCGGCUUCCGAAAAAAGAAGUUGCAACUUGUUGAUAUGAGUAUUCUAUUAAUUCUAUUAAGCCCUGGGCCGGAAUGUUACACGCUGCCACGGAGGAACAAGGUCGCGAGGAGGAGGAAGAGGGCGAGAACAUUUUCGCCGUGCGCGCGCGAGAUGGAGAGAUGAGCGCGAUUGGGAAUAAAAUUCGCUCCCCAGAAGUGAGGUACGAUAUAUCCAGAGUUGAGAACCAGAUCUAUUGGGAGAUAGGAUAGGAAUUCGGUUGGAGACGAUUUUUAACCAAAAUUUCCUAAAUCUGAGGAUAGGGAAUCAAGAAAGGAAGCUGUUGGGCAUGCUCCUACCACCACAUUCCUCAUGGAUAAGGUUGAUAAUUUGAUGGGACGUCGCCUCUUAAAAAUGUAAGAAGAUGUCGUAUUGUCGUCUCUUUGAAAUGGAAGAAGCUUACAUGUGGAUUUUUUUUUUCAACAAUGAAAUUUAUAUCUCCGCUUUGCUGAAAUUAAUUGAAUUAUAUAAGUUAUGUGAAAUUCCUGUGUAAAAGGUUUGUGUGAACGAGUAUAAAGUAUAUGACGUAUUUUGAUUUUUGAAGGAUUCCGCUUGCUUGUUUUUAUCCUUUUUGCGAGAACCGUCUGAAAAAAUUUCAAGCUAUAACCCGUAUUGUCAAAAGUCGAAACAAUCGAGUAACAUUCUGAAUUCGUGCAAGAACCUUUGAAAGUGAUUAACAUGAUGGUCGGUGCAUAUAUCGUCUUUUUUAACUUUGUUUUUUUUUUGUGAUCGAUUAUGCAUCCUUGUUAUAUUAUGACUUGCUUUGCCUUUCAUAAACUUGGUCAAUGAAUAAGAUAUAUUUCUUUUCUGUUGGAGCCACGUCUAGAUUAUCAGUAUAUUCUGAUACUAACAAUGAACACCACACUACAAUCAAAGUAGCGAAGUGAGCGCAAAUUAACUGGUAAGGGUUUUUUUUAAUCAACCCACUCGAUUCUUAGAUUCAAUAUGGGUGCUCGCACGUAUGACCAAUUAACUUUUUUUUUAUAAACGAUGCAUUCAUUGUCAACAAGUCGUUCUCCCGGUAUUUCCGAUAUGUACUUGGAAUGGAAGUAAGAAAAUUGGAUACACACUAGUAGAAAACAUUGAUUUGAUUUUCCUGAAAGAUACAUCUAUUAUUAUAUACUAAAAAUCCAUUAAACUUCCUAUAAAUGCUUUUAAAUUGCCAAAUGUCACCCUAUAAACGCUCUCAACAUGCCAAGUGGCACUCUAAUAAAUAAAUAGAAAUCCAACCAUCUAUUUUUACUUAAAUUGGUGGACCCACUGUUUUGUACGGUUAGAUCUAUUUUGUAAAAAAAACAUCCGAAACCAACAUAUACGGUACCAACGUACAAACGUACGUAUCUACUGUACGUGUACUUCCCUUCUAUCUUUCCUUUGUUAUUUUCUAUUUCAUGAGAAACUAAAAUCAAAAUUAUUCUUAUAGGCAAAAAAAAAAUACAAUUAAACCAACUACUAGGUCUAGCAGCUCUCCCUCUGUCAUAUUAAAUAUCUUACAAACGCUUCUUAAUCGCUACAUGGUGUUAUUAAAUUAGAGAAAGUAUUAAAAAAUCUUAAAAAAUACAAAGCAGCCGAAAUUCAAUUUGUACUUAAAUUGAUGGAUUUAGGAUGUUAGAUUUUUUUAAUAAAAAAUCCCAAACCUCUCUCCCUCCCCACCCCCGUGCAGUGUUAAAAACCAUUACAUAUUUUAUAAAUACCUUUAAGCUGCUUUUUGACAUGCUUAAAUUAAAUAAAAUCUUAGAAAUUUUAGAAAAAAAAUAUUAUAUACUAAAAGUUUAUUAUCCUACAAAUACACUUAAGACGCCAAGUGGCACCUUAUAAACGCUUAUAAGUUGUCAAGUGGCACUCUAAUCUGACCAUCGAUUUUUAUUUAAAUUGGUGAUCCAUUAUUUUAUUUAGAAGGUUAGAUCUUUUUUUUUUCUUAAAAAAGCACACAUCCGGAACCUCCCCAUCGCGUAGGUACCGACAAGCUAUCUUCAUGACAAAUUAAAAUCAAAAUUAUUUUUACAUUAAGAAAACCACAGAUAGAGCUCCACCUAUUAGGUCUAGCAGCUCUCGCUUUGUAACUUUAAACAUACUACGAAUGCUUCUAAGCUGCUACAUGGUACUACUAAAUUAAAGAAAAAUACUAAAAAAUCUUAAAAACACACAAAGCAUUCGGUAUCGAUUUGUUAAUUUUCUUAAUAAGAAAAUAAUCCAAACCUCCCUCCCUCCCUCCCUCUCACUCCCAUGCGGUGUUAAAAUCCAUUGAACAUCUUAUAAAUGCUUCUAAGCUGCUAUAUGACAUUCUUAAAUUAAAGAAAAAUCUUAGAAAUUUUGGGAAAAAAAACUUCUAACCAUCGGAUUUGACAUAAAUCGAUGGACACAUAUUUUGAAUGGAUUGACACAUUAUUUUAGGUCAUUAGAUAUAUAUUUUUUAAAAAAACACCCUAAACCUCCUUCCCUCACUCCUUUGCGGCAUGCGGUGUUAAAAGUUCAUUACACAUCUUACAUAUGCUCUUAAAAAAACAAAACAUCCAACUAUCAGUUUCAAUAUAAACAUAUGACACAUUAUUUUGGGUUGUUAGAUUAAUCAUUUAGAAAAACAUCCCAAACCUCCCUCCCUCCCUACUUGUGUACAGCGUGCGCCAUUCUUCUCUCUGUUUUUAUCUCCUUGACAAUUAAAAUUAUCCAUAUGGGCAAAAAAAAAGCACAAAUGGAUCUCCAUCUAUUACUUAUAUCCCGUUAUGCAUCUAACGACUUUGUAUCAACUUAAUUAAUUUCUCUUAACAUGCAUAUGAGGGCUACAUACCUGUACAAAUUAAUCUUGAUACUUUUAAAAUGAUCUUUUUAGGAGAUAAAUAAAUACUUUUAAGAAAGACGAUUAUAGUGUCCGAAUUACACAUAUGAUCUAUGAAGUCACUAAUUAUAGCAUGUAUUCAUCUAGCAAUAUAGACAACAGGUUAGAAAGUGUGGUUGGUUGAACAUCAUAUUGAUAAUCAUGUGGGUUGUACCUAGGAAUCUUAACAGUAGAAUAACCUUGCUGUGGCCAUAGCAAUAAAUCAAGUCAGUUCCUUAUAGGAAUUAAAGACCAUGUCCAUUUUUUUAUUUUUUUGUUAAACUUGCUACAGUACAUUGUAAAGUUUUAACGUAGAACAAUCUAGAAACAUGUAUUUGUUAUAAGACAAUCCACUUUAGUGAUGAUUAGCUAAAUAUACUAUGUCUAUUACUUCAAUAUUUCAUGAGAAAAAAUUUAGAAUGUAUGCCUUUACCACAUGACAAGUUAUAUGCACUAAUAUUUUUGUCCCAAAUUGCAAAGAUCAAGUCAUUUCAAGGAUGAUUCAUAGAAGUAUCCAAAAGAAAAAAAAUAAAAAUGGAUAUAAAAUAAAUUGAAAAUUGCACAAAUGUUGCUGGAUUUAAAACCCAUAUUUAGUAAAAAAAAAUUAAACAUUUUACAAGGAUGGUUAGAAUGAAAAUAUAUAUAAUUUUAAAAUGCAAUCAAACAAAAAAGAUAUUAUUGGAUUUCUUUUGGGGUUGUAUGAUAUCCUUCUGACGAGUUAAAAUACCCUAAAUUUUCUCAUAUGAACCACCUCUAAUGAUUCGACACGAUAUUUUCUCAUCAAUUCAAAACCGCAUGAUCUCAAGUAAUUUUAUUUUAGAAUUUAUAUAUUGCAAGGAUAAUUAAAAAUAGAAUAACCAGUGUCCACAGCACACAAAAUAAGUUUAAUUUAAUUUAGAACAUAAUACAAGAUAUUUUAAUAAAAAUCCACCCGCACAAAAAAUAUCCGCAAUAAAAUUUCACUUACAUUAUAUUACAUUAUAUAAGAUGCGCGGGCACCUUUCUAGUUUGCUUUUAAUGAUUGAAGCCACCUAAAUUUUUGGCUAAAUACUUUUUGAAAAAUGAAUUCACAUAAAUAUUAUUUCAUCCGUCUCAAAAUAUAACAACUUACGAAUUUAGAUAAAAAUAUAUCUACAAGCAUAGCUAGAAAUUACGAUAUUUUGGGACAUGGUAGUAAUAAUUUGCAAAACAUAGGUUUGUAUUCAAAGUUUUACAAAUUCGAAGGGAACCAAAAUGUGAUCCCGGUAGGAUCAGCGAUAAGUAUUGGAAAUGUUUAUAAACUGUCUAUCGCUCAAAUUCGUCGAAUUCUAGCAAAUCUUACUGAAUUCUACCAAUUCAAGCCGGCUCGCAUAUAUAGGUAUAUAACCACAAAUUUUGACCUGUUAUCGUCGCAUUUGCUAACCCUGGCUGGAGUUUCAGUAACGCCCUUCUCUCAUCACAAGAUGCGUAGAGUGACAACGUGAACAUUAGUAAAUUAUCAAGAAAGUCCCACAUUUCAUUUGCAUCGCUAGCAUGGCGACAAGCAUCAAGGAGAACGCGGCGCCGGAGUCAAACCGGGCACCCAAGACGCGGAACCGGAACGACUAAUGCGCGAACGUUCGUGAAUAAUCACACGCGCGAACGUUCCACUUUCUCUUUCAAUGAUAGCGUUCCAUUUCCUGUCUUGGUUUGAUUCCGAAAAGUCUAACAAGCGAACCUGCUUUGCUAGGACGGAAGACAACCAACUAGGACGGUGUAAUUUGCCUUUUGCUAUAUACUAUAUAUCUAUCUAUCUAGAUUCAUUAGCAUCAAUAUUAAUAUGAAAAAUGCUAGAAUAACUUAUAUUGUGAAACGGAUGGAGUAGGACGGAAGCCAUAUUUACUAAACCUGGCGCAAAUUUAAACAAAAACACUCCUUUCGUUUCAUAUUUAAGUCGGUUUGACUUUUUUUCUAGUCAAACUUUCUUGUUUGACCAAGUUUGAAAAAAAAUAGCAGCAUCUAUAACACUAGUUAGUUUCAUUAAGUGUAGCAUUGAAUAUAUUUUGGUAAUAUGUUUGUUUUGUAUUAGUAAUACAACGAUACUUUUCUAUAAACUUGCUCAAACUAAAAGAAACAUUUGACUAAAAAAUCAAAGCUACUUAUAAUACGAAACAGAUGGAGUAAGCCAGUGCAAACCGCAUUUUACUCGUUUUUUCAAUUAUAAAAAAAAAGCAAUUUACUCUUUUUUCAAUUAUACCAAAAAAAUACACACAUACCAACACUCCGCCACCAUCACAUAUACCACCACACUGACACCCAACCAUUUGUUAUAGAGCUGAUGGCAUGACAAUGACAAACACAAUUCAACCAUUCCAGCCUUCCAGGUUGGAAGUUGUUCGAGAUACACGAAGUUUGAUCACUCUUAUGAUAAAUAAAUAAUGUAAACGAAGUGAGUGUAGCUUAACUGGUUAGGUUCUUUGUAAUGGAACCAGCCUACCCGAGUUCAAAUUUUAGAUUUGACACGGGUGCUCGCAGAGUGUUUGUAUUUAUUGUUAAUUAUUCUUUCAACGGUAGGCGAACGAGCCAUUUAUGAUGGAGCUCGAUCAUGUAUUCGUUCCUCCUUCAAGUAAAAAUGGUUAAUCCAGAUAACCUCAAUAUAAAUAUAUAACAUUUAUGGGUAUUUGGUUGAGCACUAAAUUUAAAAUUAAUCUAGAGUUGUGAAGCUGGUAAAAAAUAGCUCUAACAUUUUUAUGUAUUUUCUAGAACAGAUUUACCUGCUUCACUCUCAAAAGAAAAAAAAAAGAAUUAAGCAUUUGGGUCGACUCAUGAAAAACUAGGAGGUCUCUGUCCAACUGGUCAGGCACUUAGGCCUUAUGCUGUGUCUAACCUCCUAUGCAGGUAAACAGAGUAACUUAUAACGUAAAACAGAGUAACUUAUAACGUAUGAUUAAUUAAAUACAUUUUUAAUAAUCAAUAUUAUUUUAUUAAAGCAACUUUCAUAUAAACUUUUUUAUAAGAAAACAGUAGUUUGUCCAGCGUGCCUACGAAAAAGUGGGGUAGGAGCUAGGAAAGCUAACUGCCGAAUGAAGCUUUUUUUUUUUUUUGACGUGGGCCGAAUGAAGCCUUAAGUGGGUGGCACAUCAAUCUAUGGUAGCUAGAUAUCCAAUUGCUCCACAGUAAUCUUAGCGUGUGACUAAUUACUGACUACGAGCACCUCCAACUUUACCUGAUCGAUCGGUUCACGGAAGAAUUUUAGGUCCAGAUCGACUCCAAACUCCAAACAAGAAUCUCCACCAAAACAAAUAGCCCCCUCGACGAGAUACACCGAUGCCGACCUGACACGACAACGAGAGGGGAACAAGUUUUAUCUGUCGACUCGACCCCAUGUCAAAAGUAAUACUCGUGAUCGUAUAUAAUGAAGAUAAAGAUAAAAUUCAAACACGUAAAAAACAUUAGCACAUGAUUAUUUAACUUUAAUUAUUAUGGAUUUAAAACAUAAAUUUAUUUAUAUUUUGAAAAUAAUUCCUAUGUAGAAAAUUUUGGCAAGAAAAAUAUGCUAAUAGAAAUUAAGAUAAAAAUCUUUAUUAGAAAAAGAAUACCAACAUAAUGCAGGAUCAUCAUGUGACGGGAUGACGGCAACGAUGUCUCGUUGGUCAAGUCCAUCAAAUUCCGGGUUUUCCAUUACGAAAUUCGUAAAGGUCAAGAUGCCAGGUUUUCUAAAUGUGAUUGGGCCGUUCGAUCGUCGCCUGGGACGACACUCUUGCUUGGUACUCCAGUAGUUAGGCCACGCUUUUCCAGCACAAAGCCUAAGCUAGUGAACAACCCAAAUGGCCGACAGGUAGAACAGACACGAUAGCGUAGCAUUAUAUCACGGUAGUAGCUGGCAUUAGCAGCUAGGUACUCCUGCUGUUAGUGACGACUGCCUACACCGAUUCGUCUUACGCAUUACCCAUCACAUCAUCACCCCCUGAUCAUGAAAGCUUCCAUUUCAUGCAUGCGGAUCUUAAAAAUAAUACUCCACUCUUUUUAUUAAGAUAGAAAUAUGCUAUUGCUUCGUACCUGGCCAGGCCCAUAUAAUUAGAGAUUAGUUAGGUGUGUUACAAAUAAAGUACAGGCUAGAUCCAUAUAAUUGGAGAAUAAGAAUAGAAGGAAUAAAGUACUGGAUUCUAUGAUGGUUACAUACACACAAAGGAACGAAUCACCCCUUGUGCGUAUGGUGGAAACUGGAAAGGGGAUAGAUGGAGGGAGGACUUGCGAUUUUAAAUUGGUAGAGAUAUAUGAUGUCGUUUACUUUUCAAAAAGCCACCUCGUUUGCUUUCAAACCCUGGUAAUUCUCACAUUAAUCGAAAAAAAAGAGAGUCCAAUUAGAAUUUAUAAUAUCUCAAAUUGGGAUUUUAAAAAUAUAGGGGAAAAGUCAAAAAUCGAAAAAGAAGAAUAUGAGCAUAAAUACAAUUUUAAAAAUAAUAUAUUUUUUUUAAAAAAAAAGAAAAAAAAAGUCAACGUAGAAAUACAAUUUAAUAUGAAAUUCAUAUUAGAAAGAGUCCCCAUUUGAAUACUUUUUUAAAAAAUAAAAAUAAAAGAAGACUCCAUAUAGAACACAAUAUGGAUUAACAAAAAAUGUAGUAGAAAAUAAUAAAAAGAAGCAACUUGAUUGAAAUAAAAAUUGCAAAAUAAAAUAAAAUUCAAUAAAUCUAGGAGUAAAAAAAAGAACAUGUGUCGAUGCAAAAUAUAAAAUAACAAGAGUCCAUGUCUAAAUACAACUUAUAAAUGCCAAAAGCACAAUACGUGCAAGACUACUAGAGUGAUAUUAAUUUUGGACUUAAAAAGCUCGAGUAUAAUUGAUUUUUGAUGAAAAAUCCAGACUAAAUCUCUAAAAUGCUAAAAUUCGGAACGAAAAAUUAGUGAAUCAGGAAAAAAAGUAAAAGUAUCUGUUUUAUUCUAUAAGAUUUAAAUUAGAAUUGAUCUAUUUUAGACGAUACAAUGAAGCUUCCUAAAUUGUGCUACCCAUCCGAACUAAUAACUAUAGUGAAGAGGAGUAAUUUGUAAUCAUGUAAAAUAUCUCAUCAAUAAGCGCGGACAAUAAGUGACAUUUUCUUAUUUGAAUGAGUUAUAAACUAUCACAAAUAUAGCCUAGUGAUUGCAGUGACCUGAGUAGCACCUAAGGUCCUGAGUUCAAAUCUCCAUAGGAGCGAAUUUCAGAUUGGGUUAUUUGGGGGCUAAGUUCCUAAUUAAAAAAAGGCUGCAUAUAUCCGAUUGGGUACAGAGGCCGAGUAAAAAAUACCCUUCUCUAAAAAAAAUAAAAAAAAUCACAAAUAUGCAAUAUCCAUAUUUGGUAAGGGAAAGAAUGCCAUCGGAGAUGAUGAGAAAAUGCCAAUAUUAGUCUGAAGAUAGAGAAACAUAUGUACCACAAAUAUUUUAUAUCUUUGAUCUAUUAUAUACUCUCUGUUUUUUAAUAUAUGAGACCGUUGACUUUUUGAGAUAUGUUUGACCAUUCGUCUUAUUAAAAAAAUGUUUAAUUAUUAUUUAUUUUAUUGUGACUUGAUUUAUCAUAGAAUGCUCUGUCGACGUUUGAUGUCUCGACUACGGAAUUUGCAUGGCAUGGGGAUCGUUGGUACUAGGAUAUACGUGAGACUGAGGUAAAAGAGAUGGAGACAGGGAUUUUUAUACAGGUUCAGGCCCCUGAAUUGUCAGGUAAUAACCCUACAUCCUGUUGGCCGAAGCCGGUAUUGCUCUUAUUCAUAAUAAUCACACCAGUACAAUAUUUGGGGUAGCCUAUCUAACUGUUGUCGACAUGGCGGUCUGAAGAUCUGACUCGUAGUCGACAACAGGGUAGCCUUCCUACUCGAAUCCGUGCCCGGCGAGAUCAGAGAUAGCGCUUUCAUCUCUCCUGACAGUAUCCGGAGACACCGUAGGGUACUAGCCAUGCUUAUCCCUGAAGUCGAUAUCCGGCGGCGUGUCUUGGUGUAUGUAGGCUUCUAUGUUGUGGCUUCUAUGUUGAUUGUGUUGGGUGUUGAUCCCCUCCCCUCUCCUCCUAGGGGGGCUUGUAUUUAUACCCAUAGGUGUCCCCUUGUCCAAGUAGAAUUAGGGAAACCAAUAUGGAUACAAUUCGAGUAGUCCUUGUCGUUUCCAUGUAGAACUCUGGUUGUCUUUCCUUAUCCGGAACUCAUCCUAUAUCCGAAGGUUGCUUCCGUAUAGGACAUGGUAUGUAGUGGGUCCUGCCGAGAUUUAGUCAACUACUAUUAGGUAUGUGGUAUCCAUAACCCUGACAUGCUCUUUAAGUAUGGCUUAAAUAUUUUUAUAUUUGUACAAAAAUUUUGAAUAAGACGAAUGGUCAAACAUUUGUCAAAAGGUCACUGUCCUCAUAUAUAAAAACAGAGGUAGUAUAUUGUUAAAUAAAUACUAAAAGGAGCCAUCAUGUUUGCUUUAUGUAGAAAUAAUUAUCAUCUUAAUAGGAAUAUUAGAUGCAUAAACUUUGAUCAAAUUAGGCUAGAAUUCAAAAUUAUAUUGCCAUUUUCAAUUUUUUGUUUCUCAAUAAAGUAUGAAAUUAUGUCCACUAUUUUUUGGAACACUAAACCAUACCUAUUAUUGCACGGAAAACUUUUGUAAUAAUACAGGCCGCGUAAUUUGCACAUGGCAAUGCUAGUUUUAAAUAAGAUAAAUAAGCAACUUAUGUUAAAACCUUAAUCGUGUCUACAUCUAUACUACUUUAAACAAAGUCGUCCUCGAAUUUCACACCCUUUUCCAAGUUGUCCGCUUCUUCGUGCAUGUUUUUUUUUCUUAUAAUUCACCCACCCGGCCAAUCCCCGAUCAUAUGUGGGCCUGGCCCAUUGAUAAGCACACUCAUCUAGCCAACUUUGGUCCGUUGCAAAGCACUGGAUUUUUCACAUUUUAGUCCUUUUAAAAAACUUAUUUCGUAAAUAGACCCCUGAAAAAACUUAUCCCAGAAAUGGUCCUUUUUUGGGCGCCAGAGUGGCUGGCGCCGUCAUCCAACGGGACGGCGCCAGAGAGGCUGGCGCCGUCCUCCUGCCACCGUGGUGCACGCGAACCGACGUGGCAGGAGGAGGCCGCCAGCCAUGCUGGCGCCGCCGCCUCUAUUCCUGUUUCUCUGUAUGGAGUUGCAACGGUGUCAUUUUUAUUUUAUUUUUUUGGAUGUUUUCUCACACUUAGGAUCACGAUACAACCAACCACAAAAAAAAUUUUAACUCGAACUACCACUUAGCUAAGUCUGAAAAUAGCUAGCAUACCACUUAGUCUACUUUGCACCUUCACUAAAAUUAGACCAUAAUUCCUUUAGUAAAACCCUUUGAUCAGCAUGUUAAACAUAAUGCACUCUACCACUAUAUGAACUUACUUAAUCUAAUUCAAAAUAUAACCACAUGAAAUGACAUAUAUAAGUUAAACAGUACAUAGAGAUGCAAUUUUUUUUAUUUUUAUUUCAUUUUUUUAUAUUUUUUUCACACUUAGGAGAACAUAGGAACCAACCGUAUAAAAAAUAAACUCAAACGGAUAAAAUAUGUGACUUGUAGAAUUUUUUAGAACUCUACCGAAACGGACAAAAUAUGUCAUCUAUUAAAAUAGGCGUAACUUUCUCAUACGGACUCUGAAUCAGGCAAAUAAUAUAUGCACGGACAUCUACAGAAAAUGUUACAUCCGAUUCUCCCUAGCUUUGCAGGGUUCGGCGAUAUUAAAACCUCCAAAUUCCGCUUGCAAGAUUGUGUUUUCGAGGAGAGAAGUUUUUCGGUAGAACUUUGGAAAAUUCCACAUGCCACAUAUUUCGUCCGUUUGAGUUUAUUUUUUACAUGGUUGAUUCCUGUGAGUUCCUAAGUGUGAAAAAAAUAUCAAAAAAUAAAAUAAAAAUAAAAAAGUUGCACAUCUCUCCUUUGCACUAGUUCGGAGAGAGAGGAGAGGAGAGGAAAAAUUCUACAGGUCACAUAUUACGUCCAUUUGAGUCCAAUUUUUCUAUGGUUGGUUCUUGUGUGUCCCUAAGCGUGAAAAAAAUAUCAAACAAAUAAAACAAAAAUAAAAAAUUUUGGGGGGGGGGGGGGGCGCCAGCCACUCUGGCGCACUCCCUAGCCACCUCAGCAUCGCCCCGCCACGUCGGCAGGGGGACGGCGCCAGAGAGGCUGGCGCCGUCGUCCACUGGCGCCCUAAAAAGGACCAUUUUUGGGAUAAGUUUUUCUAGGGGUCUUUUUGCGAAAUAAGUUUUUUAAAAGGACCAAAAUGUGAAAAAUCCAGUUGCAAAGCACAUGUGUCUUAUACUAGUAUUAAAAAAAAACAGGAAUAAUAGUACAAAGAUUUAUCAGUUGACACGAGCUGAGUACACCACUUCACCGGGUAGUCUAGCUUGCCUAGCCUAACCCUUUCUGCCGCCGCCGCCGCCGCCGCACCACCACCGGUCGCCCGUGCCCCGGCCACCGCAAAAGAUAUUCGAGAUUCACCGGUCAUCACCACCCCCAUCCUUUGUACUUGUAGCUUCGCUCUUUCCGAUCGCUUCCACGCCGCCGCGACACGUGGUGCACCACCGUGUCGGUCAAACUUUGGCCAUCACCACGUCGGCUGCGGCGGGAGCCACCGCGCCAUCCUUCUCCCCGCCGGCGGUGCCAGCGCCGGCAACGACGACGCCGCCGCCGCCGUGUUCCUCCCGGCUCUUGCCCCAUAGCACGUUGUAGAGGCCGGCGACGAGCAGCAGGCUGCCGAUAAUGCUGUGCGCACCGAGAGAGAGAGAGAGAGAGAGAUCAGCUCUUUGUCAGGAUAUAUAUCACGACAUCGACGUUCGCUAUCUGACGAUCGAUGCGAAGUGUGCGCGUGAGGGAUCAUGACAGCGAGAGGAGCAAUAUAGAUGCAUCUGGUGCUUUGUGCCUCGUGAUGGCGAAGGGCAUGUCACUCAUGUCGAUCAAGAAUGAGCGCUUAGCUUUUAGUUAAUUACCUUCCUAGGCUGACGUCCUCGCCGAGCAGGAACGAGGCGAUGGCCAUGGUGAAGACGAGGCUGAGCGGCAUCGACAUGGACAGGAACACGGGGCCCUUCUUCUCGAUCACCCAUAUCUGCAGGUAGUACGAGAUCGCCGCCACCACGAUGCCCUGAUGAGAAAUUAAUUAACAAACAUAUUCAUGCAUUGAUUUCAAGGGUGAAUGAUGAACAAGAACUGGAAAUCAACCGGCCGAAUCAUCGAUCGAUCGAUGCCAGUCUUACGGUGAAGAGGACGCCGACGAGGCUGACGACGCCGGGGAGGAUCCACCGGGAGAAGUCCCUCUCGAGGACGAGCGCGAUCACCAGCGACUGCACGCUCGCGAACACGCACUGCAGCGUCGUGUUCAUCAGCUUCGACGGGUACUCCAGCAGCAACGGCCCCUGACAAGAUCGACAUAUGCAGCUGAUUAAUCGAUCAUUCGAUCGUCCAUUGAUUAUUUGAUUAGUUUAGUAACCUGCUUCACCGUCCAGAACGACCAUAUCACGACGGAGGUGGUCAUCAGGAAGAUCCCCAGCGCCCAGUUCUUCUUGGAAUGCGCCGCGGCGGCGGCGGCGGCGCUCGCAUGGUGGAGGAGCUGGUGGUGGUUCAAGGACUUGAACUCCGGGCCUUGGUACAGAGCCAGCACGAUGACGCCGCCGAUGCAGAGGAGUAUCCCCGAUGCUUUCGCCAUGCCAUGGGUGCUCUUCAGGUUCAGAGUCUCCAUCCUUGGUUUGCAAUCAAGAAAUCAAUGUUCGUCAGUUCAGUGAUCAGAUUGUUACUAGCACUAAACACGAUCAGAUUGUUUUGAUUCUUGUCUGACCUGAACAUGACAGCCAAGAUGAAGGCGACCACCGGCACGAUGUUGAAGAUGGCCGACGACGAGGUGGCCGACGCGUAAUUCAGGCCAAUGCUGUACAGGUUUAUCGUUCCGGCCAUCCUGACAAAUUUUCAGCAAAGGAGUUCUUAUUCAGAAAUCAGAACAACAGUCUGUUCUUCAGCUAGAACACACACUAGAUGUUCUAUUCAUCAACAUACCCAUAGAAUCCAUGGACGAAGAUCUUGGCAGACAGCCGAAACGUCAGCGGCGGCGCCUGCUUCUUCCUUGCAGAUUAAAGAACACCAUAUCAGAUCAACACUUCCAUCCAUCCAUGACAGUUUCAGAGACUGAAUGAACAACCCAUUGGCUGCUAGCUAGCUAUACCUGAUCUCGAGGAAGUAGGCGAAGGGUAGCAAGAAGAUGGCGGCGACGGCGUGGCGGUAGAACACGAACACCGUGGUGCUGGCGCCCUCGUUGAAGGAGGCCUUGGUGAGUAUGUGCAUCCCGGCGUAUAUCAGCCUGAUGAGCACCACCGUCGCGUACACCUUGCCGUUCCCCAUGGCUGGCUGCCACUGAUCAAAGCUACUAGCUAGCUUAGCUAACACUGAGAUGAUCACUUGAUGUAUCAAUACUGUUUUUGUGUAUGCUUCACCAAGCUCCCUAUAUAUACUAUCUGUGUGUGUGUGGUAGCUACCUAGCUAUAGAGCCUAGCUGUUAGUCAUUUUGUGUGAACACUGAAGACUCUACUAAGGCUCUGUUUAGUUCACACACAAAAAUUUUACACCCUAUCACAUCUAACGUUUAAACACUUGCAUGAAGUAUUAAAUAUAAGUUUAAAAAAUAACUAAUUGCACAGAUUGCGACUAAUUUGCGAGACGAAUCUUUUAAGCCUAAUUGCUCCAUGAUUUGACAAUGUGGUGCUACAGUAAACAUUUGCUAAUGAUGGAUUAAUUAGGCUUAAUAAAUUCGUCUCGCGGUUUACUGACAGAUUCUGUAAUUAGUUUUUUUAAUAGCGUCCGAACGCCCCAUACGACAUCCUAUAUAAUACCCGAUGUGAUACUUAAAAAUUUGACACCCCUGGAUGUAAGCACCUCCUGAAGUGAGAUAUGCAAAGGAGGAGACAAGCUGAAGCUUCUUAGCAUGUUCUGCUUCAAUUCUGCAUGAUCCAUGCUGGAUCAGAUCAGAUCAGAUCAACAACAAUUUUCAGGUUGAUACAGUGGUCAUAGUAUGGGCAAAAGGGCUUACAACAAAAACAAAAGAAAGAUAAAGUUUUGUGUGUGUGUGUGUGUGCAAAAGGGUUCAGGUUAGGUUGACAAGACAGGAUUUUGAGACGGCAAGGAUAUCAUGAUUCAUGAGUGAGUUUUUAAAAGAAACCGAAGAAAAGAUCAGAUUUUAAUUGGUGCAAUGGUCAUGUUAACUGAAAGAUAUACGAGUAGUGCGCUGGCCACAUACGAAAACAAAACUGCCACUUGAAUCAGCAGAAUGGCAAUUUGUUGGAUAAAGCGCGAGUGCCCUGAAAUUGUUUAGGGCAAAAAGCUUAGGCUAUAUAAUACCCUUUGGUGAAGCUUCCUUGGCUAACCGUAUGAUUAUUAUUUUUUUGGGAUGAAUAUCAUGUGCGCCGUUAGGAAAUAGUUUACAAUUUCGCAGUGACCGAUAGCAAGUGACUUCGAGUCUUUGCUUAGCUGACUGACUGACUGACUGCCUGCUACAUGAUCGGUUUAAUUAAUUUGACAUCUCCAUUAAAUUCUCCCAUGUUCUACUGGCAAAUUAACAUGUUAUAAGUCCAUUGACUUUAGCCAGCAAUGGUCUUCUAAAUAAUUAACUAUUUCCUCCUUUUUAUAUUAUAAUUUGUUUUGAUUUUUUUCUUAAUCACUUUUAGGUUUGACCAAAUUAUAAAAAUAAUUAGCAAUAUCUUCAACAUCAAAUUAGUUUUAUUAUAUAAAACUUUAAAUAUAUUUUGAUAACAUGUUUGUUUUGUGUUGAAAAUGUUACUAUAUUUUUUUUAUAAAUUUGGUCAAAUUUAAAAAAGUUUGAGUAAGAAAAAGGUCAAAAGAAAUUGAGGGAGUACAGCCGUCCAAAGAAAUCGAACUUAGUAUAACAAAUUUGGACACCAAUUGUGUUUGUUUUAUUAAAUGGAGGGAGUACUCCUUUGCCUUUCAAUUGAUCAUAAUAGAAUGCACCAAGACCAAGGAAAGUCAAAUAACUCUCAAGUACUAUAUUUAUUCUAGUAUUACCAUCCCACUGUUUUUUUAGCUAAUAAUUAAUAACCAAUACAUUACAUGCUGAUAAAAAAAUCUUGUAUGCAUGGGAAUGCAUGCACCAAUAUCUAUUACUUUCGUACAUAGAUAAGGGGGAUAAGGGGUAGACUUAGGAAAAUAAUAUUAAUACGAUAAUCAUUUGAAAAUAACCUUAAAAAAUAUAUGAUGAUAAAUUAGGAUAGAAGGAAUUACUACGUGAUCGGAAUGGCCUUUAACACUAUUAUUAUCUCUGUUGACUGUUGACAAAUGAUAUAACCAUGUAGUCCUAAUUAAGUCAUGUCGAUUCACUGUAACCUUCGGACUCUUGGAUACAAAUUAAAAGGGAUUUUCAACAUCAGUAGAUGCAAUGUGAGCUUUCUGAAUCUUCUUUUUUUUUCUCUCUCUCUCUUUACGAAAAGAUGCAUGUAUGACCACCUUUACCACGUUCAAAGCUGAAAGUGCUUUGUCUAGCUACACCCUACACACACGUAUUUCACGAUCACACACACUAAAUUAUUUUAAUUUUACUUGUGAUAUCUGAAAUGGAAUUAGUAGCCGUGGACUGAACACAGAAUAUUUCCCUUUUCUUUAAAUUUUAUGGUUCUGAUGGCUGAUGCAUGGCUGCUGAGCUCAAAGGAGUGGAAUCUAGGACGUGAGCAGCAUACGUAGGCGGUAAGAAGGUAAUAUAUUGCAUUCCUUAAUAAGUGGUAUCUUACCUUUCAUCAUAUAGGUUCUUUCAAGCCCUGGAAGGUAUAUAAAAUUUAAUUAAGGGUCUUCUUUUUCAUGUCAUCAUUCUGUAGCAUAAUAAUAUUUACACUGGUGACAUAAGGCCAUUCCCAACCCAAUAACUAGGAUGAUGUAUAUAGCAUUAAAUAAGCUGCCACCUAGAUAAAAAAUGAUGUGGCAAGUGAAUAAAUGAGGAAAGAGAAGGAAACCAUAUCUUGCAUGAGACAUGGUUUCUACAUAACAUCCAAGACAUCAUGUGAGAUAAGUAGUAUUGAAUUUAAGUAUGGAAUAGUGAUGUUUGUAUUGGAAGAGUAGUGUCUAGUACUAGUUUCUUGAUGAUGUUAGUUUAUGGAAAUUAUGUCUAGUGUCUUGGGUUAGGAAUGGCCAGAGGGCAAGUUUUAUAGUAGAGGUGGGUGCCACAUCUAAUUUAAACCAUAUCAUCUUCUCAUUAAUUAAGAGGUAACAAAUACAACAUGUCACUUCUAGUACACAAACCCCAAUAUUAAUUUACUCUCACAUCAUCUUACUUUUUUUUAGAAAUUGUGAGGAGGUUGCCCCUUGCAUGAGGGGUGGCUCAUUCUCUCUUCUAACUUCUCUCCUCCAACUCAUCACCUAAUACUAUGUGGCAAAUUUAGGGACAACAUGUAGAGGCUUAUAGUACUUGCCCUAAUGCUAUUGGCUAUAACGUAGGCUAAACCCACCAUUAAAUACACCCUUAUCAUUAUUGGUAUAGUAGUCUGAAUGUGCCUAGAAAAACAUUAUGAUGAGGGCACACUACUCAUACAACACGGCUCCCUAGACGGUGGCUUCACACGUUAGGCUAUUUUCCAAACAGAAUUUCCGUGACUUCGGCAGAUUCCACGCACCUGGUAAGGCCACCCUCCUAACUCGGUGACUUGCUCCAACGUAAAGGCAUGAGGUCACUUGACACGCAUGUCACCAUAUCGUAAGUGCACUUAAAGGAUGGAACACAUAAUCCUCAUUUUUAUCAUGUUGUUUAGAUCCUGAUUCAACCUAUAUGAUGAGCCCAGUUGAGACUUUCUCCAAUUUUGGGUACAUCGCAUGCCAAAGUCUUAUUACCUUAGUGAUGGAGUAGCAGUAUUGUUUCAUAGCAAUACUUUUUUAUUAUAUAGGAAUAUGCACACACACUUGUGAGUUUACCUAUUUAAGACACGUCCAACGAUAGUGUAACAAGGUUUCCCGAACCGCCAGGGCCGGCCGGGGUUACCACGCAUCGGCAGUAAGCGCGGUAACCAUGGCAAACCGCAUGAAACUGUAUAAAGUUUAUAAAAAAUUUAAAUUAUUUUCUAAAUUUAUUUGAAUUUAAGGAGGUUACCACGGUUUUUCAAUUACCGUACCCCCGCAGUAAACGUAAUAACCGCGCGGUAAUGCAAACCCUGCGUGUAAACGAUAAUUUCUACUACAGAAUUGUGCAUAUGGUUUCACUCGUAUUACGGUGAAAACUAUUGUUUCUUUUUUUAAAUUUUUUUACGGCAAUACUUAUGUGAAAUGAAAUAAAAUAAUUGAUCAUAUAACUGUUUUCUUCUUCUUUUUUUUUUGUGAUUGAUGAUAUGACAUCAUGAACGUUCCAACCAAAUGACAUCACCACUAUCCCUGCUGUUUCUUUGUCAACGGUAGACCAUACUUAUGAAAUUUCACGACAUUUUCUACAAAGAGAAAAAGGCGGUCGAGUACCUUAAAGCAAACACUGGUGGAGAAACCAUCUUUCAUCGGUCGGCCGAUUUCCACAAUAGUCCCGGAUGCAAUACAAACCGGGGCUAAAGAUGAUCUUUAGUCCCGGUUCAAAAGGGAAACGGGCAUAUUUGAUCUUUAGUCCCGGUUUGUGUUACCAACCGGGACUAAAGAUCAUCUUUAGUCCCGGUUCGAAUGCUGUCAGGACCUGUCAGGCCCCCCCGGGAUCUUUAGUCCCGGUUGGUAACACCAACCGGGGUACCAACCGGGACUAAAGAUCUUAACUUUAGUCCCGGUUGGUAUUACCAACCGGGACUAAAGAUCCCGGUGAUCUUUAACCCCGGUUGGUGCUACCAACCGGGACUAAAGUCCCACCCCUAUAUAUAUGUCUUCUUCCUCCUCCAGCUGCCCGAGCAAGCUUCAAAAUUACUUCAAAAAAGAGGGGAGGUCAUGCCAAAAUUUCUAUUGAAUUUAUUUUGGUGAUUACAUACAAAUCGGAGGUGCCUAAAAGGUUUGCAACUUCAUCCUCCAAUGUUUUUUUUUGUCAUACUACAUUUGCACCUAUGUUUUGCACACUUUUUUUUGUCUCCAAAAUUUAGUUGUAAGUUGAUGAGAGAGAAAAUGUGUGUGGGGAAGAAAGAAUAUAUAGAAAUUUAGUUCAUUUGCUAAACAAGGUUUUAUAAAAUAGUUGAGAAGGAAAACUCUAGUGAAAGUUAAUCUUAAAUAAUAGAAAACAAACUAAAAUGAAAAUUAAAAGAAGUAAAACACAUUAAAAUUAGUUUAAAACUUUACAAAUAGUUUUUAAGAAUUAUUUGGUGUAAUAUUUUAUGAUUUUUGUAUGAAUAAAGAUAUCUUAUAAUUAUUGUAUUACUGUCAUUAUUGUAAGAAUAAUUAUUUGUGUGCGGUUUUUUUGACUCAUGUAGAUGGAUCGGCAAUGGAUGUACGCUGACCGGCGGUCCAAAGAGUUUAUUGACGGCGUGCACUAUUUUUUGAGAGUGGCCGAAGCUAACAGGCAAAGGGGUUUUAUUUGUUGUCCAUGCAAUAAGUGUAAGAAUCAGAAGGAGUAUUCUGCAUCCAGGACUAUUCAUUUCCACUUGUUUGAGUCGGGGUUCAUGCCAAGCUAUAAUUGUUGGACAUCCCACGGAGAGCAAGGUGUUGAAAUGGAAGAAGAUGAAGUGGAAGACGACAAUAUUCCGGACUUUGCUCAGUAUGUUGGAUUUGAAGGAAAUCAAACGGGCGAGGAGGAAAUAGCUGCUGAUGGUAACGACGUUGCGGAUGAUCUUAGUCAGAUGUUGCAGGACGCCAGGGAGGACUGCGAAAGUGAAAAGGAGGCCCAUAAAUUGGACAAGAUGUUGGAGGACCACAGAACUUCGUUGUACCCAGGUUGCGAGCAGGGGCACAAAAAGUUGGAUACCACUCUGGAGUUGUUGCAAUGGAAGGCAAAAAAUGGGGUUAGUGACAAGGCAUUUGGCGAUUUAUUGAAACUCGUCAAGAACAUUCUUCCGGGGGGAAACAAAUUGCCCGAGACAACGUACGAGGCUAAGAAGAUAGUCUGCCCGUUAGGACUGGAAGUUCAUAAGAUUCACGCAUGUCCGAACGAUUGUAUCCUAUAUCGCGGUGAGGAGUAUGAGAACCUAGAAGCAUGCCCUGUUUGCAAAGCACUACGAUACAAGAUUAGACGGGACGAUCCAAGAGAAGUUGACGGGCAGCUAACAAAGAAGAGAAUUCCUGCUAAGAUGAUGUGGUAUUUCCCUAUAAUACCACGGCUAAGGCGUUUGUUCAGGAACAAGGGGAAUGCUAGAAUGUUGCGAUAGCACGCUGAAGAGCGUCAACAGGACGGGAUGCUGAGACACCCCGCCGAUGGUUCGCAGUGGCGAAACAUCGACAGAAAAUUUAAAGAAUUUGGAAAGGACGCACGAAACAUACGGUUUGGUUUGAGUACGGAUGGCAUGAAUCCAUUUGGAGAGAUGAGCAGCGGCCAUAGCACUUGGCCCGUUACGAUGUGUAUCUACAACCUCCCCCCCUGGCUAUGCAUGAAGAGGAAGUACAUAAUGAUGCCGAUUAUUAUUCAAGGCCCCAAGCAACCUGGUAACGACAUCGACGUGUACCUAAGACCACUGGUCGAAGAUCUUAAACAGUUGUGGAAGAAGGAAGGUGUCCCCGUGUGGGACGAGGACAAACAGGAGGAGUUUAACCUACGAGCGCUGCUGUUCGUAACCAUCAACGAUUGGCCUGCACUUAGCAACCUAUCCGGACAGUCCAACAAGGGGUACAAGGCUUGCACUCAUUGUAUGGAUGAAACAGAAAGUACGAAUCUUAAGCACUGUAGGAAGGUUGUAUACAUGGGUCAUCGUCGAUUCCUUGCAGCAAACCACCCGGUACGGAAGAAAGGCAAGCACUUCGAACAUAAGGCCGACCACCGUACGAAGCCUAAACAUUGCAGCGGGAAAACAGUGUUUGCUAUGGUUAAAGAUCUUAAAGUAGUGUUCGGAAAGGGGCCUGGAAGCCAGCAUAUAGAGAGCGAAGAUGGUCACGCGGCGAUGUGGAAAAAGAACUCUAUAUUUUGGGAGUUACCAUAUUGGGAAUUCUUGGACAUACGCCACGCAAUCGACGUGAUGCACCUCACUAAGAACCUUUGCGUAAACCUUCUUGGCUUCCUAGGUGUAUACGGAAAGUCGAAAGAUACACUGGAAGCACGUAAUGAUCUGAAGCAUAUGGAACAACGCGGCGACCUUCACCCGGAACCAAAGGAGAAAGGAAGCCAUUACUUGAGUCCAGCCAGCUACACUCUUAGCAAGGCAGAGAAGGAAAGUAUGUUUGAAUGCUUGGAGAGCAUAAAGGUACCGUCUGGAUACUCCACGAAUAUCAAGCGAAUAAUAAGCACGAAGGAGAAGAAGUUCACAAACCUAAAGUCUCAUGACUGUCACGUGUUGAUGACACAAUUGCUACCAGUUGUAAUAAGGGGUAUCCUUCCAGACAAUGUCCGGGCAACAAUAACAAAGAUAUGUGCAUUCAUGAACGCAAUUUCACAGAAGGUCAUCGAUCCGGAUAGAUUAGAAGCCCUUCAGAAUGAAGUGGUGCAAUGUCUCGUCAGUUUUGAGUUGAUAUUUCCACCUUCAUUUUUCAAUAUAAUGACGCAUCUGCUUUGUCACCUUGUGAAAGAGAUCCGUAUUCUCGGGCCUAUGUACCUACACAACAUGUUUCCUUUCGAGAGGUACAUGGGCGUUCUGAAGAAGUAUGUUCGUAACCGUGCUCGUCCAGAGGCAAGCAUCGCCAAGGGUUAUGGAAUAGAGGAGGUCAUCGAAUUUUGCGUAGAAUUUAUCGAAGACCUUCGCCCAAUCGGGGUACCUGAAUCACGCCAUGAAGGGAGACUACGGGGAAAGGGAACUCUCGGAAGGAAAGCAAUAACGACGGUAGACAACAAUUUAUUCCGUAAAGCCCAUUUCACUGUUCUGCAACACUCUUCAUUGGUAGCUCCUUACAUCGAGGAGCACUUGGCUCUAGUUCGCGCCAGGAACAUCGGUAAGUCCGAUGCAUGGAUUACACGGCAUCACAUUGAUACUUUCCCCGCGUGGCUACGACAACAUCUCAUGGGUAACGAGUCGAUCAACCAACAACUUGCCUUCUUGGCGAGGGGACCGUCUGGGUCGAUCGCGACAUUCCAGGGAUAUGAGAUCAAUGGGUACACAUUCUACACGAGAGCCCAAGACAUGAAGAGCACGAACCAAAACAGCGCUGUUCGUGUCGAUGCCAUGGGACACGAUGGAACAACUGCCACGUAUUACGGUGCCAUCGAGGACAUAUGGGAACUUGACUAUGGUCCUCUCAAGGUUCCUCUGUUCCGGUGCCAAUGGGUUAGGUUGACUGGUGGAGGCGUAAUGAUUGAUGACAGUGGGAUGACAACUGUUGACCUUAACAAGGUUGGAUACUCGGACGAACCUUUUGUCCUUGCCAAUGAUGUAACGCAAGUCUUUUUCGUGAAGGACAUGUCUAGCAAAGGAAAGAAGGGCAGAGGGCCUGAUGAGCCUAAGCGUCAAGUGGUUCUCCCAGGCAAAAGAAAAAUCGUCGGAGUUGAGGACAAGACUGACGAGGAUUACGAUCAGUUGGAUGGGCAACCCCCUUUCACGGUGACGAUUGACCCUAGCAUCCUCCUAUCAAAUGAAGACACCCCUUACUCACGCAGCGAUCACAAGGAGGGAACAAUAGUGAGGAGAAAGUACGUGCCGUAAUUAUUGUGUACACGAUGUAAACUAUUUUGGAUGUAUUGAUUAUCCAUAUAAAUCAAUUGAUGUAUGGCAUAUGUUAAUUACGCACGAUUAUUAGAGGUUUCAACAGGUUUAAAUCAUGUAUAUGCUAGUUAUAUGUGAUACUUACAAUUUUUAAAAGUUUUAAAUCACACAGGUGGCAAUUUCAUAUGUAUGUUAAUUAGAGUUUUUAACAUUUAAUUUACUAGCAUUCAUAUGCUAAUUAUAAUUGACUAGAGGAUUUUUAAAAGUUUUAAAUCACGCAAGUGGCAAUUUCAUAUGUUAAUUAGCGUUUUUAACAUUUAAUUUACUAUCAUUCAUAUGCUAAUUAUAAUUGACUAGAGAAUUUUUAAAAGUAUUAAAUUUAAUAUAUUUUUAAAACUAUCAUUCAUAUAUUAGAGUUUUUCACAAUUUAAUUUACUAUCUUUCAUAUGCUAUUUAUAUAUGACUAUUCGAAUUUUUAAAAGGUUAAAAUCAUGCAUGUGGCAUUUACAUAUGUUAAUUAGAGUUUUUAGCAUUUAAUUUAAUAUAAUUCCUACGCUAAGUACAUAUGAUGAUUACAAUUUUUAUUAAUUUUAAAUCAUGCAGUAUGUACAUACAUAUCUUAAUUAGAGUUUUUACCAAUAUAAUAAUAUCAUUCAUAUAUAUGCUAAGUAUAUAUGAUUAUUGGAAUUUUUAUUAAUUAUAUUUGCUUAUUACGAUUUAUCCACUUAAUUUAUUACAGCCAAAAAUAAUUUUUCGAAGUAAUUGUCAUUAAUCUUUGUACUUUAAAUAAUGUUAAUGCAUUAACUUCUAUUUUAUAAACACAUAUGUAAGCGAAAAUCAUAUGCAGUGCUAUAAUCUUUAGUCCCGGUUCUUAACCCUAACCGGGUUUAAAAAGAAUUUCGAAAUAGCGGGAAAAGAUAUUUACUCCCGGUUGUUGAGAACAACCGGGACUAAAGAUAUCUUUAGUCCCGGUUGUUGAGAACAACCGGAAGUAAAUAUCUUUUCUUUACUCCCGGUUGUUAUCAACAACCGGGACUAAAGAUAUCAAGAUAUCUUUAAUCCCGGUUUUUCUCAACAACCGGGAGUAAAGAUCCAGGGGUAUAUAUAUUCCCGGUGCGCCCUCGUCUUCUUCACCAACACUUAAACGUUUUCGGCCGAUCGAUCUCUCUCGGCCUCUCUCCUUCGCCGCCACUGCCUAGGGCAAAUCCCCGCGCCCACGCCGCCGUAUCUCGCCGUCGUCUCGAGCUCGUCGUCCUCGCCGCCGCCUCCGCCUCCUCCGCUGCCGCCGCAUCUCUGGGGUGAGAGCCGCCGCCGCCAGAUCUCCCUUCAUGCAUCUCGAUCUCUCCGAUCUCGAUCUCUCUCCGUCGCGCCGCCCGCCACGAGACGCCGCGCCACGACGACGACGCGCCACGCCGCCGCCUUCGACGCCGCGCAACGCCGCCGCCGCAUGCCAACGCCACGCCGCCGCCGCCGUCGCCACGCCGCCGCCGCCUUCGCCGCCGCGCGCGCAAUGCCGCCGCCGCCGCCAGAUCUCCCUUCAUGCAUCUCGAUCUCUCCGAUCUCGAUCUCUCUCCGUCGCGCCGCCCGCCACGAGACGCCGCGCCACGACGACGACGCGCCACGCCGCCGCCUUCGACGCCGCGCAACGCCGCCGCCGCAUGCCAACGCCACGCCGCCGCCGCCGUCGCCACGCCGCCGCCGCCUUCGCCGCCGCGCGCGCAAUGCCGCCGCCGCCACGCCACGCCACGCCGCCGCCGCCACGGCCCCACAACGCCACGCCGCCGCCGCCGUCGCCACGCCGCCGUGCCAACCGCCGCCCCGAUGCCGCCACACCGCCGUUAACGAACGAGAACGAGAACGAUCGAACGAACGAGAGCGAGAACGAACACAUCAACGUACGUUGCCGCGACAACGUGAACGAGAACGAGAACGAUCGAACGAACGAGAGCGAGAACGAGAACGAUCGAACGAAGACAAGCGAGAACGAGGGAACGAACGUGAAUGAGAACAAGCGAACGAACGUGAAUGAGAACGAGCGAACGAACGUGAACGAGCUAGGGAACGUGAACGAGCGAACGAACGAGGACGAUCGUUAACGUGAAAUGCAAUAUAUAUAUAUAUAUAUAUAUGUUACUUCGCAUUUAUCCUAAUACAUUUUUUUGUAUCUUGCAGAAAAGACGUGUUGUCGGAGUCGUCCGUCAAGCCUGAGUGGAAGAGCUAGCCCUAGAAGGAAUUGGAGCAGGCAAGUGACGUAAUAAUAUAAAUGAUUGUUAUAUUUGUAAUGCAAUUAAUUAAGAUUAUUAGACCUGUAAUUAGACUUAUCAUAUAAGAUUGUGUAGUGUUCUAAUAUUAUUUGAGUUUUAAUAUAAGAUUAUUUUAUUGCAAAUUAGACUUAGUAUGACAUUAUUGACUACGGAAUUGGUGCGACUCCUAGCAAUUGACUAUUGUAGUCUUAAUUAGACUUAGCAUAUACGCACGAAACACUUAGCAUACAUUACUAUUUUAGUCUUAGCAUGUAAUAUUAUUUGAGUUUUAAUAUAAUAUUACUUUAUUUGUAAUUAGACUUGGUAUGUAAUUAUUGACUACGGAAUUGGUGCGACAAGUAGCAAUUGACUAUUGUAGUCUUAAUUAGACUUAGCAUAUACGCACGAAACACUUAGCAUAUACAUGACUAUUUUAGUCUUAGCAUGUAAUAUUAUUUGAGUUUUAAUAUAAGAUUAUUUUAUUUGUAAUUAGACUUAGUAUAUAAUUAUUUACUAGCUAGGGUUGUAUAAUAUACGUCACCUAGACUUAGCUUAUAUCACGAUUUGUAAUUAGACUUAGCACGUAAGGUUGUGUAGGGUUCUAAUGUACGACAUUUACACUUAGCAUACAUGACUUAGAUUGUUAAAACAUAAAUGUCUCGUGACUUAGCAGAUGUUUCUUGUAUCAACAGAUGGCUGACCGCGAUGAGGAACAGAUAUUGUACGAUACAAUCGCGGAGGGAAGCAGCCAGUACUGGAAUGAAGAAGAGGGGAACGAGGAUCCAAACCAGUACUUGAACGAGGAAGGGAACGUGGAGAGGGAUGCGGAGGGGAACCAGCAGGGGCACGUGGAAAGGGAUGUGGAGGGGAACCAGGAGGAGGAGGCUAGUGGUAGUCAACCCUCCGUUGGACAGAAGAGGGCACGCGGGCAACGAGGUGCAGCGAAGAAGCUUGAGGGUCGGCACAUCAUAAUGGAAGUGGAAGAAGAUGGACGUCCUAGUGCCCCGGCCGAAGCCGCCAAGAACUAUGUACGUCACAGCGGUUGGGUUGUGCGGGAUAACGUGCCUGUCAGUACGGUGUACUGGCGAAGAACAAGGGCACGCGGAGAUCAUGAGAGCUUUGUCCCAGAUUCGGAGAAAGAGAUGCUGUGGACCACAAUGCUCGAGACAUUCACCCUUCCUGCGGGUACAGAGGACAAAGUGAAAAGGUGGACUCUGAAGAAAAUGGCAGAACAGUUUCAGAGCUUCAAGGGAGAUCUGUACCAGAAGUAUAUACUGAAGGGGCAGACACCGAAUUUCGACACAUUCCCAAAGCUAAGGGAUCACUGGGACGAGUUCGUUGCAUAUAAGACAGGUGAACAAGGGCAGGCGAUGAUGGAAAGAAACAAAGAAAAUGCUGCCAAGAAGAAGUACCAUCACCACUUGGGGUCAGGAGGCUAUAGCGUCGCGAUGCCGAAGUGGGAGCAGAUGGAGGCUAGCUUGAUUGAGAGGGGUAUCGAACCGGCAACAGCCAAUUGGCCGGAACGAUCGAAGUUCUGGUACUAUGCUCACGGUGGAACGCUCAACCCAGCUGAUGGCUCACUGGUCUUCGGCUAUCAGAUACAAGAGGCUGCGCAACGACUAACAGAUGCAGUGGAAGCCUCCUCUCAGGGCACGUUCCGACCAGACAGAGAUAGGGACGAGCUGACACUCGCCCUGCAGACUCCAGAGCAUCCAGGACGAACUCGAGGGAAAGGGGUGAUUCCUUGGAAGAUUGGUUUCAAGGAGGACAUCCACACGUACAGGAGUCGGAUGAGGAGCAAGAGAGAUACCGAGGCGAAGAUUGCAGACCUAGAGUUCCGGGUAUCGAGCUACGAACUCAACAUGCAAGAGGAGGUGGCAAGGAAGGUUGAUGAACGCAUGGCCGCACAUCGGUCCCAUGAUCCCCAGCCGACCAUUCCUCCUGCAAUGGUGAGCCCGUCAGGAAACCGUAGCAGCUGCGCCUCAACGGGGCAGGUAGGAUCACAGAGCAUGGACGCCAUGCAAACACAGGACGAAUCGACCUGUCCCGUUGAUGACAUCACUCAGCGGACACCAUGUGAGCUGCAUAUUCCUUUCAAGAACUUAUCAAUAAAGGUAAGAUUUAGCCAUUCCGCUAGUUGCUGCUUAUAUAUGUUGAUUACUAAUAAAUAAUCUCUCACAACAUGAAGGUGGCGUCGGGCAUGGCCAUCCCAACGGACCCUUCAGGUACUUACCACUGCAGGCCGAUUCCAGCAGGAUACUCCAAGGUCGAAGUUGAGUUGGUCGAAGGCGCGUACGAGGACCUUGAGCUGGAUUACCCUGGAGGAGACGGUGAGACGCAUCUACGAGACACAUGCCAUGCCAUUAUUCUAUGGCGCAGGCGGUACAUCAUCCUCCCUAGGCGACAAGCGGCGUCUCGUGCACCAUCUCCUCCGGCUCCGCCAUCUCCUCCUCAGGAUCCUGCACCGUCUCCUCCUCAUGCUCCGCCAGCACCGUCUCCACCUCAGGCUCCAGUAUCGACUCCUCCUCAGGAUCCUGCACCGACGACUCCUCGUGCUCCUACACCUACUCCCCCGCAAGCUCCUCUUCCGGCACCUUCAAAGUCAAGGGCCCCCCCAGCUCCACCGCCUGCCCACAGAAGGGCAACGAAGAAGGCGAAAGUUGACGCCGCCAAGAACAAGGACCCGGGGUACGAUUGCACGCAAGAGGAGCUUGACGCUUACGUUGCAUCAGAAGUCAAGACACAAUUCAAGCCUCGAUGUCCAGAAAAGAAGAUUCCUAUAGACCCCAGUGUCAGGAACUUCUUCAGGGGUAUGUCUGCAUCUGUCAAGGAGGCCAUCAAGCUAUCGGACUAUGAGCGAACGCUGAAGAAAGCAUAUUUUGGAAAGUCCAAACCAGUCCCUCAGCUUGGAGAGCAACCAAACCAGGAGAUCGAGCCGUUGGUGACCGGUAAAGAAAUGACGAUAAAACAAUUUAUUACUGACACCGGUCUAACUACGGAUCAAUUGCUAGGAGUCGCACCAAUCGAAAAGGCGGAAGUGAAAUACAUGUACGAACUCGGUAAACCGCUUGUCAAGCCUGAGCUGCUGCAGUCCCUACCCACACAAAUGUACAAGUUCCAUCAGCUGUACAUGGAGAUGAGCGCCACCGGUAGAGAGAUGAUCGGAGCGAGGAUCAGGGACACGGACUUCUUGCAAGGAGAUGACCAUCUCUGGAUCAAUUUUAGGGGAAUCUACGAACUAUACCAGCUGGACGCCCUCGACGUCUCUAUUAUGAGUUGCUGGAUUUUGUAAGUAUAUCGUUCAGUUAGAUUUCUUACUAUACGUCUCCUUUAAUUAAUUAGGUCCUUGUAUAUAAGUAGACUAUAGAAAAUAAUAUACUCCCUUUUAUCGUUGUAGAAUGGAGAUUCAAAGGGCCCGACGGCGGAGGGUUUUCGAUACUGGAUUCAUCGACCCUCGGAAAGUAAACGUCGCAAUGCUCGACCAAUAUCCACAAGAAACAGAGGACAAUCUCGUCCAUCUCCUGAAGGCGCAGCAUUACAAGACGUUCAUACUGUUGCCAUACAACACAGAGUUAGUUUAAUUUUACUGUCUUCCUACAUACCAAAUUUCAUUCCCGUACGAACUUGCUAAGUGUUUCAUAUGUAAUGCAUCCCACGCACAUUGCAGAUUCCACUGGGUGCUUUUACUCAUCGACCUGGAGGCCUGCACCGUCAACGUAUAUGACUCAAUGGAUAAAAAAGAGUCUACGUUUGACAAGGUUUUCGAACUUAUAGACAGGUACCGUCAUAAGUUCCUUUGUUAAUUAAGAAAAUCUUGUUAUGUUAAUUGCUACUACGAAUCAUAGCUUUAAACUCCAUGUAGGGCUUGGUAUCGGUUCCGUCAUUUGGUCCGCGGCAAAUGGAGAGAAAGACUUAGGCGGAAGUUCAAAUUUCCUGUGAGUACACAUGCUCUACAUUUAUAUUUCUCCGAUUCAAAUACAUACAAGUGUAUAUUAAUUAGAUCUCUCGUUGUUUGUCAUUUAUUUGUAGUGCGCAAAGCAAAAGCAGGGAACUAACUUGUGCGGCUAUUACAUGUGCGAGUAUUGCCACUGCCUUGCAGACCAAAUCAUCACCACAAGAGAGCUCGAUGUACGUACAAAUAAAUUCAAAAUUUCAUUACGUAGCGAUUUCUUGUUUAAUUACUAAUCAAUUUCAUACAUUCAUAUAGUUUAUUCGCAUGAGGGAUAACCUGACCACACACAAGGAAUUUAUCGCGGCGGUUCAAGAACAACUCAUGGGAUUCAUCAACGAAGAAAUCCUUGAUCCCAAGGGUGAAUUCUACUAUGACGGAAACACAAUUCACCGGUCCUUAGCUUCUGAGCUAGCAGCGAGUACUACUACGUCGAAAUCGUAGCUAGCUAGGACAUAUAAUGGAUUGUAAUUAAUACAUGACUACAUAUGUUUCUAUAUGCAUGUGUACACAUUUUCUAUAAUGUAAAUAUAUUUUGUUCAUAUAUAUAUCUAUAUACAUAUGCAUUUGCAUAACAUAUAUAUGUAUAAAUACAUAUAUAUUUACAUAUAAUAUAAUAUAAUAUAUAUAUAUAUAUAUACAUAUAUAUAUAUAUAUAUGUAUGCAUAUAUAUGUAUUGAAACAUAUAUAUGCAUGGUUUAUAUAUAUAUAUAUAUAUAUAUAUAUAAACCAUGCAGCAACAGGGGCAUGCAAAAAAAAAAAAAGGUCAGCUCGAUCUUUAGUCCCGGUUGGUGUUACCAACCGGGACUAAAGAUCGAUCUUUACUCCCGGUUAUUUCACCCGGGACUAAAGAUAGCGAUCUUUAGUCCCGGAUUAGUACUCCUGGUUUGGAAACCGGGACUAAAGGGGGGUUACGAACCGGGACUACAAAGGGUUUCUCCACCAGUGAAAGGCGAAAAUAAGAGAGGAAAAAAGAAAGCUACUUUGGGCACCUGUGGUACUCACGGAGCGAAAUUAUAGACCACUGUUUUCCUCUAAAGCAGUUUAUAUCGACUGGUUUUUUUUCCGUCCGUGUGUUAGGGAGAGCAAAGAUCCCAAUGGUUUGGUUACACGCCAUUGUUUCAUCUUGAUCGGCUUAUCAGCCGCAAUACUAAAAUACCAAUUUUAUUGAUUUUAAUUUUUUUAUUGUAGUUAUCUUUUAAAUUGGUAUUUAAGUUGCUGAGAAUUUACGUAUAAAUUAUUUUAUAAUCACUAAUAAUAAACUUAUAAUUAGCUGUGGACAAAACGAUAAGAGCAAAGCGAUUAAAUUAACUGCCUUCAUAAUUAAUUCAAACCCAGUACGGCUUACCAGCAGUAACUAAAAUACAAAUUUUAUUGAUUUUGUCUUUUUUUUAUCAUAGUUCAUUUUUUAAAUUGGUUUAUAAGUUUUACAUACAAAUUAUUGGAUCACUAAAACGCUAUAGCUUAUAAUUCGCUGCAGAAGAAAUGGAAGGAAACUGAUUAAAUUAGCCACCUUCAUAAUUUAAACCCAGUAACUAUAUACUCCUUCCGUCCUAUAAUAUAUGGGAUUUUGAGUUUUUUUUGUUUGUAUUGUUUGACCACUCGUUUUAUUAAAAAAAUGUGCAAAUAUAAAAAACGAAAAGUCAUGCUUAGAGUACUUUAGAUAAUAAAGUAAGUCAUAAAAAAUAAAUAAUAAUUUUAAUUUUUUUAAUAAGACGAGUUGUCAAAUAGUGCAAGUAAAACUUAAAAUCCCCUUAUGUUAUAAGACAGAGGGAGUACAUAUAGUGUCUGGGAAUCUAGAACCACACACAGGACACAGUGUGUGUGUGACCACUACAUUUCGCCAGAAGUCCAAACCAAACACUGCCACAAAAGGUGCAAAUUGGUCCCGGAUCAUGAAACCGAUAGUAGCAAGCACUCAAUACUCAAAAGCAAGUACUGCUGCUAAUAAUAGUGUACCGCAGCAUGCAUACCGUCAAAACGAAAGCUACUACUAUCCCCUGUUCGUUUCUUAUGUAAGGAGAGGAUUAAAUUUUGAUAACUCAUGGUACGCUUUUUAAACUGUUAAACGGUGUGUUUCGUAUAAAAAUUUUCUAUAUGAAAGUUACUCUAAAAUAUCAGAUUAAUCUAUUUUUUAAGUUUAUAAUAAUUAAAGCUUAAUUAAUCACAUAUUAUUAUCACAUCGUUUUACGUAAAACACUUAAUCUUUAUCUUUAUUUUACGUGUCUACCGCUAAGCAAGAGGUGAUCGAUCCCCAUCGACAGUGGGGACUGCUGAUCGGCGACUGAUCGCGUGCGGCCGCACGGUCAGUUAUAGCCUUCCCCUGUAUACUAUAGUACAAUACUAGUAUACUAUACUACCCUCUUAUACUAAUGUACUAUGUUUAUAUAUUUAUACAUACAUAUAUAUACUUUGAAUAUAUACAUACCAAAUCACUUUUAUAUACACUUAUACAAACUUUAUAUACAUCGUAUACAGAGUUUGUAUUUGUAUGCAACACAUAUAUACAAACUUUGCAUAUAACAUAUACAAAGUAUAUAUACGUAUGUAUACAAAUGCAUACGUACCUAUAAAAACAUGUAUAGAAACUCUGUAACGUAUUAAAAACCAAGAAAGAAAACCAGCGAAAAUAUCAACUUUGUAUUUGUAUAUAUACAAAGUUUGUAUACAUACGCAUAAAAAAUACACGUAUAUAAAGUUUGUAUACAUGUAUAUAAACUUUGUAUAUUGUAUACAAAGUUUAUAUACAUGUAUACAAACUUUAUAAACACAUACAAAAUGUUUAUAUACGUGUAUACAAACUUUAUAAUUAAAAAUAAAUAAAUAAAAAAGAGAAAUGGAUAAAAAAAAGGAAAAGAGAAACGGACCAAAAAAACAGCAAAAAAGGAAGCGCGCGGUGUCCGCCCCCCUUCGCCAACGUGCUCAUGUCGCUCACGGCCCUCCUCGCCACGGGUUCACGUGCUAGUUCUGGCUCGGCACCGACCAGCCCCGCUCAGCCGCCUGUGGCGUGCUGCUACUACGGGUGCGCCGCCUUUGGCAUGGAGGAGAUGAGGGGAGAGGAAAGUAAAGGAGGUAUCCACUUACAUGUGGGCCCAUAAAAUUUUUUUUUCUUACUGACUAGGAUGUUACAUCAGCAAAACCAGUUAUCAAUAUUGCUACGGGACCUAAUUUAACCCGGUUUUAUAAGUUAAGAGGUGGAGAUCUAUGGAAUCGCGGUUUAGAGAUACGAGUUAAACUGGAAGCACAGAUGAGGGAUGUCAAGUGAACUUAUUCCCUUUCUGAGUUUGGAAAGAGCAAACUGGGGUAGGCUUGAUCGACGUAGGGCCUUACAUAAAUUUUCAAGUGUAGUAGUCCAGGAGCCCACGAUGCCUUUCCAGGCUAGUUUUUUUUUUCAAUUUUUUUUCUUCAAAUAGAUAUUUUGAUUUUCUUUAUCCCUCGCAAGUUGAUAAAGGGUUGUUAUUGUAUGGCAUCCCAUUUCAACAUAAUAUGAUACCAGAUAGGUACCAGAUCUAAUAUAUGUGGAUACGAUAUUUAAUACUAGAUAUGUAUCAGUCCCAUAAUGAUCUGACCAUCAAUUAUAUGCAUACAUCCAAGCAUGAGAAAUAUAAAACAUAGCAAAAGAAUACAUCGAGUGAACGAAGGAUCUGCAAGAUAUUAAAAUCCAAUGAGUUUUGGAAUCCAGUUCGGCCUCCGGAGACAGCACUGAUUUCAAACGGAACUAGCGCCUUCAUGCCAACUCCGAUUUGGGUGAUCUUGGACUUCAUGGAAAGCUUAUCUCGCUACCUUUCAAACGCAUCCGGUCUCAUGUCCAAAUUCAUCUCGAGUCAACGGGAAUCGCCAAAACAAGACAAUGCUGUUGCUGAAACCGAACUUGGGCCUUGGGCCUUGUAAUAGACUAGGUCCAUCUCGGAAGUGUCUCCAUCAACCUCCACGAAUUAGCACUUAACCCUAGCGUUAUUUUCCUCUAUAAAUAGCUUCGUACAUCCUCAAAAACAAUUGGCUUUUUGUUUAAUUGAAUUUUGCCAAGUGUCAUUCACCUUGUCUCUAGUUCUAGCUCAAUUAGUCGGCGACUAUUAAUUCAGAGCCCCCAAUAGUUGGUGUGUUGAUUUGCCAGGUCGAUUAGAUCUACCACUUCAAUCGCAACUAUUCCUUUGUGCUUAAUUACCUAUUCGCAAUAUUUAGAUUGCAUCUUAUCUUGUUGUUGCAGUGUUCUCUCGUUUGCAUAGCGGGGAUCAUCAACCGCACGUCACGGUUGGUACGACAUCGUUUGUGGUGUAGCGAUUGCAUGGCGUCCUGGACUUGUUCUGGUUGGUAGCCAUGUCGCAAACGUCGCACUCGAUCAAAGCGAGAGUUAUCCCCUCAUCAGAAGAUCGGGCCACGAGAGAGAGCGUCAUCAGUUGGUAUCAGAGCUUCGGUUGCCUGGUGAGGAUUUCAGUUGUAUAUAUUUAUUUUUCCUACCUAUCAUCUACAAAUUGCCGCACCACUUUUCCCUUUACCGAACUCUAGUUUUGAGCCGUGCAAUUUUUAUUCAGUUUUGCUUUGUUGAGUUUUGGUCCAUCGUCAUGUCGGAGUGCUGGUUUUAGUCCUAGUAUCAUCUUGGUUUGAGGUUUGCAUCUCGGUUGUGCACUUGAGGUUCGUUAUAGGUUGAAGAAAAUUAGCAGAUUGAUCGAUUCAUGAUUAAGUUUGUUGCUUGCGCAAGGAAUUAUAAGGAUCUGUUUCCUCUAAAUUAUUCAGUCAGUUUCCUUUUAGUUGGGGGAGAUUAUCUCUUUUGUUUCCCUCCUACUGUGUGCAGCGCAACACAUAAAUUGGGUGGGCCCUUUGUUUAUCUCGUGCAUACAAGUUCAGUCUCCUUGCUUUUCGGUUUCUUUGUUUCAGUAGUUAAUCUCCGUAAUUACCUUGGUGUAUUUCCUUUUGUUUAGCCAUGCAUGCAAGUUCCAUACAUGCAUGUGAUCUUCUCUCCCAGUAAUAGCUAGCAGAUGCUUGUAUUUGUGCAUGCGCGCGCACGCACUUGCCACUUAUUAAAAAAAAAGAAAAAGAAAGAAAGAAAGAAAAAGGCAAAAAGGUGAAAAAAAGAGCCGAACAAAAAAUAAUCAGAAAAAAAAAGAGAGAAAAGCAAACAAAUCAGAAAAAAAAAAGAAAGUGUGGAAAUUUGUUUUGUUGGAGUCUUGGAGAGAUUUGCUUGCUAUGUGAUAAAGUCGAGUUGUUUCUAGUCCAGUGUUUAUCAUUUGCUUGCUUGAUCUAGAAUUGAGUCUAGGCUAGGCCAGUAACUUUGACUAGUACUUUGGACUAUUAUUAAAUUUCGCAUAUCUGUUUGAUUUUUGCUAUUCUUUGUGAUAUAGUUAAGCCUACCAAGAUCCACAUACUACUAAUCUUUACAGGUCCGGCUUUGCAAUCGCUCUACUUAUCAAGCGUGUCAUUGCGCCACGAACCAGCCACGGUGAUUGACCUGUUUUUGUAUUAGUUGAAAACAUUAUAAGAACUUGGUAUAUGCUAUAGUGCUGAGCGACUUGCAACCCCACAAGCAAAAGAUUACUAUUAAUAAGAAGUUGUAUGCAUCUGUUUGUUUUUCUUGUUUGCUACUGACAAUGACAGGAGUGUACAAAGAGAACGGGAUGGAACAUAUAAAACAAUGGCUUUC
rnacentral:lncRNA from 1 species